UUUUUUUUUUUUUUUUUUUUUUCUAGUCAAAGUGUUCAAUAGUGUCGAAUGAAUAAAUUAUUUUUUGAGUAAUGAUCGUCAUGAAGUUUUUAAUUAUUUGGGUUGUUGUUCGCUUCAUUUGUAAUAAUAGAAAAAUGGAAAGUUUGUUGGGUUAAUUAAUAGAAUAAUUAAGGAUAAAUUAUGAAAUUUUUUAUUAAAGCAUUGUUUCUCUUUCAUAAUAAUGUCAUCAUAUAAAUAAAAAACAAAGAGUUAAUUAUAGUUAAACGUAUGAACAUGUGUCACCAUUUUUGAAGAGUAAUAAAGGUACACCUUGGAUUAAAAUAGUAAGAAAAAUACUCUAUAGUCUUAAUUAAUACAACAAAAUUGUUUAAAUAAUCUCAACAUAGUCUUUUAAAAUUUUAAUUUGAAAACACCCCUUAAAUUAAUUAUUUUCAAAAAGUUCGUGUUCUUAAUUUACCGGAAGUAAUUUAUAGGGUAAAUUGACAACCGCAACACGCACGCGAGUAGUUCACUUGCGGCGAGUUGAAAACCGCAAAACCCUCGCUUAAACCCUCACACCUUUUUCCCUCUCUGAAAUCAAACUUCAUCUUCUUCCUCUGCCGCCGAGAUUCCUUCCAAUAUUUCUCUUUCUCUAUCGUCGCCAUGGCUGCCUCAGAGGUCUCUCCUUCUCUCUAUCUAUUUGUAUAUUAUAUGUAUAUACGGAUUGUAUUUGUGUUUUACUUUCAGUGGGUCGUGGUCGUAUUAUUGUGUUGAGUCGAAUGGGGAAGCUCAAUGAAUUUGUGAAUUAUUACAAAUUCGGAGCUUUUAUCUCAGGUUCCGACGACGGCCGUGGAUGCGAUUAGGUUUGGCUUCUUCACCGACGAAGAGGUUCGGAAGCACAGCUUUGUGAAGGUUACCAGCCCAAUUUUGUUCGAUGACUCAACACACACGCCCGUGAAUGGUGGCCUUUACGACAAGGCGAUGGGCCCACUAGGGGAUGAACGCGGCCAACUGUAAUGCCACUUUUCAUGCCCAUUCUUUGCAUUCUAAGCUCUCUGCACAUUCGUUUCAAUGGUUUCAUGGAUUUAAUUUAUACAGUUAAAACAUAUUAUUUGUUUUGUUUUAUUAUUUAUUAUUUUAAGGGUUAGUGAUUUACAGAGGUAUGCUUAUGUUUGACUAAAUAGAGGCAAAACUGAACCACUUUAUUUUGGAAUGAGUAUUCUACUCUCAGAGAUGUGUGGAAACUGUAAUUUGGGACCAAGCCGAUAAUGAUGUUUUAUUUGCUUAGUAUUGUCCACUGUUUUCUUCUUGCAUUACCAUGAAUGGUCUCGGAGAAUCAAUAAUAUGGCAUAGAAUGAAGUUCUACAAAAUCUUGUAUGCCAGAACGUUAAACAAAAUCUUGAUACAUUGUUAACUUAUGACCUGUUAGAGAAUACUAAGUUUUUUCACGAGAAUGAAGUGUCUUUUUGGAAUCUGUAUUAUUAUCAUAUUUCUUAUUCUUACUUUCUUAAAUUCCAUUUUUUGUAGUACUUUAUAAGUGAUUGAUUUUGGUCAGUGCAGCUAUCUAGUUCGAAUCCUGAUGUUUUGACUUAUUGUUGAUUGACUUAGUUGUUUAUUUUUUUUAUGCAGUUGCCAAACGUGUGGUCAGACAGCAUAUACGUGUUCGGGUCAUUGUGGUCAUAUUGACCUUGUUUUGCCAGCUUAUAAUCCCUUGCUGUUCAACAUUCUCCACAAACUUCUCCAAAGAACCUGUUUCUUCUGCUACCAUUUCCGGACAAGCCGACAGCAUGUAAUUGAACUUUGGUGAAAUGAAAUUAGCGUCUUCUCUAGCCCUUUGUGGUGUUCCCUUAAUUUUAUUGCUUUCAGAAGUUUUUUUCUUGAUCACCUUAUAUCCUCUCUAACUUCUUUCCCCUUCUCUGUUGUGCUUCUUUCUUGUUUGAUUAAGGUUGAGAAACAUGUUUCCCAAUUGAAACUCAUAAUGAAAGGUGAUGUUCUUGGGGCUAAAAGGUUAGAGUCUGACUCACCUAGUGAAUACUCAGACUGCAACGGGAGUGGUAAUCACAUAGACAAUGAUUCGAAGCAGCAAGGAUGGACUUCUCUUCAGUUUACAGAGAUAAUGUCUGUUUUGGAUAAGGCUUUACCGACACAUGGGAAAGAGUGCAAGAAUUGCAAGGCUAAAAAUCCCAAAAUCAGUAAACCUACUUUUGGAUGGUUCCAAAUGGUAUGGUCUUCCAUACUCAGUAAAUGGAACUAUUAGAGAAAUUAUUAGUAUCUGCUUUCAUAGUUAUUAAAAAGAUAUGCUUCCUUAUUUUCUGUUGACUUUUAAACUUAUGGUUAAGAAGUGGUGUAUAAAAUAUUACUUCUGUAAUUAUUAGUAUGUCCUGGCAUUCAUUUUCUUUGGUGGUAAAAAUGAAAGGCAGUGGAACUCCAAUAUUUUGAUGAAUGUGUCAGCAUGAGAUUGUGCCAACUUGCUUACAUAUGUCAAUGUUUAUAUGACCUAAUUUUUCUGUAAGGUUUUUAGUAGGCAUUUUGUUGUCCUUGGACGUUGGUAGACACUUCUAUCUCUUGUGCCUGUGGCUUCCUUUGUUUUUGUUGUUCAUUAAUAAAAUUUUCUUCCUUCAUGUUUGAAAGAAAAGUUUAGGAAGACUUCUCUAAUAACUUUGUUGCAUAGAUAGAACAUUGUUUCUGCUACUUGUCCAAUAACUAUUUCAAGGGAUAAUAACAGGAAGAUUGGAUGCCUUUUAAUUGUCUAUUGCAUGUUUUUUAGGGUUCAAUUUUUGUUUUAUAGAGUUAAUUUUAUUUCAUAAAUACCAUAAGGGUUUACUUCCCUCAGAUUACAUGUGCUUGAUCAUUCUUUUAGAUAGAGUUGGAGAAUAACAAUUGAUUGGAAGAAAGAUCAGAGAGGGAAGACACAACUGUAUAACCAAAUAUCGGGAAUGAAUCAGAGAAUAAGAGGUCACUACGUAUUAAUAAUUCUAGGGGUACCAACUCGUAUCCCAAAUGUUUAAAUCCCAACUGAUGUUGCAGCAUUUCAUUUACUUGUAUUUGGGCACACUGUGAACCCCCAUUUAUUUACAACCAGUAAGCAGCUGCCAUGCUAUGUGCCACAUCAGUUGUAUUAAAAAGUUGAGAUAAUAGCUGGUGCCUGUAGUACUAUUCCUAACAUAUAGUGAAUUGAGUGAUGACUGAUGAGGGGAGGAGAUAACACUCAAUUAAUUGUGAUCUUGUGUGAAAAACCAAAACAUAGAGCGCAGCUAGCCAUUGGAAUUUAUAAUUAAAGCCUUUUUAAGUAAGUAGUUGUGGAGAUAACUCCUUGAACAUGAGUUUUCUUCUUUCUUUUCUGAAAAGUAAGAAACCUUUAUUGACUCAGAACUCAAAUCUUACUGACAGUGGCCAAGGAGUCAACUUCUAUAGAAUGUUUCAGAUUUAACUCCUUCGGGCAAGAUUUUUGGUGGGUUCCAUCAUUGAGGGUAAGUAAGGAGUUCAACAGAAUGUUGGGGGAAUAUACAGGGUUCUUUCGAUAUCCUUCGAAAUAUAUCUUUGAGGGUUAUUAUUCUUCAUUUAUUCUGUUGUCUAAGUUUUGGAAGAAGUUUGUAUGGAGAACCAUAUUUCUGUGCUUUGUUUCUUCGUUUAACUGAUUGUUAUAAUAUCUUCCAUGGCUCCUUUGUCCCCUAGAAUUUGAAUGAUAGGGAAUUUCCAGAUCCCAUUCAGUUUCCGCUGUCUAUAGGACGGAAUUGGGUUAUAGGAUAGUUGGAUUAAUAAUAUAUCUUUGAUUCUAGUUAGGCCCAGCAAACAUGUAGUCAUGAUUCAGUUACAGGCCCUUUAAGAUGAUUUGGAAGGUUUCUUUCCAAAAAGGUGAUUUGGAAGGUUGGUUACCUCCUAAACUGUUGUUAUUUCGUUAGUUUGGCAACCGAUGAGAAAACUAAUACUUGUGAGAUUCUCCAAGCCAGAAACCUCGUACCUGUCUCUCUCCUCAUCCAUGUUUCCUUGCGAUGCCUAGCGUGUAGAUUAAUUUGUAUUAAUUUAUUGUUUUUGGCAUUGCCUUUUCAAUGUUUUCAAUUCUGGUUAGGUUUCUGUUGGGUCUACAAUUGUUUGGACUAGUGCGUCUUUGGCCUGAAAAUUGCUAUUCUUGUUGGUUGAGGAUUUUUGGUCAUUUCUGUGUUGGUGCUAAUAAGGAGAGUAAUUUUAUAAAGAUCAACAGUUUUAAUAUAGUUCUUAAGGUUGUUUGGAUGAAGAGAAAUAUAGGCUUUGAAGAUAAAGUGGACUGGGUGAGGAAGUGGAUUUUCUAAGGAAAAUAGUAGAUUUUUUGUGGCACCUUUAUGGGUUCAAUGCCAGAGUCAUCUUGGGGGGAGUUAUGAACUUAUUGUAAUACGUUUCCUAUAAUUUUCUAGCUUUUGUGAUUAACUAGAGAUGAUGGACCGUCAUUUCUGUCUCUUAUUUUUCUUUUUCAAUAGAAAUUUGUGUUUCCUAUAAAAAAGGGUCACUAGUUUAUUCUUCUGAUUUAAAAAAAGGGAAAAAGCAAAAAAGUUUGGGCUUUCACACAGAUAUUGAGCACUUGUUAGUUUUACUUUUCUAUAUAUAGAUGUAAGAAGAUAUCUGCCCAUCUAUAUUUCUUUUUUGUCUUUAAAAACAUGGACAAGUCUAUAACCUUUAUUAUAAUAUUAAGGGUCCUCAGCCUUGUAAGAUUUGGAUUUGUAACUAAUAUUUCACCUUUAUGGGUUGGUGGUUGUAGAGUGGCAAUGACCAUGCGAGAGAAAAUGUCCUCAGAGGGUGCAACCUGGAGGGACCCUUGACUGGUCAAGAUGAAGAGGCAUCUAUGCUUGAGGAUAAUAAUUUUAACAAUGUUGCUACAAGAAUGCAAAAAGGACAAGGGAGCAAAGUGCUCAGUGAAUUCUUUAAGCAGAAAAAUUCCUUGUCGGGAGAUCUAUUUCCAACAGAGGUAUGUUCCUUGCCAUUGUUAGUGUGAAACUAUGAUACAUGGAUGAGAUUAAUGAUUGUAAUUGUUGUCAUUGACUUGGGCCUAUGCUAUGCGGACCUUCAAAAUAAAACUUAUCCUUAUUUUGAAGUGCUUUAUAAUUUUAUCAUUUCUUGCAGGUUAAAGAAAUUAUUAGGCUUCUGUGGGAAAAUGAAUCUCAACUCUGCUCUUUUAUUAGUGAUAUCCAGUGCCAAGAAACUGGAACAAAUGGAGGUUACUCUAUGUUUUUCUUGGAGACUGUUCUUGUACCACCAAUCAAAUUCCGUCCUCCAUCCAAGGGUGGUGAUUCUGUAUGUAUAUCUUACUUCAGGGACCCACUUUUGUGCUCUCUAUCUAUCUAUCUAUCUCUCUCUCUCUCUCUCUCUCUCUCUCUCUCUCUCUAUAUAUAUAUAUAUAUAUAUAUAUAUACAUGCAUAGACACUUAUCUAUAUGUUUAUUUAUCCAUCACAUUAAUAUACUCCCUCAUAGAUGGAUUCUGGUUACUGGGGGAGAGAUCAUUGGAUCGUUUGGAUUCCCUUUAUUGCACUCUAGGCCCUUGUGAUUGUAAGGUCCUUUGGUAACUGGAUAGUUCAGUUGAUGGAUAGAAUAAUAAUACCUUUCUCUGUCUAUUUAUCUAUCUAUAAAAGAGAUAGUUUUGUGGUUCUCUAUUGAUAGACUUAGCACUCUUAAGCUCAAAACUUGUUUCUUCUUUUGACCAACCUUGCUAAAAUAUUGACCUUAUAUUUUUUUUCGAUGGUUUGUUGUUUUCUGUACCACAUAUUGUAUUAUCAUUGUGCCAUUUUUUUUUAUGGAACCCACUCAGUUAUUUUUCUUCAUCUAGAAAGGCUUCUUCUUUUCCGUUUUGAAGUAUAUAAGAAUUAUGAAUUUGUUUUUAGUAAAAACUUGCUACAAGAGAACCACCCAAAGCCUUUACUAAAUUUUUAGAAAAGGUUCUUUUAUGGAAUUGCAUCUUGUUUGAGUUGUUCUAGAUUUUUUGUUAAUUUUUGUUUUACUUGGAGUGGUUAUGGGGUAAUGUGCUAUGUCCCACCACCUUCUCUGAAUUCUAUUUGUUUGGUCGUGCUUUUUCAUUUUCUAUGUUCUUGAUGUAUACAAUAUUACCCUUUCUUGUUUGAUGCUUCUUUUAGGUGAUGGAGCAUCCUCAAACCGUCUUAUUAAGUAAGGUGCUGGAGGCAAAUGUUUCUUUGAGCCAAACUCUUACCAACUUAGAGCACUCAAGGAUAAUUCGACGGUGGAGGGAUCUUCAAGAGAGUAUAAAUGUGAUGUUCAAUAGCAAAACUGCUGCUGGUGAGUGAAUGUGUAUUUUGGAUUCUCUCUGUUAAGACAUAAAUUUUGUGUUGUGUUCAAAUAUUUGGUUCUAUAGUUCCUUUUUUUCCCUUUACAUCUUUGCUUUCUGCUUGUUCCUUUUACCUUUUUAUGUAUAAAAAAUCAUUAAGAAAAGCACCCUUAAUAUUUUAUUAUUAUUAUUUUGAAAUUCUUUGUAUUCCUCUAAUUAUUCUUUGUAAUACAAUCAGUAAAUUUCAUGUGCAGCAUGCAGUAGAAGUGUUGAAAGAGAAUCAUAGAUAGAAAUUGGAGAACAAUAAUGAUGCAUAUAAAAAAAAGAGAUUGAUAAGCCUGAAAAGUUCAAACAUCAAUUUGAAGCAUAUAAAUGAAACUCGGAUAGAUUUGGACAUCAGCUUCCCAAAACCUUACUAUUUCCCAUACCCACUCGAAAGCGACACCACACAACAAAAGAAAAAACCCUUUAGAAAAAUCCAUGGGCAUCGACUUAAGUCUCUAGCCGCAAUCUUGGGAUCCCUGCCUUUUUCAUGCAGUAUGAAAUCUCCGCUGCCACUUUCCAAGCAAAGUUUUGUUCCUUUUCACUAAUACUCACCCUUACACCUCCUUUUUCCUUAACUUGAGUCACCACAUCCCAUCUUAUUAAGUAAUCCCACCAAAAAAGUUUCUCAUUAACCCCUCCAAUCACUGUGCCACACCUCAAGGAAUUUGAAAAAGUGAUAGAUAUCAGAUUGGGAAACUGCUCAACACCGAUUUGAUUAAUUUCAGCCUCCCCCCCGUUGACCAAUAAGUUUUACUCCACCCCUCUAAUCCUUUUUCCACUUUUCCUCCACAAGGUUCCAAAAAGUGACUGCUCUCAUGUUUACUAACUUGGAAUCAGAGUGAUUGUUGAUGACCCAUGAUUACCAGCAAUGACAUUACCACACCCUCAGCAUGGAUUCCCACUCCUGAAAAAUCAGGAGUGUGAUUGCUGAUUUUAUGUGGGCCCAACCCUUGUUUUGAUUCCCAAAGUAUUAUUAAACACUUGAAUGACCUUGACUGGGAGUCCUAUUUUUUUAUGUUCUGAAUGGCUUGCUCUUAAUAAAUGCAAGGUUAUACUGUGUUGGAUUUUAUUUAUUUCCACGACCACUCUCUUUGAUGUUAGUAUUCCAUGGGUCUUAGAUGGAUUGUGUCCCUUUGUACGGUAAUUGGUGCAUUUAUGUAGUGAUCGCUAUUUAUUUGCAGGUUCUUAUAUAAUUAUAUCUUCGGUAGCUGGAUUAGUUACUGCAUGAUCUUUGUCAAUUAUUCACCUGUCUGUAGAAGUUAAGCAAUGACCCUUCUGUACUUAAUUCUAGGUCAAGGUCAAAGAGAUGCGGCUCCCGGAAUAUGUCAGUUGCUUGAGAAGAAGGAAGGCCUGUUCCGGCAGAAAAUGAUGGGCAAAAGGGUAAAUUUUGCGUGCCGGUCUGUCAUAUCUCCGGAUCCCUACUUAGCUGUUAAUGAGAUUGGGAUUCCUCCAUACUUUGCAACGAGAUUAACAUAUCCUGAGGUAAGGGUUACUAUUGGGCUCUAUGGCUUCAAUGGAGCGUCAAUGUUGUUUUUUAUUUUUAAUGUCGAUCUUCCUACAGAGAGUUACUCCGUGGAAUGUUGACAAGUUGAGGAAUGCUAUUGUCAACGGUUCUGAAAUCCAUCCUGGAGCUACACAAUAUGUUGAUAAAUCUGGUCCCAAGAUUUUGAGGCAAAACAGGAGAGAACGCAUUUCAAUAUCAAGAAAAUUACCUUCUUCAAAAGGGGCUGUCAUGCAACAUGGGAAGGGCUCUGAUAAUGACAUUGAAAGUAAAAUAGUGCAUCGUCACUUGCGAGAUGGGGACAUUGUGCUUGUCAAUCGACAGGUAUUGAUUAAUUGACUUUAUAUGUAUAAUUCUCUACCCAUAUUUUGUGUUGAGGAGGUUUUAAGUUGUUUUGCUAUCCAGGCUGAUUGUCAACAUUAUGGUAUGAAGCAGUUAGUACUGUGUUUGCCAUACUAGUGGUAAAUGGCUUAUGCUGCUUGUCUUCUGUUUACUUGUAAAGAAAAGAAGUUUGGUAUUUGUUGAUUUGUCUAUGUAAGGUGUAGAUGCCUAAGUGUUGACCCAAAAUAAUGAUUACAUAAUAGUUGAAUGUUAGAUCAUAUUUAUUAAGUGGUUGCGUAUGGGACUUUGUAUGUGAAUAUUUAGAUGACUGAUCCAGUGCUCAAAUGAAUUCACAGGCUGUGCAACUCCACUUCUUGUUGCUUAUGUUUUAACCUCGAAAUGCUUCACUAAAGCUAAAUGCACAGGCUGACAAACUUGAGAUAUUUGUUGGCAUUAGCAUAAAAAUUAGGUUUUUAUAAUAGAUAAUGUUACUGUACCUAUUUCAAAAGAUUUUCUUUGGCAUUGCACUAAGUGAAAAUUGUUUUAUUGAUUCAAAUUUUUGUUAUGUAUUAAUAUACUAAUCUCAAUAAUAUGAUGUGGUGAAGUGGCUUCAUUUGUACUUCAAAUAAUUUGUUAGGUUAACUUUUCUUUUCUUAUAAUUUGAUUAACGUUUAGUUUUUUGGUUGAGUGCUUAGCUCAUGUUUUUUUUCAUUUUGCAGCCUACACUUCACAAACCCAGUAUAAUGGCGCAUGUAGUUCGUGUAUUGAAGGGGGAGAAAACAAUUCGCAUGCACUAUGCUAAUUGCAGGUUGAUAUAUCACACACAUAUGCACAUAUAUAAAUCUUAAUAUUUGUUUACAUAUUGACUACAUGAACUAUGAUCCUUGAAAUUUGUCUUUGGCUUGCACAUGGUAAUUUGUGAUUUAAUGUUGUGAUUUCAGUACUUACAAUGCUGAUUUUGAUGGUGAUGAGAUGAAUGUUCAUUUUCCGCAAGAUGAAAUUUCCCGUUCGGAAGCUUACAAUAUCGUAAAUGCAAAUAAUCAGUACGUAAAGCCGACCAGUGGAGAUCCCAUUAGAGCCUUGAUUCAGGUAUCUAAUAAUUAUAAUAGUAAUAUGCCACUUAAAGAUAAUAUUUAAGUUUUUUACGUGAAAUAUUUUGAUCAACAAUACCAGUGCUUCUCUAAAUAAUUAUUGCUGUUUUUUUUUUUUUCUUUUUUGAAAAUUUCAGGAUCAUGUUAUAAGUGCUGUCCUCCUUACAAAGAAGGAUACAUUUUUACGUUGGGAUCAAUUUAAUCAGCUUCUUUACAGUUCUUGUGUUUCAGCCCGUGUGUCAGAUGCUUUCUCUGGCAAACCAGAUAAAAAAGUUUUCAUGUUUAACUCUGAAGGCACAAUGCAGCCCCUUCUUCCGGCAAUUUGGAAACCAGAGCCCCUUUGGACAGGAAAGCAGGUUAUUGUAAAUUAACUCAGCUAUUUUAUAUUUAUAAUCCAAACUAGGGGUCAAAAUGUGUUUUCCGUUGAAAAUCUGGAUGACUUUCUCCUUGUUUGAAAGCAUAACUAUUUGUGAUGUUCUUGGACGCUUACUACAUUUAUCUGUCUUUGCUUUGUUCUUUUUAUUGAUUGCUAAUUUAACAAUUGUGAUUUUCCUGGACUUUUAAAUUUAAAAUGAAAUUGUCUCCUUUGUGUAGGUCAUCACUGCCUUGCUAAAUCAUAUUACUAGAGGUUCUCCGCCAGUUACUGUUGAAAGAGAUGCAAAAAUCCCACGUGGUUUUUUUAAUUGUAAAAAUGUUGAAGGAGAAGAUAAAUCUGGUAAUGAUGGACAACAAAAAAAGAGGAAACCAAGCAAAGAACAAGCAACUGAUAAAGAUAGCUCAAAGGAAAAAGAGGAGCCUGAUGAGAACCAUUUAUUAAUAUAUAGAAACAACUUAGUACGCGGCGUGAUUGACAAGGCUCAGUUUGGUGAUUAUGGUUUGGUCCAUACAGUUCAGGAGUUCUAUGGCUCAGAUACUGCAGGAAAAUUGCUUUCUGUAUUGAGUCAUUUAUUUACCGUGUAUUUGCAGGUUAGUCGGGUUCAGAAUUUAUUUUCACUGUUAAUUAUUUAGUUCUAUUUCUUGUUUGCCAUAAUUUUUUUAGCAACUUUGUAAACUUGCAUUAAAUUGUGCUAUGCUUCAGAUGCAUGGGUUCACAUGUGGGAUUGAUGAUCUUUUGCUACUGGAAAGCAAAGACGCAAAAAUGAAGGAUCAACUAGAAAGUUGUGAAGAUGUGGGUGAAAAUGUUUACCGUGAUUUUAUCGAGGUCAAAGAUGUUAAGAGAAAAGGUAUGCCAUUUUCCAGAAAAGCUACUUAGUGAACAUUUUUAUGUCAACACACAUAUGUUGGUUGAUGAUUGUGAGGUCAUUGUAUGAAUGAUUUGGAAGCAAUGUUUAGAGUGUGAACCCACAGCCCAAAAACGUCAGUUGACGUUUCAGUGUUUUCUAUAUCCUGUUAUGGGGUGGAAGGUCUAUAUACUUGUUAUCGGUGGAAACCUGUGGUGAAAAAUCUAAUUUCCACAAGAUGGGGACGAGUUGAUAUACGAGUGUUAGCAAUGAUGGAAAUACAUGAUGUUUGUCGGCAUGGUGGCUGGCUUUGAAAUUUUUUUGGGUUGUAUACAGGCAUUUGUGGGGCAGUGUUUUUAUAGGACAAUUCUGUAACUGUUUGGACCAAGGUCCAACGGUUAUUAGCAUAGAAGAUUGCAACACGUAAGUAGGACAUUUUCUAUUAACUAUUGUAUUUUCAUCCUGCUGCUAAAACGUGACAUGGGGGCUGUAAGGUGCACCCUCUCUCUCUCUCUCUCUCUCUCUCUCUACAUACAUAAAUAUCAAGUAAAAUCUCAAUAAAACAUGGGAUAUUGGAGUAUUAACUUCAAAAAGAAAAUUAGCAUGCCAUUGGAUGUCUCAGACUCAGAUAGAGUCUGCUAGGGUGAGAAUUUCAAUCUUACAAAAAAAUUGGUUAAAAUGGAGAUGUAUAAUUUCUUACCUGUCUUUCUUUCUGAAGUUAUUACAGUCAUUUUGUUCCUUUCAUUUCUUGAUUCAUUUGUCUUAAUGCAUGUUUGAUGUCUUGAUCAAAUUUGCAGAUCCAGUGGAACUGCAAUUAAACAUCGAAAAUUUUAUUCGGAGUAAUGGAGAAUCUGCCUUGGCAUCCUUGGAUAGGAGAAUGAUUAGUCAGCUUAAUAAUAAGACCUCCAACUCUGAUGUGUUCAAACAAUUAUUGUUGAGGGGGUUAUCAAAACCAUCUGUUAAAAAUUGUAUCUAUCUUAUGACAACAUCUGGGGCUAAAGGUAGUGUGGUAAGUUUCUGGAGUUUGCUUCUUACUUAUUCAUGCUCGGAGUUAUGUGCAACAUGAUAGUGCACUAUCAGAUUACUAAGAGUAGUUAUGCUUUUGACAUUACUUCAACCAGAUUUGUUUCUUAUCACUGAUACAUAUGUAUUUUAGCAGAAAUUUUGUAAUACGUUCAUUGGGUAUACAUACCUUAAUAUUUUAUCAAGUUAUAAAGUGUAAUGUGAAAUUGCAUGUGAUGUGUUCCAUGUCAAAGGUAAUAAAAUAUCUAAGUAUAUAUUUUACUUACAAGUCACAAUAAGAAAUAAAGAUUUCCUUUGUGAAAUAAAGGCAAUUCUUUAUAGCUUCUACAUGUACGGAUUACCUGCAUGUGCUAUUUUCAUCUUCCCUUUUUAUGCUACAUCAUGAUCAUGCUUAUUAAGAUAUGUUUGUUCUUAUUUUUGUUGUUGUUGUUAUUUAUAUUAUCAGUUUUACAGUUUAUUUUAUAUUCAAUACUCAACAUCGGGUGCAAGGCACAUGUUAGUAUGCGAGUUAUUGUAUGACAGCUCUGCCAAAAAUUUAUAUCUGAUAGAUUUUUGUAAAGUUUGACCCUUGGAUACAUAUGGAUUCUUGAUGGAUAUGCAAGGGAUACCAAAGGUGGUGUAUUGUUUUUUUUCAGAAAAAGGGGGGUUUCUGCUCUGGUUGAAUUUAAAGAUUUUUUAAAAUUAUGAACUUUAUUUUUGUUUAAGGAGAUUUGGACAGAGAAACAAAACAUGAAUAAGAGAAGAAGGAAAAGGAAAAAAUACAUAUAUUAUUAGAUUGUUUUGUAUCCUUACUGUACCAAUACCCUAUUUUUUGGGGAUUCGUUUAAUUUCCCUUUGCAUUGUAUCAUGUAAACCAUUCCAGUGCAACAGUAUGAUAGUUCUGAUUUAAUUUAAAAGUCUACAUGUUACCAUCUGUAAGCUACGAAUUAUUUGUUGUCAAAUUUUGUUAUAAAGUAUUACUCAAGAAACUUCAUAAAUAGAUAUUUAUAUAUAUAUAUAUAUAUUUAAUGUUGUUUAACGUUUUGAUUAGGCUAAUCUCCAACAAAUAACUUCAUAUUUGGGUCAGCAAGAGCUAGAAGGCAAACGGGUCCCUCAAAUGAUUUCUGGAAAGACCUUACCGUGCUUUCCCCCAUGGGAUUGGUCAUCUCGAGCAGGAGGCUUUAUCAUUGAUCGUUUUCUUACUGGUCUUCAUCCUCAGGAGUACUAUUUCCAUUGCAUGGCUGGCCGUGAAGGGUAAUUUAAACUUCUUUCUCCACCCUGUCUAAGUUGUCUUUGGUGGAAAUCAUCAGCCUUUAUGUUUUUCCCUAAGCAAUAUUUUGUCGUGCAAGAAUAUAAGAUAUGCUUUUUUUCUUUUCUAGUUUCUUUUUUGUUUGUUUUUCUUGAUGGAAGUUGCAAGCUUUAUGUCACAGCAUCCGUACCCGUCGGGCUGUUGUGCAGCUGUAUUGCUUGAAAUAUCAUAGUGCUGGUGGAUAAGAAGGUUUAAACUGUGGUUUUUUGUCAUAGUCUUGGUUGCAUGUUUUGAGUUUCUAGAUCUCAAGCAAGCAAUGGAGCCUCCUAGUUUAAGUUGAGUUAUGACUCAGUAACUGAGACUUGCUUUUCCCUUGGGGAAGUGAAACGAAGAUCAAGGUUGGAAAAAUAAAAACACUCAUCACAUAAUAUUAAAAAGAGAAUUAUUUGAUUUCAUGUUUAUUGGACCAUGUUUUUCAUAUGUAACGAGAUUCUGUAAACCCCUUCCACCAACUUAAUUAACAAGUCACAAUAAACAUUUAGGGGGUGUAGAGAGCAUUUUGGGAGGUGUCAAUAGAAUUCUCCAUGCAAGUAAUAUGUAACCAAGGGAUCACUCUUGUACUUUGCAUACUGGGAUGGCAUUCAUUUGCUUUAAAAUACAGAUAAAAGAUUUACAUAGAUAUAAAAUAUAAAAUAUUUAAAAAAAACCUCUCGUCCCGCUUCCUCAGUUCCCCACCCUAGCAGACUUUUGGGGAGGAAAGAAAUCCCUAUAGUCCAUAAGUUCUAACCACCAAUCAACUGCUGUGUCUACUCUAAUUUUAUAAUGUAGUGUUGGUUUGGGUCAGUGCUAUGGUUUUACAGUAAUUUCUGAGAGGUACAUUGGAUUGUAGUAUUGCUGGAUUGAUUGUAUUAUUGUGCCACAAUGCCUUUAAGAAUUAUUUCUUGUACUUCAUCUUUUCAAUCUUCAUAGUAGAAGGGGACAAUUAAUAGCUGAGCAUGACUAAAUCUUCCUCCGUUCUACAAUAUAAUGUUUUUGAGAUAGAUUUAGAGUUUGGAUGUAAGAUUUCAACCAAUUUUUGCUUGCUGUUAGUUUUCAUUUUAUAAUUUGUUGUUUUAAUUAUAUAUUGUUCUUGUGUGGCGAUGUGCAUGCUUGAUUAUGUUGUAGUUCCGUAAUAGAUGGAGCCCAGGAAAGAGUUAAAUCCUUUGAAUAAAUAAGCUGUUGCUUAUGAGUAGGCCCAAGUCUGUACAAGUUCGUCUUGCAUUAUUUGGGUUACCUGGAUCAUAUAUUUGAAAAAUUUUCCCUAAAUUUGUCGAGUGUAAGUGUCUUCAGAAAGGCUGUAGUGGUUUUUUUAUAGCACACUGAUCGUCUUAUCUAUUCUUUAACCCAAAGAUCAAUAAAUAAAAAAACAUUCCCUCCUCCCCAAGAAAAUUAUAUAGCUCGGAAUUUGGGACCCUGUAUUUGUUAGUGUCAAAAAGUGUCCCUUUUUCCGUUUUGGCAGAGGACUCAUUCUGAAAGACAGCCCUAGUGAAGGGCGUGCUAUAGCCUGUAAACAUAGGUAGCGUGUGCUGCUUGUGUGUCGGUUUGUAUGCAUUUUGAUUCUUCAUUUUCAAACUUUUCCUUCAGCCACUUACUUCACCUGUGAUUUUUAUUUUUUCUUUUCAUUUAAAAUUAUUUAGAGAAGCUCUAGUUUAUCCUUUUUAGGAAUAGCCUUUCAGAUUAAAAUUUUCAAACAUAUUUGUCACAACAGAAAAUCACUAUUAUGCUUACAUGGAGUGUUUUUGCGCACUUGUGUGCCAUCAUGUUGUUAUUGUGGGAUGAUCAAAAAUAUUUUCUUUUCUUUACCUGGUCAAACAAAUAAAGCCAAUGGUAUAUUGUAUCCUUAGUAACCAUUUCACUGAUUUUUUCUUUGUUUAACUACAAUCUUCAUACUGCUAGGUUGGUUGAUACAGCUGUCAAAACAUCUCGUAGUGGAUACUUGCAAAGAUGCAUAAUAAAAAAUCUUGAGUGCCUAAAGGUUUCUUAUGACAAUACCGUUCGUGAUGCUGAUGGUUCCAUUAUUCAAUUUCGUUAUGGAGAAGAUGGCAUUGAUGUCCAUAUGACGAGCUUUAUUCAAAAGUUUGAAUCCCUAAUAGCUGUAAGGACUUCUUUUUGGUUUUCUGAAUAUGAAUUCCUUGCAAAACCAUUUUUCAAUAAUUUAUUUACUUCCUAAUGUUUAUUCUUCUCAGAAUAAAGAAAUGUUUCACAAGAAAGGUCGUCGUCAAAUGGAUAAAUUAAAUCCUUAUAUUAAAGACUUGCCUUUGGCUCUUAAAGAAAAAGCAGAGAAGUUUGUGCAUAAUUUGGCAUUGAAAGAGAAAGAUCAUAACUUCCAAGAGGAUUUCUUGAAGUUAAUGGAGCACAAAUACCUUUGUAGCCUUGCUCAACCUGGAGAACCAGUUGGUGUUCUUGCCGGUCAGUCUGUAGGAGAACCGUCAACACAGAUGACGUGAGUUUUCAUUUUACUUUUCUCAUAUUGUUUUAAAUGUUCAUUUUCUUGCUAUUUAUGUCUGCCCUUGGUUACAUCUCAAGAUGCAAGGGUUAGGCUGGGAACAACGUAGGUUUUCAGGUUGAAUUUUUGAAAAAAAGGGGGAAACAGGGACAUAAUUAAGUUUUCGGAGGAUGCAUGUUUGGGAGAGUUGUCUGGAAAAUGUGUGUUCUAGACUCUAUAACUUCUCUAGGUUUCACAACAUGGCUAAUAGGCUUGUUGCCUCUACUGUCUUACUAUUGAACUAUGACUUUGGGCUUAGAAGGAACUUGUGUGAAGCUGAGAUGAUGGCUAUUGUCUUCAUUAAUUUUUUUCUUUCAGAAAUUGCUUGGUUCCACUCUUCCAGGGCUAAAGUCAGGAAAACGACAAGUAGAACCCUCAGGAAGUUUCCCCAGUAAAUCUAAAGGUUGUUUUUUAAGCAACACUGUUGCAGUGUAGGCUUUUUCAACCAUAAGGAUCGAUUUGGAUUGUAAGAGUUCCCUCCAAGGUGAACAUCUUUACUUGGCAAGUGUCUCAUGGCAUGGUCCAUACUUGUGAUAUGGUUCACGGAAAUAGAUCAAACAGUUGCCUUUUCUGCCAACGGUGCAUAUUGUAAAAUAAGGAUUUAAAAUCUGUGGAUCAUGUUUUCACAUUUUGUGAUUUUGUGUCCGUGGUUGAAGUUGUUUAGUUAGCCAGAAGUAGCUUAGUAAUUUCUUGGACUUUUGUUCUCUUCUUUAUGAGGAGGGAUGAAGGUCAAAAUUAUGUGGAGUUGCAUGGUUUUCGCUGUGCUCUAGGUGGUUUGGCUGGAGAGAAAUUAGAUGGACUUUUGAAGACUGGCAAUGAGACUUAGGAGUUUUGGUCCGUACUUUGAGCAUCUGUUUCUGCAUAACGUAGGAGUUUAUCUUUCACAGAUAUGAUGACCAAAAAAAAUCUUUCAGAUUUUUGGUCCAAAACUUGUAAGUUUUAGUUAAGAACUUGGAAAAACGUUUACUUAUUUUUAGCCAAUGCAUAAAACAAAAUUAUUCAUUUUUCUUGCUGCUUUUAUGGAACAUUUAUUAUUUUUUAAAAUUUGUUAUUUGUUUUCUGAAUAAAUGGUUUGGUAGGGUUGGAUUGUUGAUCAGGUAGGAUUUAAAUUUUUAGGUUGAGGUUGAUUACUUUAGAAUGUAGAAUCGUCAUUUUGGAGCUUAGGGUUUAGUGCUCAGCUGCCAAAACUGAAACAGAAAGCAAAUUCAGUGAGUGACAUAAAUGUAAUACCUACAUAGUUACUUUUGGAUUUUAUUCUAGCAUGGCUCGGUAUUGUGGGCUAUGGAUUUAGGAUUUAAGGCUUUAGCUAAAUCCUAGAAUCUAAGCCCUCCCCAAACCCUGAACAGAAUCUAAAAUUAAUUUUAUUAAGGCUGUGGAUUGUGAUUAGUAGUGAAGUGUAUUACUUUUUAUUUCAGCGAUUUACAGUUUAAAGUGUAACUCUUACUAAGUUACGAUGAGUUUAUCAGAAUUUAGAAUGGGUCCUAAAAGACAUGGACAAAUUGAUUUAGUCUCCUUAAAGACAUGGACAAAUUGAUUUAGUCUCCUUAAAUACAUGGACAAAUUGAUUUAGUCUCCUAAAAGACAUGGACAAAUAAAAUAAUUGGAAGAUUAGAAGAUGCUAAUUUUUUUGCUAAAGGGAGCUGCUCUUUGGAGUCUAUUGCUAAAAACCCUUUUAGCAUUAGCUAGCCUUUGUCGUUCUCCUUCGCAGGUCUCUUUGAACUGGCCAUCAGUUCCACUUUCUUUCUAAUCGUAUAUUUUUCUGCUUUAUAAGAUUUCUCUAUUUUUCAAACAGAAAAAAAGAUGUAAAAAUUUAUCUCUCCUCUCUUAUUUUUGGUACAACCAAUUGCAUUUGGUAUGUGCUUUGUUUUUGUAUUUAGGCGAGCAUUAUUUUUGGUUAUAUUAAUAUGUAUCCUGCCAUAUGGUUAUUGCUAUCUUUUUCAGACUGAAUACUUUCCAUCUUGCGGGACGAGGUGAAAUGAAUGUGACCCUUGGAAUCCCACGCCUCCAAGAGAUCUUGAUGACUGCUGCAAAUGAUAUUAAGACGCCAGUUAUGACAUGCCCAUUGCAAAAGGGGAGAUCGAAGUGAGUCUUUAAUUGGUUGUUGUGAUAUACUUUUGCUCUUUCUUUUUGGGUGGGUAUGUUAGUAGACAACUGAACAUACUGUACAUUUAAUAUUUUGUUAUAAGUCUUUAAGUAACCUUGCAACAGUACGGAUUUAUUGUUUCAAAAUUUCAAAGAGAAUGCUCUGAGCUAUUGAAUAAUCUUAUUUUCACAUAAGGCUCUGGUUCAUAGUUAAAGUGAGGGUAGGGUUGAUGUAAGGGUUUAUUCUGCCUCAAUUGAAUGCAACUUUGCGUGCAAAGCUAUCCUUGCUGAUAACCAAUACCUAGUGUUUAUUGAUGUCCAAUUGCUUUUUUGUAAAUUCGCUCUCAAUGACAGAUCUUAUGUAUUUCAUAGUUUUAAAUAUUGCUAAACCCUGCUGAGCAUGUGUUAUCUGAUGUUUGUCCUCUAGUAUUUUGUUACUUGGACAUUUUAUGGAAUGUAGGGCCACCGUGUUUUUUGUUUAUAGACUUAGAAAUACUCUAUUUGUUAUAUGCAGGGAGGAAGCUCAGGAGCUAGCUGAUAAGUUGAAGAAGAUCACUGUGGCAGACAUAAUCGAGAGUAUGAAAGUAACCUUUGUGCCAUUUUUCAUUCAGGAUGGUCAAACUUGCCGUAUUUAUAAGCUUGAGAUGACACUCCACGUACCUGAACAUCUUCGAACCAUCAUUGAAUAUUCAUCAGAAGAUUGGGAGGAAAUCCUAGAGAUUGUGUUUGUUAGGGAGUUGGAAGAUGCCAUACAAAAUCAUAUUCUUUUGCUUUCUAAAAUUAGUGGUAUUAAAAAUUUCACGCCUGAUUCACAACCAAAGGCAUCAAAUGAGACAGAUGAAAAUCUUCCUGAAAAAAGAUCUCAACGUGAGGAAGAAGAUGAUGACAAUGGUGGUGCAGAUGAUGGUGAACAUGGUGAAGGGGUCGAGGAUUUUGGUCUGGAUGCCCAUAAGCGAAAGCUACAAGCUACAGAUGAGAUGGAUUAUGAAGAUGGCUGUGAUGAUGAAGUGAGAGAGGCAGACUUGUCAGAUGGAGAUGAAAGUGAAAUUGAUGAGGAGGAAAAUGAAGUUGAAAUUGGUAAGGAUGGUGAAAUUGGGGUCAUCGAUGCUAAUGAUGAAAUGCCUGGAAGUCCUUUAGAAGAAGCUGGGGACCUAGCUAAGCCCAAGUCAAAGGAGAAAAAGACCAAAUCAGGAUCCCAAAUUAGAAAGAAAAGGAAGGUCCGAGCAGAGAUGGUAAAAAAGGAGACUGACAGGGCAAUUUUUGUGUCAGCAAAAGGGUUCCACUUCGAGGUCCAUUUUAGAUUUGCCGACAAUGAACCUCAUAUUUUGCUGUCUCAGGUACUUUUAGUUUUACUCGUUGUCACACUUCUGCUCUUAUUUAUUUCCUUGGCAAGUUAGCCCACGCAUCACUCAGUAUUUCUCCUUCUUACAAGCUAUUAUGGGUCAGAAGCUUCAUAAAAAUAAAUAAAAACUAUAGGGAAAAUGAAAACAGCACAAUAAAAAGCACACCCAAAACCGCCGUUAACUUACGAGUAUAAUUAGAUUCAUGUGGCGUUUUAUAUUUUUGUUACUAUGCAGGUGUUCAUUAUAUAUUUUAUUACUAUACAUUCUCUUUCAGCCCUGUGUUGAGAAUUGUUUGAAUUAUGUUAUGUAGAUUGCUCAGAAGACAGCCCAGAAGGUUUAUAUUCAGAGAUCUGGAAAGGUUGCUGACUGUAAACAAAUUACAUGCGAUGAAAAUCAAGUCCUCUGCUUUGGGAAGGAUCCUGAAAAUAAACAAAGUUUUUCAUCCAAGGAAAAAAAGGAGAUGCCAGCUCUGCAAACUACUGGAAUUGAUUUCGGUACAUUUUGGCAACUGCAAGAUGUUCUUGAUGUCAGGUAUAUUUAUUCCAAUAACAUACAUGCUAUGCUGAACACUUACGGAGUAGAAGCCGCCAGGGAAACUAUCAUCCGAGAAAUAAAUAAUGUUUUCAAGUCUUACGGAAUAUCCGUCAACAUUAGGCAUCUUACACUAAUAGCUGACUUUAUGACUCAUGCUGGUGGUUAUCGUCCAUUGAAUCGAUUCGGAGGCAUCGUAGAGUCGAUAUCUCCGUUUAAUAAAAUGACUUUUGAGACAGCUUCCAAGUUCAUUGUUGAAGCAGCAUAUCAUGGGCAGGUGGAUCGCUUGGAAACCCCAUCCGCUAGGAUCUGUCUUGGAUUGCCAGUAAAUGUGGGUACUGGAUGUUUUGAUUUGAUGCACAAGAUGGAGGUUGAAUGCACACAGAGAUAGAGAUAUAUAUAUGAGAUUUUUACAUAUUUUGGGCCAAUUGCAGCCCUUUAUUUGUAUUUCACUUACAUGAGUUCUUUUUUCUUUUUUCUUUUUUCGUUAAGCAUGUAAUGUCCAAGGUCUGUUUUAAUAACGCAGGUCUGAUCAUUGCAAAUUGAUGAUAUUGACUGAGUUGAGUUAUCAACACCCAAUCACACUUUUAGGAAAAUGGCCAUUAAAACCCUGUGUGAAAGGACUCAAAUACCCAGAACUACAAACAAUGAUAUUUCUUAGACCUUUCAAUAACUAACUAAAAAUGUGAAGUUGAAAUUCUAUAGAAAAAGACUUUAAUGAUCAAAAUGGUCCCUUACUAUUGUUCCAAUAUCAUUUUGGUCCAUCAAUUAAAAUUUUCAUUUCAAUGGUCCUCAACUCUUCAUUUGGUAUCAAAAUGAUCCUACCGUCUCAGUUUCUGAAAUAUUCUGUUAAAUUGAGGGGCAAAAAAGUAAAAUAUUAUUUAAAAAAUUAAAAACUGAAAUGCCCAAAUAUCUAAAAUCCAAAAAAAUAAAAAUAAAAAUUCCACAAAAAAAUCUAACUCAAACCCAUCAGAGUCUUCUACCCAUUCACUCCGACUCAAAUCAAACCCAUGUUCGCCUCCUCGUCUCUCUACCACCAUCUCUUGCUGCUACUGCGAUUUCAAGUUCUGGGCUUUCAACCAAUCCUUCUUCCAUUUCGGCAGAACCCCCUCCCAAAUUCUCAUAGCAUGAUUAUUGUGAAGCAAAACGUAGGCUUGAUUGAAAGCAGUGAGUGAGUGCGAAUGGAGUAUGUUGUCGUGUUUGUUGCGUUUCUGUUUCCUGGUGCUCUGGUGGCUUUUGAUUCUGAGUCUCUGCAACCAUUGUCUUGCUUUGCUGCUGUUCGAAUUUAUUCUGCUGGAAUUUGGCACAAUGCAGUGGCAAGCUUACAUUUGUUUUCGUUAUUUAUUUAUUGAUGGAGAGUUAAUGUAUUUGCAAAAGGUAAUGCUAAUUAGCCUUCAAAUUUUAUUCACCUCAAGUGCUGUGCAAUUUGUGGGCUGCCAUUACUUAUCCUGCCCUUCACCUUGUUUCCAUUCUACAUACAUGGAGAGAGAGAGAGAGAGAGAGAGAGAGAGGCGAGGCUGCAGGUUAGUCAAAUCGGCGUGUGUGGUGGCUGGGUUUUUUUUGUGAGGGUUGUUAAUGAGGGUGGGACAGAUGGGGGGGUGAUGAGGGAAUUUGGGGUUUUUUUAUUUUUUGGUAAAGAGUCCAAUUUACCCCUAAAUUUGGAGCAUGUGCCGUCUACGUAAUUCACAUGAUCCAAUUUAAUGAAAAAUGUUACAGAAUGACCGUUUUGAUACAAAAUGAAGACUUGAAGUAUCGUUGAAAUGAAAAUUUUAGUUAGUGGACCAAAAUGAUACUUGAGCAAUAGUUGGGGGACCAUUUUGAUCAUUAAUCCAUAGAAAAAUGGUAGGAAAAAGACUCUUCUAAGUACACCAUCCUAACUUCCUAAUCUUAUCUGGUGAGUUAUGCAUGUCGUUAAAGUAAUGGCCUUUGAUUUCAUAUGUUUGAGCCUAGGGAUGGCAACAAGCGGGUAGGGGUCAGGUAUGGCAGUACCAUCUCUAUUCCUGUUUCCGCCCCCUUUUCCGGUAUGAUAUUUCGGGGAAUCCCCAUUCCCAUUCGCGUUGGGGGAUCAUAUCUCAAACCCGGCCCGAAUCCCCAAUUAUAUGUUUAAAAAAAUAUAAAACUAUCCAUAUUACACUUCAAUUUCACAUUAAACUAUCAUCUAACUCAAUUAAAUUCAAUUGAAUUAUAAAAUUUCACUCAACUACUCAAAUUCAACUCAAUUCAAUUUGACAAAAAUAAUAAAAUCAUAUAAUUUUCUUUGAGAAAAUGGGAUACAAAUUAGGGAGAUUCACUAUUAUACCAAAUAUAGAGGUCCAAAUUAUUUUUAAAAAAAACCUAUAUGAAAUGAACUUUAGAAACACACUCAAAGCUCAUUUACAACAUAAUAAAAAGAUUUUUAACUUCUUUUAAAUUACAAAAUUGUCAUUGAUUUCUUAAAACAAACUCAACCCCAAAAUCUCAUAAAAAAGCCCAAAACACUAAAUAGGGCAUUAAAGUAAUUUAAUAAUAAAAAUUAAAUUCAAUAGGGCCAAUUGUCAUUUUUUGGGUUUGUUUAUAGAAAUUAAAUGGUGUAGGAUUUAUUUAUAUUAUUAGUGCUAAGAAUGAGUAUAUGACUAAAUAUCUCUAAAAAGUAAUGGAACUAAUACAACAUAUUGUUUUCAUCGACAAUUCAUCAUCAAGAUGAAUGUCCUCACUCAAUGGAAAACAAAAAAAACUUGCGCAAGAAAAGGAUAUGUGGCUGUACAUACAGCUGUUACAUUACAACGGCAAUGCUACUUUAAUAGACUAAUCUAACUUAACUUAAUAUUUUGUCCAAAAAAAAAAACUUAACUUAAUAUUAUUUAAUUAUUUAUUUAUACAUUAAAACUUUUUAAUUGUUAUAUUAUAUUAUUUUAUAUAUAUUUAUUAAUUAAAAAUAAAUACAUCAUUUAUUGAGUCAGGUUCAGGAAUGGGGAUAACAAUAUCAUCCCGACUCGUCUCCGAUCGGGCAUUUUUAAAUUGGAGAUCCCUGUACUCAACACCCCACUCCCCCCCCCCCCCCCCCCCCCCCUCGAAAUCUCCUCUCAUUAGGGGCGAGGACCCGACGUGGAUUUCUAGCAUCCCUAUUUCUCCCUUUGCUUCCACACAAAAUAAGAAAUGGUCUUUUGCAUAAAUGGUUGGGAAUUAACAUUCUCAUCAUCUUUGGUAAAAUCAAGUCCACCAUGGAUUAUAAACUACUCUACUGUGUUUUUUAGUGUGUAACCCCAAUUUAGGUUUAAUAGUACAUCCCAAUAGGGGCGGCCAUACAUGUUCAAUUUAUCUCUCAACUUGGAUCCCAUGAGGCGGAUCUUGGAAAGUUUUAACAUAAGCAGGAGGGAUUCGCAAAUCCUCCAGAAAUAGAGUGGGCAGGGCCAUGAACCCUAACCAACUAGGGUAGAACUGUAAUUAUAUAAAGGAAAUUAUCAUCACAAGAUUAUAAGUAUUAGCUAAAUAAUUGUCUUCAUGUACGAAGUAGGGGUGGGCAUUCAAACCAGAAAAACCGGAAAAUCGAGUCGAAUGGACCAAAAAAAAAAGGAAAAAACCGAGUUAACAAAAAAUUGGACCGAGAUGACCAAAAACCGAACCAGACCAGUUUGGUCCGGUUCCAAUUCUUAUAGUGAAAAAAUCAGACCGAGUCAAACGGGAGCGGUUGUGUGUUUUUUUUAUAUACAAAAUUAUUUAAAUCAAAUGCUACUUUUUUUAAUCUCAUAACUAUUACUUCCCCAAGCCCAACUUCUAAACAUCUCUCUUUUCUAGGGCCAAUGUCUCUCUUUUUAUGAAAUUGGAUCAUUUGUUAAUUUUCAAGCCCAAAACAUAAAAUUUUAGUUGGAAUUUGUAUAAAGUAAUAAUAAUAAUAAUCCGGUUUAAAAUUAGAAAAAUAAAAAAUUGAACCAGACCAACCGGUUUUAAUUUUUUGUUCAUUAAAAUUGGACCAAACCAAACCAGUUAAAUAGUACCGUUUUCGAUUUUAAUUUAAGAUAAAAACUGGACCGAAUCGGACCUCGCCCAGCGGGUACAAAGGGUGCCGUGGUGCUUGUGGCUUUAGACUGGUAUCAGAAAUGCUACAUUGUGUCUGCACUAACACACAAAUAUAUAUUCUUGUCGAAAUUACAUUCUUAUUCACUUAAAGCCAAAACCCCCAAAAACUCACCUUAUUUUAAAGGGAAAAACCCUUUUUUUUUUCACCUCAAAGAAAAGGGUUGCAAAUGAUGAAGCACCAAAUACAGAGAUAAAAUGGGAAUUGGGAAGAAACCCCAAAAAGUCUACUGUAUCAUUUUCCCCCCACCACUUAGUACAAGCAGAAUGAAAGCCAAGAAAGCCAAGUUUUGGAUUAUACAGCAGUACUGUUAUUACAAACCAUUCAAUGAGAUUACAAUAAGAAACAUUGCUCACGAGUUACAAUAAACAAUAAACAGUGCAGGCAUAGCUGAUCUCACUUGUUCAGUACUGUAUGGCUGCUAUUACAGGGCACGAUAUAAUUUGUGGAUUUAACAAAGUGCCGAGGAAUUAUGAAGAAAGUAGUAUACUUUUUUAUUUUGGUUACAAAAGUAAUACACAUAAUGCACAUUAGGCGGAAAAUAUCUCUAUGGGGAACCUGAAAUAGGAUAUGUAGCACCCCCAUAUUUUUAUAAAAUUCCAUUAUAAACAAUAAUGUAAUUGUGUGUGCGCGCACACAUAUACACACGAGGCAGACAUGCAUGUAGAUGAGCCAAGGACGAUUCUGGUUCAGGAUGAAGAAGGUUCAGCUCCAUCAUGAAGUGCACAACAAAUGGUUGCUUUGUGAUGCCCCUGAUACACCCUGAUAUCUUCACCAGUGGACAUGGACCAAAGUCUUGCUGUUGUAUCUGAGGAAGCUGCAUGGAUAAUUGAUAAAUUGUUCAAUCUGUUAUCAGUAUCACUAUUUUUCAAAGAAAAAUUAGAGAGAAGAAAACUAAGAAUCUGAAUGUUAAUUUAUCGCACAAGUUUGACUACUGCAUUAGUUUACGAACUUGACAGAAAAAGGAUAGGGUGCUGCCAUAUCCCAAUUUACAAAAUGACAUUUUAUAGAUUAAGGUUUAGAACUCCUAGUGAAAAUCCUCAAUUGUCAAGUGUCCAUCGUUAUCUACAAGCUGCUUCAGAAGACAUGGGUUCAUUUAAAAUCGUCAGUUGUUGAGAACUAUUACCUGUUAUAAGAUAGGCACCAUCUACUGAGAAAACACAGUCCCAUACCCACCGCUGAUGUCCUACGAAGUAAAGAAACAGUAAAGAUUAAUUUAUCAUAUAGCUUGGUUUUAAGAAGCAAUCAGGCGUAUUGAGUAAUUUGUAAACUAAAAUGAGCACCUUUAAUGGUAUAGCAGAUAAUUACCUACUAGAGUUUUCUCUAAUGUGAAACCAUCAACAUUCCAUAUCUUGACAGUGUGGUCAGAAGAGGCGGUCGCCAGAUAUCUAGAAGUACAAAGACAGGUUAAGCCAACAAGUGACAAAAUCAAUAUACUGGCUGCUAGCAACAGAAGGCAAAAAUAAAAUAGUAGAUAUUGUUUGAACCAAAAAAGAAAGUUAUAGUAAAAGGCAAAAGUUUAUUGACCUAGAGAGAAUACCAGGUAGGAAAUGAAGGCGAAAUAAAACAAUAGAUUUGACCCUAAAUGAAAGGUAGAAAGAAAAGGUUAUCAGCUUUGAUGGAUCAAACCUGUGGGGUUCACAGAAUUCAGGUGAAAGAAGACAUUUGAGGAUGUAUCCCUUGUGUGCUUGCAGCUUAUGAAGUGGCUCAAAAUUUGUCAUAGUCUGGAAGAAAAAGUACUUGGCGUCAAAAUGAAUGAAGUAUGAUAAGAAGGUGAAAUCAGAUAAUCGAGUGCAUAAAGGUACUACCUGGGUUCCCCGCAACAAGCGCCAAACAUAGCAUGUACCAUGAUUAUUUGCUGCAACAACCAGGCUCCCAUCCCACAUCACUGUUAAUGACCUUACAGCCGUAUCCACCUCUGGAACCUAGAUUCACCCCAUAGAUUGAUAUUAAAUGUACCAUUCUGUAAAUUACCAUCCAAAAGAACCGUUAAAUUUACACAUCACUGUUAAUGACUUCACAUUCUUAUCCUCAGUAAUUACCAUCCAAAAAUCCCCUUCCCAUCUACCAUCUAUUCCUGCAUAUUGAACACCGCAGUGUUUUUGUUUUUCAAAUUUAUUUUCUAUUUAAGAUGGGUUGUUAUUGUUAAACACAGCGCAACAUAUGCGCACGAGUCUAGUAAAGACUUUGCCCACUUAGAUCUUCAUUUCACCUAAAAAAAUACCAAGGCUUUUAAAAAAGAUUGCUGUUUAGACAACACGGUUCCUAAUGAGACCUAGUGCAAGAUGAAAACGGGGACGAAACCUCCCCCAAAAUCACCACUUUAGAUUUGCAAUUUUGAUCAUAGCAGUAAUAAAAGGUGUAUAUGAAGUACAUAAGUGCAAGACAGCGAAGCAUACCAGUUCGCAGCUGCAUGAAUUUGCUGUCAAAUCCCAAACACGAAUAUUGCCAUUUUGGUCCCCAGAUAUCAGUUCAGUCUGUAAAACCACAUACAGAUUUAAAGAUUAGAAAAACAAUUGAAACCAUUAUGGCAUGCAAGCUCUUCCUUCUUCUUUCAUUUUUCUCAAGGGCAUAAAAUUGACAAUUAAGAGAACAAGAAUGAAUAUGAAACAACAACUCUGACUUAAAAAUUGGACUUGAACAAAACCCAUGGAAACAUCAUUGCAACAGAAUACAGAUGGCCACUGGCUCACUACAUCAACUUAAGACCUUUUAGCAAACACUAUCUCUAUAUAAACAAUUUGAUGAGCCAAAACUCUGUACAUGGUCAAUGUACGGUGAUUAUGGGAAAGUUCACUCUCAUAAGAUAGUUACCCAGAUAUGACAAUGGGCUGUAUGGAAAACUGCAUGCAUGUUCCAACUUCCAUCCAGUUCAACAUCAUACUUGAACAGUCUAAUGUAAGUAGGAGCUCACAUAUGCCAGCAUGAUGCUUUCCUUCUUGUUUUUUUUCCUCCCUACUCUCUUUUGGGAAAGCCAUUUGGCACUCUCUAAGCUUACCAGACACAAAACCAAAAUCGUCUACGAAGAUUAUCAUAUAUUUUCAAGAAAAAAAAACACAUACAAUUACAUUAUCAUGAAAGUCAAUGUUAUCUAUAUCCUUCUUAAUAACUUGAGCAGUUAUGAAGAUACUACAACCUAAUAACAUUUUUACCUAACGUAUAUAUUCCAUAGCAGAAAGGGACGAGACAAUAGUUUACCUGAUUUGGGUGCAGCACAACAGUGUUAACAGCUGCACGGCUUUCAUAUUCCCGUUGACAACCUGGAGCUCUGUGAUUAACUCAACAUAUAAGAAAAACAAACUAUAUACAAAAUAUGAACAAGACUUAAUAAAAGAAAAAUAGAUAGCACAACCAGCAUGAUGAGGACAUCUUUGUAGGGUUCACAAACGAAAGAGAUGGAAGAGGGAAUUAUUAAUUAGUUUCCUAAUGUAUUUGUUAGUUCCUAGGUUCUCUAAGUUUUCCAGAUUUCUUUCCUAGAAUAAGUUUGAUUUUCCUUUUCACUCUAGGGUUAGAUUAUUAUAAAUACCCCUUCUAUGUAAUUCAUUAUGGAGUUGAGUUGUUGAGAUAUAAAGAAAAGUUUAUUUUCCAGAGAUUGGAGACUACUUGGUGUGAAGCCAUACCCUUGGCGUGAUUCCAGACCUAUCCUUGUUCAUUCUAUUUUCUGUUUUCCAUGGUUUUCGCUUCCGCUAAACUACCUAAAUUCUCAAUUCACCCAUAUCCUACAUCACAGCAUACGUGUGUUGUCAACAAUUACCUCAAAUCCCAAAUUUUUACUGUACCAUCCUCAGAACCUGAAUACAUCCAGUUUCCAUCACAUUGAAAUCCCACUGCCAUUACAUUAUUAGUAUGUGAAUCAUAGCUCAUCACCUGCCAGACAAUUAUACCAAAAGGAUGCUCAUGAGUUGAUGGAAGAAGAACAAAUGAUCAUGAAAGUCCCCAUCUAAAUUCAACAAAAACUAAAGCAAACCUAAGAGUGAGAAAGACAAACCGGUUGAGGGCUGUUUGAAUUAACAUCAAAUAAUCGAAUGUGAGGAUUGCCGGCUGCAGCCAGGAAGCGUUUAUCUGGAGUAAUCUCGAGCCUAUUAACUUGCUGUGCUCAUGAAAAAUGGAAAAAUCAGACAAAUGAAUUAAAUAAACAAUAAGUAAACCCACCAGGAAGUUUUCCAAUCUUUUCAGAAAACAUAAUCAAGCAACUAUGAACUAAAAGAAACUCAAUGACCACCUAACAAAAGAAACCAUUCCACUCCACCAAUCUCAAAUCCUCUCAAUGCCAACUAAUUGGCUUACCUCAGUUGGAUUCUAUCAUUUGAAAACAAAACCAACAUCUCAAUAAACUCCAAAAUCCAAAAUUUACAACGACACACACACAAAGAUAAUUUCUUUCUUUAAAAAUUGAAAAGUGGGAAGUGAGAGACAUACUGAAUCAGGGUAUUGGAUGGUACGAUAGCAGCGGCCACUUUUGGCCUCCCAAAACCGAAUAGUGUGGUCAUAGCUAGCCGUUGCUAGGAUCACCGAUGGUUGCUGGCUCAUCUUAAUCUCCUCCUAAUCAAUAUUAACACAACUACUUAAAACAGACAUAACAUAAUCAACCACAGCCUAAUUGGAAUUCUUAUACAACUCUGAGAUUUAAAAAAAAAAGAAAAAAAAGAAAAAAAAAAGAAUUGGGUUGAGGUUGAGGAUGAUUUACCUAUUCAUAAAAUUAAACAAAAAAAGACGUUAAAUUUAGGUUGGUAAUGGUGGGAAAUUGAUGGGCAAUAGUGUAAUUGGGAAUUAGGGUUUUGAAGAGGGUUUUGGAGGGGAGAGAGCUCCAUGGAAAGCAGAAAGCACUGACCUGAGUGGGCAUCUUCUGGGCCUCAGUCAGAGAAAUGAAAUCAUCAUGGGCUUUCCCCGUGUUGGGUUUCUUUUGGGACUUAGAGCAAAUCCCACGAGGCACUUUUUAGGUUCAGAAAAAAAAGCUGAAACUUACUCCAACUAAAAUGUUAAAUCCAAAGUGGAAUAACAUUUCCCUGUUUUGCUGUUAUUUUUGGAUGUUUGACUAUUUCAUUAUUUUAUUAUUAUUUUUUAAUUAAUGUGCCUAGAUUUAUACUUAUUUUGAAUUUCUAAUUUCCGAACACAUAGGAAUUAGAGCAAACUUCUGGUGUUUAAUGAAUAAAAAAUUAUGUUGGUUACACAUUUGUAAUCCACAGUUAUUGAUCUCAUCCAGUCCUUGCCUCUCUUAAUUUUCGAUUUUGCGAUUCAUGACUUCUCUCAUUUCAAGUAAACAUGUCAUUAACUUGUUUUGUUUUGAGCUUGGUUUACCAACUUGUGGAAAGUAGUUCUAGUUACCGGCAACGGCAAUGGCAUGAAGGAAAGAAAGGGAGAAAUAUAUGUAAUUCAUAAGACUCAAAUGACUGAAAACCAAUAGGUAUUUUGCUAGGGUUGGAACUUGUGCAAAUGAAACAAACAGUUGGUUGCCAACUUGCCAACCAUGAACUACUAGGAUUCCAAUAAGAUCAAAGUUCAAAUUUCCGUAAAAAUGCAAAAAGAGAUUGAAAUUUUGAAAAAAAAAAGGGGGGAUAUCCAUUAAAAUCCUCAUAAUCACAGUGAGAGGACAUUUGGUAAAAUCUCCAUCUUUUAUUCAAUGACUAUUAAUUCAAAAUGCAAUGCGACGCAUAUACUUUUUUUUUUCUUUUUUUUUUUCUGAUUGCUGCAAGAUAUGCCAUGUUAUAUUGAAGCUUAACCUGUCAUUGUGAAUCAAUGAGGUGCUUGGCAGGGCUCUGGACGGAAACAAAGCAAAAUCAAUUGGAGUCCGUAUGGAGGGGUCUCAAGUCCCCAAAAUAAUAAUAAUCAACCUCAUCAUUCAUUCACAGCCACACAUAAAUUUUGUUGUUGGAUUUGAUUGGAGAGAUAGAGAAGGAGGGGGGCUGGGGUCAAAUUUUACCCCAAUGCUCCAAGUGCCUCUUUGUACAAUUUCUUGUGCAGGCCAUAAUGAGUGGACCUUCAAGUUGUUAACAGAAAAAUGAAAGAGAUGGGCCCAUUAAUUAUAAUGAUAGCUCAGCCAGUACGUAUUUAUAGACCAGAAAACUGAUCAGCCCCUGUGAAUGAUGAAUCUGUGAUGGCUACAUAAGCCUGCAGAAGUAUGAGUACCACUAAUGAGUUCAGGCUUGAGAAAGAGAUGGAGAGAGGGCUGGAAUAUUGAAGCAAGGUAUUUGAUGAUGUAUGAUGUCAUAUCUUUAUGUGAAUAGUAGGGUUCAAUCAUUAACUUCAUAAAUGCUGUCUUUGUCACUUUGUUGAUGGAUCUCAAGAUAACAUCCAGUUUUUCCCAAUGGAGGAAUUAAAGGAGUUACUUCGAACACUUUGGUUGAAAAUACUGGAUCAACUUUGCUUCUUUCAUGUUAAGCCACUGAGCAGGGACUGGACUGGAGGUUACUGCCUGCAAUGGAUUUGGUGAGAGUCCUGGUGAGGGACAAAAUGCGUAUGCGCUUGUAGGUUCCACUGCUGGUGGGAUUGGGUCGUGUUGAGGUAUUAAAAGAUUCAGAGAUCUCCAAUUCCAACUUGACUCGUUUAUCAAACAAAAAACAUGAUAUAUCAAUUCCUCCACUUAUAUAUAAUAAGAAAAUCAUGAUAAUAUUGAGAACAUUCUACAAAAAGCAAAUUUAUGUAUACAAUUUUAGCCCUACAAAAAUUUAAAUUAAUAUAACUAAAUGAGUUACAUGAAUUUGACUCGACAUGGAAACUUCAAGCUAGUUAAUUUCGAGCGUGUUCAUUUUGUGUUGGCUAGUUGAUUCAAAACCCGUUUAUUUAUUAAUCUUGUCUUGGCAAAUUGACUUGAAUAUGAUUCAAAGCUUUUCAUAAUAUAGGUUAACCCCCAUAAUUUUGUGUGAGUUUCAAAGUCUAUAACAGUGUUUGUGUCGUUACAAUUAUGUUUCAUGUCAAACCCUAACAAAUUAGGCGGGCCAGUGAGCAUGGUUUGACAUAGGAGUGAAGCGAAGAAAAUAUGUUUCGGAUUGGCUAGGAUUGUGAAUACUUUAGUUAGGUGAAAUUUUGACCCCACUAAGCUAUUCAUAACCUUAACCUCUCCAUAAAGAGCCAUGACCACCUCAUGCCUGCAUGGCUACCUCACUAUUUAGGCCAAUAGCUAGCUUGGUAAUAGAAUCUAGAUAGAUGGCGCUGCCAUGGUUGAUAGGCAAUAGUGGAGGCUUGUAGUUUUAAACAGAACAAAUGAACACAAAUGAGUUGUUUGGGCUGCAGCAGAAUUUGACUGGGCCGGUCUCCGUCGUGAAUUUGACUAGCCUGCAGCAGAAUUCAACUGAGUUUUUUCCCAUGGUCACAUGCAUGUCACAAACCUUGUCAUAAUCUUAUUUGAAAAUAUUAUUUUUCUUAAACUUGUAACCCUCAAAACGAAUUGAUGAGAAUUGAAUUGAAUUAAAUUAACAUUAACAUCUGCAAAUAGUCCAUCGAUCUCUAUGUUUAUAGGGAUUUGCGAUUGCAGGACAGAAAUGUUUGGAAGCCACAAAACAAGACAUGGACAUGGAAACUCAAAGUAGACUUAUAUAUGUCUUACAAUUACAAUGCAACACACACACACACUCGUGCUGUCUUGGAAACAUAAAAUAUUUAAAGGAUAGCAUGGGAUCUCUGGUCAAACACACUGCUGCAGACAGGCUCUUUUUGCUAAACGUUAGAUUUUGUUCUGUUCAUUUUUAAAUAUAAUUUUCUUAUUUAUAUUUUUGGCUUUCUCAAAACCCUAUCCAUAUUUCAUUUUACUUAGCUGCAUGGGUUUGAAAUUCUCAUGUACAGUAUUUUACCAUGGAAAUAUAUUAUUGCAAUCCCACAUGCACAUGGUGUUUCCCCCACCACCCCCCACUUCAUGUUCUCUAUGCAUGUGCUGAAAUUGUGCUCAAAUGUUGGUUUUCCUCAAGGGCCUCCUGCUUUCUUUCUGAUUUCCAAAGAAUUUUAAAUUGUCAUCAAGGUACCAAUAAUCUAGGGGCUUUGAAACUUUUCAGUUUGGUAAGGUAGAGAAAGAUAAUUAAUACAAGCUGAGAAGAGAGAGAGAGAGAGAGAGAGAGAGAGAGGAGUAUAAUUUGUUGCAAGAUAAUAAAAACUUGCUUUUUGUUUGUUUUCUUUCUCAUAUAUGGUCCACAGAGUACACUGAAAGUCUGAAAUAAUUUAAUGGUGCUGUAGAAAAUUAACUAUAUGAACACUAAUGGGUAAUAGCUAGGUAUAUUAUUUAUUAUUUUAAGAUGGUUAUUUUUUUUUUGUAGUUUUCGUUAAACAAGAUUUGGGGAGAAACCAAAUUUAGCCCAUAUAAAAAAGAGACUAGUUUAUAAUUCUACCCCACAAAUAUAUAUAUGUUUCUUCUGGUGAAAUAUACUUAAAACUGAUGUGACAAAUUUACAAGCUGUUGUGCAUGCAUGUGUUGUGAAUCAAUCAUUUGUACAAGUAUUGUCAUCCUUUUAUGCAAAUGGAAGUGACUUUGCUUUAAGCAAAAGGAGAACGUCCCAACCAAAUAAAGGAAAAGGGGAGAGCGAUUUUCUUUGUUUUUAUGUUUGGAUAUGAUUGAAUUCAAUAGUUAGGUUCAAACCCAUACCCAUUGAGUUAAUAAUAGAAUUUUUGUGAAGUUACGGUUCUUUAGUUUACCACGUUACGUGCACCAUAUCGACAUAUUAUGUACGGCAUCUGAUACAUCUAAUAAUAUUUUAAUUAUUAAUUAGGCAGUUAGAAUUUAAUUGUUAAGGGUCGGAUUCUCCGUUAUUGGUUGUAAGAGGUUAGCAUUGUCCAAUACUAGUUCAAGGCCUUUAUAGCUUGCUAUUGAUUUAUAGAUCUCUUCUUGUCAAAUUAGAAAGUGAGGUUUGGGUUAUUGCUAAAGAACUUUUAGGUUUAAUUUUUCCGAACUGUGACCACAUAGGCAAUCUAGUCAUGAGAUCAAUUAUGUACUUAAGAUAAUCAAAUUUGUGAACUACACAUUUAGGAUACUUGAUUCAUUUAUUUGUGAUCUCCAAUUAAACCUCAACCCCUUUUAUUAUGUCUAUUCCUUUUUGCCUAUAUACAUUAUGGCAAAGGCAAAUUCCACACAUCUCUCAACCUAAUAUCCAGUAAGUGAUAAAAAAAAAGACCCCACAACAUAAAAGCAUUAGCAUUGACUCUCUCUCUCUCUCUCUCUCUUUCUUUCUCCGCAUUAAGAGGUGAAGUGGGUGGCAAUGCUGGUUAGCUUUGCAGCAAGCCCACAAGAUGUAGUCAGUAUUUAUGUGUUGGACGUACUUUGUUUGUGAGAACUGAUCACUGCACGGCAAUCAGGCAUUUCCUCUUUCCUUCUCACCCAUUUCUAAUACAAAUCACUGUUUUUUUUGGGGGGGUCUGAUACAAGUACUGUAUAUACACAGUGGACAAUACAGUCAGGUAGGGCCUCUAUAGAUAAGCCUGUCGCACGUCUUUGGUUCUGGUCUGGCUACUCUACUCUUUAGAAUUCACCCUUGAUAAUGAAAUUAAGUUGAAUGUAACAUUGGGAUUAGUAGUUAACAUGUUGAUUACUUGAUCAAGAGGAUUUAUAUGUUAAAGAUAUUCCUACACAUUUCAUAUCAACAAAAUUGGGAAAUUGAUCAUUUGAGCUUCAAUUGACAAAUGCUGUGUAUCUCAAGCUAGUUUACAGAUGUAGACAGUAUUAGAGCCGCCUCACCUUGUUGGUUAGCUUGAUAAUCUCUAUGGUCGAGGACGUCAUGAAAUUAGAAUUUUAAUAUCAUGCCAGACAAUCAAUACAUUAUGUUUUUUUUCUUCUUUUUAUUAAAGAAAUAUAGUAGCAGAAAUUGUAAUUUGGAUUAGAUAACUUGAACUAUCUUCUAACAUUAAUAAUACAAAUAUCACCGAACAUUAGGAAUACAAAUAUUACCGAACUAAUAGUUAGUUGGUACAUACACAUACCAUUGUUUACAUGUGCAAGAUUAGGAUGAUCCAAUUUGUCCUAUGCUAUAAAAAUUACAAUUACUCAUCCAACCAAAAAACUCUCAAUUAUAUAUAGGAUUCUUGCAAGAGUUUUAUAUAUGUAUUGUCUGCUAUUUAAGAAGGAAAGCAUUGAUAAGCAAAGAUGAUUUGACUAAUCCUAGUUAGAUUUACAGUGCGAUCAAAGCCUCCCGAGUGAGACACAAACAUAUGAUAUAUGGGUAUCUUAUGGGUUGACAUGCCACAGAGUAUAGUAGAAGAUGCCUGCUGUCCUAGCAACAUGAAUUUUUCUUACCAUUUUUUUCAUCUCAAUUUUUGAGACCUAAUUAAAUUUAUAAGUUGGGGCUGGUCUAUCUUUUGGACGAGUAAAACAAAAGCACAGCUGUUGUGUGGACCAAAGGUAAAAUCUAGGCACAUUGUUGUACUUCUGAGAGGAUCUGACAAUAUUAGUUGAAUUCAAUUAGCUAGAGAGAAUUAUUGUUAAUUAUUUGAAUUAGAGAGAGAGAGAGAGAGAGAGAGAGAGAGAGAGAGAGAGAGAGAGAGAGAGAGAGAGAGAGAGAGAGAGAGAGAGAGGGAGAGAGAGAGAGAGAGAGCAGUGAUGACCUUCAUUUUUAAUGAAAUAGGGUAUAUGUGUACAAUUAUGCAUUCUGCACAGUGUGAAAAUUGGGACAAAUCCUCUCAGUUGGCUGAGCCGACCACUGCUCAAAAACCAAUGGAAAUGUUGGGGGCUUUCACCCAAACUACUUGCUUCUUGUCCAUGAUGUAUUUAUAGCAUGAAAUAAAAAAUAAGACAACGAGGGACAUACAGUCUGCCCAACUUAGAAUUUAAACAUCUCACAACUUUGCAAAUUGCAUUCAUAUCUGUUCUUAUAACCGAAAAUUAGGGGUGGGCAUCAAUUCAGCCGAAUCGAUGAAAUUGACCGAAUCAAUCCGUAAUUAUUGAUUUGGUUUGGUUUUAACUAAGAAAAAGUCAAACGGUUUAAAAACCGAAAUGGACUGUAUAUGGUUUGAUUUGAUUUUGAGUUUUUAUAAACCAACCUAAACUAAACCGGACCGUUUAUGUGUAUAUUUAUUUAUUUAUACUAUAGUUUACAUGUGUAAUACUCUAAUUAGGUAAUAACUAUAUAUUAAAAUUUGAUUUGAGCUACAUUAGUUAUUGAAAUUUGAAGUUUUAUGACAGGUUGAGUUUUAGGAUGGUUUCGUACUCUAGAAAAUGAUUUAAAUAUGGAGCAAGUUGUGAAUUUGUUGAUUGUAAUUGGGCUAACAAUGUUUAAAUUGGUUUGUUUGAUUUAGUCUCCUUCAUGACUUUGUCAAAAUUGAACCGAACCAAACUGUUAUAUUGUAAUUGGUUCGGUUGUGCUUUUGAGGUGAAACCGAUUCAAUCCGGACCGUGCCCACCUCUACCGAAAACAAGAUCUUUGAAGCCUCUCACUAUUUUUUUUUUUAAUCAAUGGAGGUUGGGGGUUUCGAACUUAGGGCCUCUUCAAUAUUGGGAAGAGAAAUUUCACUAGACCAAGAUUUAGUUGAUCUUCUCACUAUUUUACUACUAUUUUUGAGAAAAGUAUUAUGUCUAUCCUAUAUAAAGCAAAAGUUCUUUAUCUUUAUGAUUAAAUUUUUAAUUACUAUCAUUUAGUAAGGGCUUAUAGCUCAAGUAGUUGAUAGCAUUUACCCAUGUACUCAAGGUUUUAAGUUUCAUUCUCCGUCCCCCAAUAUCGCUAGUAUAAAAAAUAAAAAAAAAAUCAUCCUUUAAGAAAAAAAAAUUCAAAACACAAUUACUUCAUUUUAAGGAGGACAAUACACAAAACAAUAAUAUAUUAAAAUGCACAAGUCGCAUCCUUGAAGGCUGAAGUUGCAGAAUUGCAUAAGCUCAUCAAACAAUCAAACCGAAAAAAUCAAGACUUUGUUGAACUGGUGCAAGUUUUACAAACACGUGUAAAGACUCGUAGGUUAUAGUUUUAUUGAUGAAUAUAAUGCUUUUAAAGACUCGUAGAGUACCACUUUUGUAAUUUUAUUUAUUUUGUUGUUGGCAUGUUUGAUUAAAAUCAUUUGUAAUCAUAAGUUAUAUUUUAUUAUGUCAUAUCACAAUUGAAACCCCAAGAAAACAGAGAAUUUAAAAGAGAAAAAAUAGAUAAGAAAAAAAAGGAAAACUCUAAUUUUUUUAAGAACAUUUACACUAUGACCCAUUGGGUUACGGAUCCUAGAUCAGUCAUUGCACACGGCUUUAACCAAAAAAUAUGGCCCCUACCUCUGUGAGAUAUGAAGAAUGCAAAUAAUCAUUCCUUUCCUUUAUCGCCAAACUUUUCUCUCUAUCUCAAAACUUAUAUAUGCAAAAAAUGAUUAACACACUCGUGUGUACCUUUAUCUUAUCAUAGAGUUUUCCUCUCACGAUUUGAUUGGGAGCAACCAUAUCUUCCCUCUCAUUUCUCUCUUUCUAACGACAGAGGGUGAAUUGAACAAAAUGAGAUAAUAAUAAUAAAUAAAAACUAGCUCUAAUGGUUUUAGACCAUAAACCUUUUCUUCAUAUUAGAUGAGAAUACCAAAAAGAAAAAAAAGAAAGGAAGAAACUUGGACAAAGUCCAUAGCUAUUGCUCCACUGGUGAGUCGUCACCAUCGCCACUUCAUCCAACACUUCCACAUGGAUCACAAAAUGUACAAUCUACUACACAUGACCUCCACAAUGUCAUUUAAAACUAGCAAAGUUGUUGAUACAUAGAUGAGCCUUAUUAAGAGACAAUCUAUGUCGAAGCUUCUUCAUCUUUCUUAACUGCAUCUCUUAUUGCAACACCAUCUACACCAUUAAAGCUACUGACCCGCGAUCUACAAAACGCAAAGGAUAAUGUCCCAACCAAUUGCCGAAAAUUGUCCAAUAUGACAUCAAAAUCUUUCCCGUGUAUACCAAAGUUUAUUGUCGGCACUAAGAGUAUUGCGUUGAGCUAUUGACACCCAAUAAUAGUCAGUUUUCUUUGUUGAGGUAGGUAACUAUGACAAGAAGCUUGUCACAUUGAAGAAACUAAAGAAAUCAACAUAGUGUGAUUUAUUAAUUCAAGGUGAAAUUGCUACACUAGACAAGAAACACGACGAACACAAAGUCACAAUGCUGUCUUUGCCGCUAAAAUUUCGAAAUAUCUCUAUCUAGCCAUCAACUUUGUGAUGCAAUAAUUUCAACUCAAACCAAAGAACUCUAAUCCUUGUAGGCUAGACAACUGUUUCCAUUCAACCACGACAUAUGAGCAACAUGUCGAUGACAUAAUCUCACCUUUUCCUAGCAUGGUUGAGGAUGUUCACAAUAUCUCCUUAUGGUAUAUCCACAAUUAAUGGAAUAGGUUGUCCAAAUCUAUUUACUCCAAAAAGUUUUCAAGCCACUUACUUCUCUUGAUAUUGUAGUGCUCUAUUGAACAUGCUCCAUGCCCUGAAUAUUCCUGAAGCUUCAAGGUCAUCGUCCUCUUCUUAGAAAUUGCCUUUUGGUAGUCUCCUGGAAUUUAUCUAGUUCCUUGUGUUAGUAGUGAAGAUCCAGAGCCAAUUUUCUUGAUAUAAAAGGAAUCACUUGGGAAGGGGGGGGUGGACCAUGGGAGGCUUUCACCUACCUAAGCGAAGCCAUGCUACAAAUGAGUGUAAUUUUGAGGAUUCUAAUACACCACACCAAAAUUUUCUUUGGGGAAUGAACCUAAGGUAAUUACAACACCCAAUCCUUUUUUUGGGAAUGGUAGCUUCAAAGACAAAUUAAUAAAUAAAGUCAAUUUUACUAAGAGUGUGGGUAUUAAGGUCAAUUUCCUAGAUGCUGAUUAUGAAGAUUUGAAUGAUGAUGAGGAUGUUAUGAUCUCUCAAAAAAAGCAUCGUCCGAGUAUUCAAUUCUUAGAUCAAGCCAUGAAUCGUCUCUAUCAACCAUGGAAGAAUGCUUUGAUGGUCAAACUUCUUAGGAGGUCUCACACAUAUAACUAUCUUCAAGCUCAGCUGCAGCAAAAGUGAAAACUUAAAAGUAAUUGGAAGCUUGUUGAUAUGGUAAUUCUGUGGUGAAGUUUGACUCGGAGGACUUUAAUUUUGUAUUGACCGGAGGACCCUGGAUUAUUGCGGGUCAGUACCUGAUUAUGCAAAAAUGAAGGCCUGGGUUUAACCCAGCAACUGCUCAGAUUGUAAACAUGGCAGCUUAAAUUCGUGUUUCAGGUAACCAACUGGAAUGCUUUGAUGUUUGGGCCCUUAAAAAGAAUUGGUAACUUGUUGGGAAAAUUGUUAGAAAUUGAUUCUCUAACAACUGAUUAAUGGGCAAAUUUGCUAGACUAUGUAUUGAAUUGGAUUUGACUAAGCCUCUUGAGGCAUUUAUCCAGAUCAACCAAGUUUGGUGUAAUAUUGAAUAUGAAGACCUUCCUAAUAUUUGUUAUAUGUGUGGAAGAUAUGGAAAAAAAAAAAAUUGUAAACUGAAAGCUACUGCUGCUGUUGAAAAUAUGGAGAAAAUUUCGGAUGUUGUACCUUCCAGGGGAGAUCAUGUUACUAUGGAACAAGUGUUGUUAUGUUAAUUCGCAAUUGGACGGGCCAAUUUGUAGUAUAGCAAGAUAAGUACGAGGUCGUACCCAUGAGAACUGAGAAGUUAAACUUUGUUAUGUACUUAGAUUACCGAAUUCAAGAAAGUAGGAAGUUAAGUCUAAAACAGAAUUUAAAGUGAGAGUGAUUGUGAUCGUCAAAACAAAUGAAGCAAAAUGAAAUUGCAAACAAAAGCAAGUAAACAAGUGCAACAAAAGGUGGUUUUGAAGGUUGGAAAACUGAUUUGGAGACUGGGGCAUUCGAUUUACCAUAACAAUCCAAUUCUAGAUGAUAAGGAUUCAAGUGACAAGUCUAAUUCAGAUUCAAGAAUUGAUUCUAGCUAAAGUAUGAUUAAGCUAUGGUGUCUAGUCCUAACCUUGUAUUCCUAAUUCCCUAAUUAGAUCUUUGUUGUCGAACCUAAAUUAAGCUUUAAAAAUCCAUUAAGCAUAGAAGAAUGUUUUAAACAACCAAGCAUGUAUCUAAUUCCUGUUGUCGAAUUUCCAUACAUACUCUUCCUAUUCAUGGUUCAAAUAGAAUUAAGGCAUAUGAUGUCUACUCUUAAUUUCAACCAAGAUACACAAAUUUGAAUGAUAGCUAGGCAUUCCGAUUAGCAUAAGGGCAGGUAUGCAUAAUGAAUAAGAACAUGAAUCAUGAAUUAAACUUGAAAUUUGAAAUUUAUAAACCUAGAAUAUUCAUGUUAGGUUACAUCGAAACCCUAGUUAUGGAUUUAGCUACUCAUAAUGGGAAAGAAACUUAAACAGAAAUGAGAAAACAUAAUGAAUGCAAUAAGAGUAGAAAACCCUUUUCUGAAGUUCUUGUGGUGUCCAAUGCUUCUCCAAGAGCUUCUCCACGUGUAAUGCUUCUCCAAGAGCUUCCCAAAAUCUAGAAGGAUGUAUAAAGGUUAAGGAGGUUAUUUGGGAUGAGUUUGGGUGAGUGAUGAUGGUUGAGAAAGAGGAAAUUAGUAGGGAAAUGGAAGAGAGGCUUGUUGGGACAGUUUUUGUGAUUUGGUGCUGUUUAGAGCUUUGAGUUGAUGGCUGGAGUGUUUGGGGUUGUGAGAGUGUUUGAGGAUGAUUUCUGAACGUGUUUGAGGAAUGAUGGGAGUGUGGAGGAUGAAGUGAAUGGAUGCAUUGUGGGAGUGUGAAUCCCAUAAUAUGGUUCUUUUUAGUGUGGAAUGGAAGUGGUAUUUAUAGGAAGAAGGAAGUGAGAAAUCUGAAUUGAGAAUGGCUUUCACCUACAACAUUCACUUUACCAACCUUACCUAACACACCAAUGCAAUACAAAAUCAGUUUCUUUUCUUAUUUGGUUGUUGCACUUCACUAACAAAUCUCACCAGAAAUCAUAGCUCAUGCAUAGCUCAUCAUGACCAAGCAACCAUCAACUCAUCUUUAGGUAAGCAUGACCAGCAAAUUCGUGGGCUUACGAAUCGGAUUGUUCUUAAGAAAAUGACAACUUUUUGAGCCUUCCAUCUUGAAGUUCAGAAUGUCAUCUUUCCAACCACAUGUUAUUUGGGACAAUCCAAAGUCAGAUGAAGAUGUAAUGUCGAAACGAAUUGCUAACUCAAUUUGCACGUUUUCCUAUCCAAAGCCACCAUUGCUACCUAAAUCUCAAUGAACUGAAUGAUAAACACAAAAGAGAUUAAAAACAUAAGUUUAAGUAAAAAACAUAAUGAAAUCAUAAGCUAGAAUGGUACAAAAAGAUAUACAAUUACAAAUUGAUCAACAAGAGAAUAUUGAUUAUGCUCUUGAAAACUUGAGAGGCCCUUGGAUGAAUAUGCCUAUUAGAAGGAAACCCAAGCAUGUGGUUAACAACUUGGGAAACAAGGGAUCUAGAGGUGGCAACUUCGGGUCUAGGUUCAAUACUUUAAAAAAUGUGAGUGAAGGCUCUACGAAUGAUGGAGUGUCCUUUCAUGUGAAUGUCAGAAAGCACAAUUAUGGUCAUAUUGGCUCUUCCAAAAGUGGGGAGGCCAAUAGGAAAAAAGUUUGGACAAAAUCUAAAAACAAGACUCUUGGUCCAAGGAAAGCUUUAAAAGACAUUUCUAAUAAGCCUUUAUUGGAAUAUGUUAAAAGGACUGAUGGUUCUAUAUUUAUGAGUCAGUUUAACAACACUGUGACUAGGGGUCUGGCUACCGAGAAAGGUUAGUGAAUGGUGAGCAAAGGAUCAGGAACCACAUUUCCGUGAAUGAACAACUAAACAAGUGGAUUAGUGGUCAAAAGAAUUACAUGAAAAAUGGUGUCUAUGUCUUUAGGCACCAACCAACCAAUAUCACUCACCCAAAGAUGAUGCUUGGGAAGAAACAUACUACUAAGGAAGGAGUUGUCCCUUUGGCAUCUAAAGCCCAUGAUGGUACGAUCCCAAGUAAGCUUUGAAUCCGGCUCCAGGACAAAUGAAUUCUCUAAUUGGAGACUUAGCAUACAACACAUUCAUUGUUGUUGAUCAGAGCUAGUUCAUCGGAGAUAACUUUAAGAGUUUGCAGAUAGUCACACAUAGACUUGGAUUUAUAGUGGAUGAGAGUGAGGCGUUCCUUGAGGAUUAUUACUCGAAAAUGAGCUUGAUUAGUAUAAUGCUUAAAAAGUUUAUUCCAAAAUUCAUGGUAGAUUUUGGCUGCUAUGAUGAAUAUAGCUAGUUUACAAACAAAAGCAAGGAUGACGUGUUACAUAACACCUUGGUGUACCAUUGUGGUAUGGGCAUAAGUAUGAGCUUUGUUUUGACAAAUGGAUAUGGGCACUUGUGAGUGUCAUGAUAACUCGUGAGAUCAUAACCUACACAUUAUAAAAAAUUUGUUUCGUCUUAAAGAUAAUGAUAAAAUUACAUUGAGUCCAAAAUUACCAUAUCUUAGGCUAAUAAGUGCUUUAUUACAUUUAGCACAAUCUAAUAUACGGAAAGGCUACAAUUAAGGGGUAUAAAUGAGGGGCUUAAGUGAGUCUGAAACUCUCUGAUCCUUGUAUUUUGGUUACUUUUUGGAUAAAUUUGUGCAUCAUGACUUUGUUCGUAUGCAAGUUCAAUGCCUAUGGUUUGGAGUCUACAAGGAAGUCUCAACGAUGAUAAGCAUCUGUGCACCCAGUGGCUUCUACUAACGAAAACCUUUUUCAACAACAAUAUCUUUAAGACUUGCAUCGGAUUGAUCUCAAAAAAUAUGUAUCCCUGCUAACAAUUCUGCGAUUCUUUAAAGUGCAGCUUCACUGCUUAGGGGUUUUGUUAAACUGCCAUCCUGUUUCUUCUAUUUAAGGUAUCUGUUCUCCAAUACGCAUCAAAGGUUGGUGAUGGGAACUGAUUUUUCAAUUUGCCUUUUGCCCCAAGCUAUUGCACUCGUCUCUAGAGGCCCUCAUGAAGACCCAAAGGGAUGAUGUCGGCUUGAAUUGUGUAAGGUCAGCAUUCCACUUCUUGAAUAUUUCUUGUGUGCCCUUGCAAGUUGCGUGCAUUUUCCGUAUUUAAAGCACAGCUCAGCAAAGAUAUGACUUAUCNNNNNNNNNNNNNNNNNNNNNNNNNNNNNNNNNNNNNNNNNNNNNNNNNNNNNNNNNNNNNNNNNNNNNNNNNNNNNNNNNNNNNNNNNNNNNNNNNNNNGGAUGACGUGUUACAUACCACCUUGGUGUACAUGUGUAUGGGCAUAGUAUGAGCUUUGUUUUGACAAUGGAUAUGGGCACUGUGAGUGUCAUGAUAACUCGUGAGAUCAUACCUACACAUUAUAAAAAAUUUGUUUCGUCUUAAAGAUAAUGAUAAAAUUACAUUGAGUCCAAAAUUACCAUAUCUUAGGCUAAUAAGUGCUUUAUUACAUUUAGCACAAUCUAAUAUACGGAAAGGCUACAAUUAAGGGGUAUAAAUGAGGGGCUUAAGUGAGUGGUCCAAUCCAACUAUUAAACUUCAACAUUUUCAACUUACAUAUGGUUGGAUUGGACCACUCACUUAAGCCUCCUUUACUCAUACCUGUUGUUUUCGGAUUCAACUACACCAAAAUUGAUUCAGCUGCAUCCUCAACUUGUGAUACUCGUAAGUGCAUGAGCUGUUCGGUAGUAUAUCAUGUGUAAGUGCGAUGUCGAUCCCACGAGGAUUGAUGAUAGAUUGAUUCAAUUCGAUUCCCUGCACAAAACAAAAAACAAAAGAAUAGAAAACAAGAAAGAAAAAAAAGAACUAACUCAAGCAAAUCAGUUAACAAGUUUAAUUCAGAUUGAUGGAUUGAUUCUAGGUAAAGUAUGAUUAAGCCAUGGCUUCUGGUCCUAACCUUGUAUUCCUAAUUCCCUAAUUAGAUCUUUGUUGUCGAACCUAAAUUAAACAUUAGAAAUCCAUUAAGCAUAAAAGAAUGUUUUAAACAACCAAGCAUAUAUCUAAUCCCUGUUGUUGAAUGUCCAUACAUACUCUUCCUAUUCAUAGUUCAAUUCGAAUUAAGACAUAUGGUGUCUACUCUUAAUUCCAACCAAGAUAGUUAACAUAUAAGUUUUAAUGGUGAUCAAUCAUUCAAACAAACAUAUUAACUUAUAAGCAUAAUAAAUAAGAACAAAAGCCAUAAUUGAAACUUGGAAACAAAUCAAACUUGAAAACUUAAAAUAAGAAAUUAUAUGACAAUGAAAAAUAAAUUACAACUAAGAAAAACAUAAAGGAAAAUUUAGCAAAAAAGUUUUAUUACAACAAUUGAGAACUUAAAAGGAAAACUAAGAGAAUUCGAGAGAGAAAAUGGAGAGAAGGAAGGUCGAACACCUCUCUAGAGCACCUCUCCCUUCUCUUCCUCAAAUUCUCUAAGUUCUCAAAUACACCCCAAAAGGGGGAGCUCUCAAACACAUCUAUAGAAAUCCCCUAUUCUCUUCCUCAAAUUCUCUUAGUUCUCAAACACCUAUGUAGAAAUCCUCUCUAUUCUCUUCCUCAAAUUCUCUUAGUUCUCAAACACACCCCAAGGGGGGAAGCUCUCAAAUACCUCUCUAGAGCUCAUCUCCCUUCUCUUCUUCAAAUUCGCUAAGUACUCAAACACACCCUAGGGGGAGAGCUCUCAAACAUCUCUCUAGAGCUCUUCUCCCUUCUCUCCCUCAAAUUCUCUUAGUUUUUCUUUUAAGUUCUUAAUUGUUGUAAUAAAACCUUUUUGCUAAAUUUUUCUUUAUGUUUUUCUUAGUUGUAGUUUAUUUUUCAUUGUCAUGUAAUUUCUUAUUUUAAGUUUUCAAGUUUGAUUAGUUUCCAAAAGUUUCAAUUACAGUUUUUGUUCUUAUUCAUUAUGCUUAUAAGUUAAUAUGUUUGUUUGAAUGAUUGAUCACCAUUAAAGCUUGUAUGUUAGCUAUCUUAGUUGGAAUUGAGAGUAGAUACCAUAUGCCUUAAUUCGAAUUGAACUAUGAAUAGGAAGGGUAUGUAUGGACAUUCGACAAUAGGAAUUAGAUACAUGCUUGGUUGUUUAAAAUAUUCUUCUAUGCUUAAUAGAUUUCUAAUGCUUAAUUUAGGUUUGACAACAAAAAUCUAAUUAGGGAAUUAGGAAUACAAGGUUAGGACCAGACACUUUGGCUUAAUCAUACUUUAAUUAGAAUCAAUCGGUGAAUAUGAAUUGAACUUGUUUACUGAUUUUCUUGAGUUAUUUCUUUUCUUUCUUUCUUGUUUUCUGUUCUUUUGUUUUGUUUUCUGUUUUGUGUAGGGAAUCGAAUUGAAUCAAUCCAUCAUCAAUCCUUGUGGGAUCGACCUCGCGCUUACAUAUGCUAUACUACCGAAUAACUCAUGCACUUGCGAGUAUCACAAGUUAAGGAUGCAGCUGAAUCAAUUUUGGCACAGUUGAAUCCGACAACAAGAAGUUUUUUAGUAUAUUCGUAAGUUUGGAGAACCUCACUAUUUAUAGGCCUAAGGGAAGUAAAAACAAUUAGCUCAUGCAUAGGUCAUGCAUGAUAAUACACUGCAAUCUGGUUGUAGGCUCGUUUUGGGCUUGUUCCUUCAUUCAUACAAUUCUGGAAAAAUAUGGGUCUUGAAGCUCUUUGUCUUAUCCUUCUAACCAUAUGUAGUCAAAUGUCAUUUUUGGCAUAGUAACGUAGAUGCUGCCGAAUUUCACCUUAAGCUACCAAAACUUUCAUAACUUUUUUUAGAAGACUCAGAAUCAUGAACCAUAAAAUGCUCCAGAAACUAAACUCCCACAUAUUUCCAAUGGUGUAUGGCUCAUUAGCUGGUUCUUCCAAAGAUCAUACAGUCCAAGCCAUGAAUUUGACUGAUCUACAGACACAGUUUUGAGCUAACUUGACUCCAAAAUGCAUUAAAUGAGUCCUAAAGCUUAAUACACUGAAACAAACACACAAGCGAUUAAAAGCACAAUUUUAACUUUAAAACAUAACGAAAUCAUAAGUUAGAAGGGUACAAAAUGAUAUAUAAUUAUGCACUUAUCAAUACCCUCUCAUUAUAGCAGCUCCCAUCUACUAUGAACAAUAUCACAUUUCUAAUGAAUUUAUUAGCAAGGUAUAGAUCAGCUCCAAUAUGUAGACAUUGGAACUGUAUAAAGCAUAUCUCGCACUAUCUUUGCAGAUGUAGUUACUUGUGGAAAUACAUUGAUCUCAUGAAGAUCUACCAAACAAACUGUGAUUGCUACAUCCUCUAAUCAUUAAAAAAUUCUCGUGCUCAUGAAACCAACAAAGAAUGUGUUUGGUUAAGAUCUCAAAUUUAUCAAAUUCAAAGCACAUGUGUUCUUUCUUUAACAACAAAUGCUCUAAUGAUUAUGUAUGAAGACAAUGAUGCAUAUAUAACUUAAAUCAAAGAAUGAUUUAUCAAGAGUGACACAACCAAACACAUAUCACCAAAAUUAUUAUACACAUGAACUUUAAAAAAUUCUAGAAAUCGAAGUCAAACAAAUUUAUUCCCAAGAUAAUAUUUCAGUCAUUUUCACCAAAGCUCUACCAAAAUCUAUAUUCUAGAAGUUGAUGUAUGGUAUCGGGGAGCAUUGAAUUUACAAGCAAUCAAAUUCAAACUUGUUGGGAUCAUAUGAAGAUAUCAAUUUAGGGAAGCAUCCAAAAGUAUACCACAUCAAACAUAUGCACACUGUACUAUUUUUCUCUUGGACUAGGCUUUAUAUCACAUUGGAUUUUUCAUUGUAAGGUUUUAAUGAGAUAUAUUUCAAUGUGUCCAACGCGAUGUCAAUAAUCUGGACAAAAGUAGUACUUGUCUUUUCCCUUCGCUAAGGUUUUAUCUCACCGAGAUUUCUUAGCAAAGGUGUUAAUGAGGUAACUUAUCAUUCAUGCGCAGACAUCCAAUGGGAUUUUGUAGUAUUAAUGAUUAUGCGGCUAUCCACUUGAAGUCAAUAAGUAUUAGUUCAUUUGACUAUUAAGUAAAUUGUUAAUAUUAAUAUUUAGAGAGAAGUUAUGAUGGAAUCUCAAUACAUUUCACUUAUUAUAACUUAAGUAACAUUUACAUAUCAUUUCUCUCAAACGCUCUCCACUUCUCUCCCUCUCAAACCCUAGUCACUGUUCCUAUCCUAGGGAGGGGGAGGGAAGGUCACUGUCUUUCCUCCCUUCUCCUUCCUUAUUUUCUCUCAUCCUCUUCCUAGCUCUUUUCUCUUGCCUUCCUUUUGGUUUUUUAGUUGAGCUUAUUGUCAUUUCUGACCCUUCGAGGGUUUGGUUGUGCUCUCUGCUCUACUUUUUUGUUGCCCUGGAUCUCCUUAAACCCCCCCUCACCUUGUGAUGCCCCUUUAUUUUGCGGCUUUAUCUUGGUGUUGUUUGGGUUCUUUUUGCAGAUCUGUGGGUUUUGUGUGUGUGUAUUUAUUUAUUUAUUUUUGUAGAUUCCUGUGUGGCUGCGGUUCUCCCCUCAACUUGGGCUUCUACCAUAGUGUUCUUGUUUUCGAGCAUCUCGUUGGUUUUGCAUUUUUUUUUUUUUGGGUUGUAAUAAUUACAUAAACUCUUUUGUGACUUUGGUGUUUUGUUUGUAGUUGAGUCUCUACUUGUAAUUUUACUUGUGAUAUAGUUUAAAAGUUGUAGUUGUAUUGGUAGUUUUGGGCAAUGAUCGGUCCAUAUCUAAUUUGUUUAGGCUUGCGGCUUUCAUGCUGAAAUGUGUUUGGAUUUAUGCCACUACUAGUGGAGAUAUGCCUUGUGGUGUAUUUCUCUAUAUUUGGAAUAACCCUGCGUGGUUACUGUGCUUCCACAUUUGUGUCAACCUGUUUUGAGUAGUUUAUGCCCUUGUGGAUGAUGAUGUUGGUGCCUAAGUGAUGAUGGUCUUGUCCUGUAUCCUGAAGGGGAAAACACAAGAGAUAUACUGCUGCACCGGUUCGUGGGCUUUGCCAACUCAUAGUGGGCUUGAAUCUCCUUACAAAGAGCGAAAUAUCUGUGCUUCAACCUAAUUGUCUAUGUGCUUCUUGGAGCAUAAAAUAUUUCUUGUAUUUUCUUAAUUGUAUCUAGCAAUAUGGAAAAAGGCCAAAGGAGAGAGAAAUUUUUUAAAAGAAGCCAAAAUGGACAAAAUUACUCUUAUUUAUUUUUGAAUUUCCUAAGGAAUCCUUUACAUUUGUAUAUCUUUAAUUUGAUAGUUGAGAGGUUUUUCUGUCUUUUUUAAAAAAGCUUUGGCUUUUUCCAAAAGUGAAAGUUUUUUUAUGACUAAAACCUAAAUUUACUUAUUAAUUAAGUUCUUUAAUGAUGUAAACUAGGUUAACUUUGAGCAUAGCAUGCAAGUCUCUAACCCUACAUAAAUGGGCCUAAUGGAAAGAAAAAGAUACAGUAAAAGUUCUUAUUUCUUUCUUAAUUAUUUGAUUUCCAACAAUUUUAUUUUUUGUAAGAUAAUUUACAACUUUAGAUAGUUGCCAAAAGGAUUUAUCCUAAAUAAGGAAAAUAGCGUAUAAGUUUAUAGGCUGAAAAUUAGAGUACAUAUAUUAAAACCUUAAAACCUUGAAGCCGAAAAAAAAACAUAAAACGGCCACUAAUGCUAUUAUCCUAGAUUCUACAUAUACUUUGCAAACACAAUAAAAUAGAACUAGAUUCUUUUUUAAUCAAAAUUAAUUAGGUAGAUAGACUUUAAUUAUUAUUUUUUUGGGUUGUAUGUGUUCUUCACUAGGUGAUUCUAUUUUCCCCCCUUUCCCUUACCUUUACUACUUCUCUCACUGUGUUGUACUACUUUAAUAACUCGUCUCUCCACCGUCCACUCCCUUCAGUCAUCUUGUACUCUCUCUCUCUCUCUCUCUCUCUCUCUCUCUCUCUCUCUAUAAAAGCAAGGUCACCCAGCAAAACUAUUCCCUUCAUCUCACACAGUAUAGUAGUACCCUUUUUAAUUAACCAUGGCUGACUACCCCUACUCAUCAAAUUUCUUCCCAGGUCUCUUCAAAUUCAACCCUCUUUAUCAACGUCACCAUGAACAGCCUCCAAACCCUCCUCCUCCUCCUCCUCCUCAUCCUUAUGCCCACAACUUUUUCCUCAACCAGUCUCACUCUUUUUACUGCACCACCCAACAAACUGUUACCUCUAGGCCCCCUUCCCCUCCUCUCAGAGAAGCCCUCCCUCUCCUCAGCCGCUUAAGCCCAACAAACCAACAACAACAACAUCAUCUCCUUCAUGAAAAUCAACAAGAUCAUCAUCAGUAUAAAGAUCAAGAUGAGGAAGAAGAAGAUGAUGAUGAUGAGAGUGUGACUGUUGCACUUCACAUAGGGUUGCCUAGCCCUAGUGCUGCUGAGAUGGCCUCUGUGCUGUCUGCUGCUGCGGUUGCUUCUUCCUCCUCAGAGAUUAGUAGUCAUCAUCAUGAAAAAUUAGAUCAUGGGGGAGAUAAUGAUUCUGCAGGGUACCCCAUGAGCUGCAGGCUCAACAAGGGUCAGUAUUGGAUCCCCACCCCUUCCCAGAUUCUCAUUGGUCCUACUCAGUUCUCUUGCCCUGUUUGCUACAAGACCUUCAACAGAUACAACAACAUGCAGGUAAUUGAUUUCACCAUUUAAAGUUGAACAAAAUUAAUAAAACCAUUGAGGUAAAUUUCUUGAUUCACCAUGAAACCAUGGCCUCAGAAGCCAUUUUCCCUUUUCUCCUCUCUCUCUCUCUCUCCCAAUCUUUUUCUUUUUAUCAGCCUUUUCUUCUCUCUUUGUUUUCCUCUAAUAAUUUAAGGACAACAAUCAGUCUCAUGAUGAGCUCAGCUUUUUGUUUCUUCAAUUUGUCUUUGAUUUUCUUCCCUUAACUAUCAUCCUAUGCUUGGGUUUAUAAAUGGAAAAUCAGAUUGGGGUAUCCUUUUUGUUUUUUAUUUACUUUUUCCAAAUUUUACUUUUUAAAAACAUAUUCAUCAUCUUCUACUUUUAUUUGCAUGGUUUCUGGGAAUUGGGGUUGAGUAAAUCUUUCUGAUUCAGCUAAGGCUAUGGGCAGUACCGUCCCUUUAUGUGAUUGAACAACACAGGCAAUGUUCCUUAUGCCUUUAGUACUUUGAAGUCUGUGCUCAAACAUAUAAUGGCAGAAGCUGAAAAAUCUUGCAGUGUUUUUACCAGAGGGGCCAGGUCAUAACAUUAUUCAAGUAACAAAUGAGUUUCUGUAUGUGGACCUUCAGUCUGCAACAAAUCAGUUUUUGGUCAUCCAAGCCCCAUACUUAUUCAUACAAAAUAUAUACCUCUCUCUCUUCUCAAUCAACAAAUCUUGAAAACUCAAUAAGUAAUUCAUUUUUUUCUUUCUAUUAUUACAUCUCAAUGAGCUCUAUCAACUCAGUAAGUAAAUUGGUAGAUCUCUCUUUUGCAGACAAAGACUUGUAAACUAAGCACUUUCAUAUGCCUUUUAAAGCGUCCCUAAAACAUUCAAACAAUUCAUUGCGAAAAAAAGAAAGAAUUUACUCCAAUUGAAAAUGCAUUUUCAAGGGAAGUCCAUAUAAAUAUAUAUAUUUAUCUGAAUCUUAUAAAAAUCAUGCAGUUUUAAUCCCCAAAAUAUUUGCACCUUUAAUCCAGUAAUUAGUUAGAAAGUUUCUUUCAUGUGCACAACAGAAAAGUUAAUGAAUCUCGGAAUUCAUCAACAAAAGAUGACUAGCAUAUUAGAAGCCAAAUAAUAGGCUUAAAUACUGCACGUGCAAGCCAGCAUUUUGUAGUUAUCUUUUUUAUCUUUUUAUUUUUUUCUCUUUGAAUUAACUGAUAGUUUGGAUGUUUUGGUAUUCAUUGAUCACUGAUUUUUGUUUUAUUAUUUUCUUUUUCCGACUAUAUAUGUUAUAUAUUGUAGAUGCAUAUGUGGGGGCAUGGAUCUCAGUAUAGAAAAGGGCCUGAAUCUCUGAGGGGCACUCAACCAACAGGCAUGCUUAGGCUUCCUUGCUAUUGUUGCACACCAGGUUGCAGGAACAACAUCGAUCACCCUAGAGCAAAGCCGCUAAAAGACUUCAGAACCCUUCAAACACAUUACAAGAGGAAGCAUGGAAUCAAGCCUUUCAUGUGUAGAAAGUGUGGCAAGGCAUUUGCAGUGAGGGGGGAUUGGAGAACCCAUGAGAAGAAUUGUGGGAAGCUUUGGUAUUGCAUUUGUGGCUCUGAUUUUAAGCACAAGAGGUCCCUUAAAGAUCAUAUCAAGGCCUUUGGGAAUGGGCAUGCAGCUUAUGGCAUUGAUGGCUUUGAAGAAGAAGAUGAUCCUGCUUCUGAAGUGGAGCAAGAUAAUGACUCCAUGCAGUAAUUACUUACUUGGAAGAGAAUUAAGAAACAUUAAGUAUUGUUCAUUAAUAUCAUUAGCAUAUGAACUUAAUUAGAGGGGUAAUAUUUAUUGACAUAGCCAUGGCUUUCUGAGUAAGAAGUAUGUAAGCAUCAUUUUGCUUAGAGGCCACCUUUUUUCUUCUUCUUUUUUUGCUCUUAUUAUGUAGCUCUUUUCUCAGUUCUGUAAGAGGUUCCAAAACAAAUCCAUGUUGACCAAGUAAUUUAUGUCAACCCAUUGUUCAUCAGCUAAUGUGAAUGGCUUUUAGUUUUUAUAAUUUUCUGUCCCUUUUGUUUUUUUGUUUUUUUUGAGAGAAAAUGGUAUUUCAUUCUACCCAAACGUAACAUUACAUGGUAGAAAAAUCUUUAACGAAUUGAUAACUUACUGAUCACUGUGAAGCUCAAGAUGGGAAACAAUAUGCCAAGAAGGCCACAUUGAACCUUAAUGAUUAUACAUUUUCUUUAGGAAGUAUAUAUUCUCAUAUUUGGAUUGCCCUUGCCACUAAUAAGGAGAAAGAGAGAGAGAAUUUAAGAAGAUGGUCAAUGAGAAGAGAAGAAUCUUUGAAAUAAGACGAUCUAACUUUUAGAGAUAAUAAUAAUAUACGCACGGAUAAUUGAACUUUAGGGGUUUGGGGCUUUUGGCUUUAAUAAUUCAAUUUCCUUUUAGGAUCCUCCCGAAGAGUAUUCAUCAAUUCACAAAUCUCAUAAUUCCAAGUGCUCGAUUACUAAUCAGUUAUACAUGUGUGUCUUGAAUCUCACAUCAAUUUUGUAUUCUGUUAAUAAAUUUUAUUGUAUAAGUGAAUCAUGAACAUAUUUGUUGAAAUCUUGAUAAGGAUGUCAUAAUUUGAGUGAGUCGUAAUGAGAACGUUAUGGAUUUAAGUGGAGAUUGAAAUAUAUGUUCCGUGCUAGUUUUGUUUAUGUUAAUUAAUUAGGAGAGUAUGCUAUCUCUUGGUUAUAAUGAUUCAAGUAAACUUUAUUAGUGACUAAUUAUAAUCUCUUUAGGAAUAUUGCAUCAAGAAGGCGAGUUGGUAUCUGAAAUGGUGGCAAUAUUGUAAAGGCAAAGUUAAGAGGAAAGCAAGACAAGGGUUGGGUAUAUUUUGUUCCAAAUGUAGUUGAGAUAGGCUUUUCAUCUCCUGCAAAUAACAUGCAUCAACUUUUUGUUGGGGCUGCAUACGAUGCCCCUUUUGCUUUGUUAGUGGAGAGAGAGAGAGAGAGAGAGGUAUGUUUGAUGGAUGGAACAUGUACCAUUUGAUUCACUAUUGCUUGGGAAAUUCAAAGCAAAUGAUUAGCUUAGAGAGAGAGAGAGAGAAAGGGGAUAAAUAAUAUAAACCUAAAAAUGUAGAGAUAUGCAUAUGUACACACAUAACUAACACAAGAGAAGGAAAGUUAAAGAAAAAAAGAGAGAAAAAUGAUGUAGGUGUCAAUCAAUAAUAAUAUUGGAUUGGAAUGGAUCUCGUUGGCAGCUUUGUUGAGAGAGAAAGAGAGAGAGAGAGAGAGAGAGAGAGAGAGAGAAGAGGAUGGGAAAAAGCUAAGGUCAGCUACAGAGGGUGAAAACGCAACUGGGUGGAGCCCAAGUCGUAUUGGUUGGUUGGUUGUGCUAGUUUGCAACAUAUACUGAUACCCUGCUACAGUCAUACAAAAACCUUUCUUCUGAUGGAUGAACUGUAGAUUGAAACGACCUCUCAAUAACACUUUGACCACCCCUCUCUUUCUCUCUCUCUCUCUCUCUCUCUCUCUCUCUCAAGGGCAGGCAGGGCAACUUUGAAAUAUUAUUUCAGCAAGACUGCAAAACUUGCUAGCUAGCUUAUCUGCUAAAUACAACAUGAAGUCAAGUAUGGUGAAGAAGAGAAUAAUGGUAAUAGUGAUGUAACAUACUCGUGUUUUACACUUUCACUAACCAAACGUACGUAUAUUUAAACUUUUUGGUACGUUAUUCUUCUAAUUAACCAAAACCUACGUAUAUUUAAACGUACGUAUAUAUCUUUAUCUUGUAGGUGGGCGAAGUGGGUUUGCUAGCUAUAUAUAUUAUAUAUUUUUGGCAAAAAAGAAGAAGAAGAAGCUAUAUAUAUAUAUAUAAAAUUCCUGUGUAAUAAUAAUUAGUAUUAUUACUCCUACUACUAAACAUAUAUAUAUAGUUGAACUACAAGUAGAAAGCAUUUAUUCACAAUCAAUAUCCCACCCCUUUGUAGGGGAGACCAAAACCCUACCACUAUUUGAUCCUUUUGGUCCACCCCCUCUCUCUUUUCCAUUUACAUCACCACACAUUCUCUCUCUCUCUCUCUCUCUCUCUCUCUCUCUCUCUCUCUCUCACGUGUAAAAACACACACAUGCUUGCUUAUCAUUCUCAUCUAUCUUUUUGGAAAUAGAGUGCAUGAGUUAUACGCUACAACAUGGGGAGGUCAGGUCAGAAUGAAUGAGUGAUUAGUUUCUUGAAAGUUCAAAGCAUCCACAUAUAUGGAGAGAGACAUUUUAGUUGACAUCCCUCUCAUAUAAACUUAUUUGAAUGACAUCCUUUUAAGUUUCACUUCAUAUUGUAUUUUAAUGAUUCGAACAGUCUAUAAAUUCAUCUAAAAAUUAUUUAUGAAAAAAUUACUUAAAUCUAAAUCCAUUUAACUACACCUACAAUAUAUAUCACAUACCCCACCACAAAAUAUAUAUAUAUAUAUAUAGGUGGGGUAAAAUUGAUAAUUCCAUUUUUAUGCUUUAUAUGCCAUGCAUUGUCACUAUGCAAAGAUCUUUGCCCUUUCUUUAGACGAAUGAAUAGAAAGCAGAGGGUUUGUACUGUCUAUAUAUCUAUGUCUAUAUCUAAGCAAAAAUAUAUACACACUGAGUACUGACGUUCUUAUCAACUGAUGAGGCAAUUGUUUUUUUCCCCAUCCUCGAACACUCAAUGGCUCAGCCAUGCACAGCCUUCUCUGCUUAAAAUCCCAAGACUGAAGAAACUCUUUUUUCUCUUUCUUCUCUAGUCCCAAAAUUCAUGUAUAUUUUUUUGUAUUUAUAUUUAAUUCCAAGAUACUGUUACCAAGACCUCAAGGAGACCAAGCUUCCCUACACGAGAAUAUGUAUAAAUGUUUUGUUUUUCUCAGUAUUUUCCUUUUUAUUUUCACCUUUGUAUUCACAUUCCAAUACAGAGGGGGACAGCUUUGUCUCCCUUGGCUCGAAUAUCACCAGCUUUUCCGGGCAUAUUAUAAUUUAAGCCACUCAUCUUCGCCUUGCCAAUUCAAUGAAUUUUUAAUUAUAAAUAAGUCCCAACUAUUGUUUCAUUAAUUUCAACACAUUGUCGGCAGAAGAAUAUAUGUGAAAACAAUUUCCUCAUCUAAAUUAAAUUAACAAGAGAAUGUGUAUAAGAUAUUUUGUAUUUAGUAAAGUUGUGGGGUACAAUCGCUGUGUGUUUCUUCUUUAAAAUAUUAUUACUCUGGUUCGAUUUUUAAGAUUGAUUUGUUGAUUCAAAGGUGUCAAGCACUCGUCUUAAAUUGAACAGUUGAAUUUCAAUUGGCAUGUGUCAGUAGUGAUUAAUGAUUCCACAACCAUGAUGCAAAACCUUGGAAGUUUUUUAGUCCAAGUUUUGUUUGCCUUGGUCAAAGAGUUUGUUUACCGUGCCAAACGUUCCUUUUUUUAAAAUAAGAUCGUAUCAGUCUAUGGAGUUCUUGUUCUUGAAUCCCUAAAUUUUAAAUCCGUUAACUUGUGAGAUUAAGUCUUAAUUUGUGAAUUUAAGACUUUGAUAUGAUUUGCCAACAUGAUUUAGCCUAAUGAAAAAUGGUCUUGACUUGCAGACUAGUGGUCUUAGAAUUGAAUCCCCAUGGCAUCAUAGUAGUGUGCGUGUGAGAAGCUCCCUUCCCUCUAUAGUUUAGACUAUCUUUUGUACUAAAGAAAAAAAAAAUGACUUUGAUUUGAUUCAGAUUGUCUUAGUUUUGAUUUAGCUUUAUUUGACUUGAGAUUAAAUCAAGAACAUUGCUUGGCUCCUUACAUAUUAAGAAGUCAUUCCUACUUACAUGUGUGGGAGCAAAUAAUCACACACAAAUAAUUAAACACCACAUGUAUCCGAAUAUACUUGUUUGGACCAAUGACCCCUAGUGAAAUGGGCAGGAUAACCAGAAGCACAUCCCAUCACUCACUAAUGAGAGGAUGAGUGGCGUAAUUGCCUCGAAUUGGCAUAAGUCAAUUCCUCUGCCAUAAUUGAUAAGAGCGUGGGUCCACUAGAAAACCCACGCGCUCAUUAGGCCCAAUAGGGCCUUUAAACAUCUCGGGCCUUGCUAGGUCGCAGAACCCUAGCUUGGGCCCAAGAACUGGGUAGGCUUAAGAUAAGCCUUACCUGGGCUUCACAUAACACGCCUAAGUAGGACCAAUCUUUGGACAGCACACCUACAAAACAGAUCAGCAGGGAUCUCUAAGAUCUUCCUAAUUAUUGCAACAACAAUAAUCUAGGAGACUAUGCCCACAAAUUUUGGGCAAAUAUCUCACACUUCUUAAGCCAAACGAUUAAUUGACUGGACAUGUGAAAUGACCGGUCAUAACCCAAGUAACGACCAUACAAAGCCUCUUAAGAAGACAAGUCAGCCACCAACGGGCCAUAUAAAACCCAAUCUCCACCGUGAGAGGAGGUAACAUUCAUCAGCCUAAGAAACCCUAUUUCUUCUAACCUUGGAACUGACUUUGGCAUUAAAGAUGCACCUAGGAUUUCAAAAUGAGGAGGGCUAGAUUUACCUUAUGGGUGAAUUGUUAGUUUUGAACAUGACUAAACCUUAAAACUUAUAUACUAACUAUAAGAAGAAAAAAAAAAAUUUUAAUUGACCUAGGAUGAAAAAUAUAUAUAUAUAUUGUCAUGGGCCAUAAGCUAGGUCCCUCCGUGUUUCGAAUCAGAGACUUUUUGACUCACACCACACCGAUGCGUACAAAGACUCACAAUACUUCAUUCUUCCUUAAAUUUCAAGGGCAGUGAAGUCUUUUCCAAAAGUAGACAAAACCAUUCUCCAGAACUUACAAAUCACAGUAUGAAAAAAAUAUAUAAAUUUACUUUAUUAAAAAUACAAAAAGACAUUAUUUUUGCAAACAUGUUAAACUGUGCUAUAUAUCCUCUUACAUGUAAGAAGCAAGUAAUAUUUUCCUCUUCAAUCAAAUCUCGUGAUAGCCAAUUCGCAUUCACUCUAUUUUCUUGAUCCCUAAUCACAUAUCAUGUGUUUUUUGUGUCUUGAUAAAAUAAAAAAUUUUGCAUUGACCAAAAAAAUUUUGAUGUCUACAAAAUGUACAUGGGAAAAUACACAGGGCAAUUAUUUAUUAGCAUCAAGUAUAGCUGUAUAUCUGGCUGAAAAAUCAAAAAGGAAAAUAAAUGAAAGAAUCAAAGUACUUUGAUCCCUUAACAAUCCAUGCAUGCUAUAAAUCAAUUACAGGUGAUGUGUAUGUGUGUGCCAGAUAGCUUUAUGAUAAAAGAAGUACGUUUGAUGGGAAUAUUUUUUUCACCAUUUUAAUUCAAGGUGUGUGAUUAUUAUUUUUCUUAAUAUUUGAUAUAUAUUCGUAAACAUAACUACGGUUUCAUAAAUACAAAACAAAAAGUUAUAAUUAUGCUCAUAAACACGUGUCAAGUGUUAAAAAUGAUGAGGAUACACAUUUAGUUAAAGUAGUGAGAAAAACUAUUUCCCUGUUUGAUGACUAUAACCCUGAUGUACCUGCAAGAUAUGUCUCCAUUAAACAAAUGCUAACCAACCAAUUGAAGGCAGAUCUUAGCUGCUUUUGAUCCUCAAAGUAUACGUACAAGACAACUUUGUUUGAGAGGCCCCAAUGACUAAAGGGAAAAGAGCAAAAGGCAAAAAUAAUCUUGACCCCAUAAUGACUUUUAAAAAGAAACAAAAAUGCUAUCAAAAUUAAAUAAAACACGAUGAAACAAAAAUCUUCUUUUGGACUAUACCUAAGGCUAUAGCUUCUCUUUUUCUCAUGAUCAUUAUCCAUGACAUAUGCCUGCUUUUUUUAAUAACCAUUUUCUGGUGCUAAAGUUUUCUUGCUUUAAUGUUAUAGAUUCUCCAUGUUGUAGGUAUAUGAUAUCAUUGUACUGGGAAUAUAGAGAAAAACUUCAUGGAGAAGAAAGAGAGCAUACUUCAACAUAACACACAAAUAUUUUGGGAGGGAGAGAAGUCUAGGAUUUUUUACUAUGUACUUAAAGGACACAAGGAAAAGUUAUGUUUGAUGUUCAUGCCUAUCAAAUCACAUAGACGGGUAUUAUCUCAUGUUCUGAGAAUGGAUAUAUAAAAACUCAUGUAUUCAAAUUCUCAAGUUAGUCUCUGCUAAAAUAUGAAAAUUAUAAGAGAAUAUUUAUUUGUGGGAAUUUUCUGUGUAUUUUUCUCUUUGUAGGAGGUCAUAUUUAUAAUACAACAAAACCUGAAUGGGCAAAUAAAUAAUAAAUUCCUAAAUCCAUUUACAAUAGAAAAUCAGGAAUUAAAGUAAAUCAAUUACAAUUAUAAUAGGAAUUCUUGGUGUGUAAGGAAAGUAAGUCAAUAUCCACAAGUCACGCCAACACUCCCCCUCACGUUGGUGCAUAGAUGUCGUCAAUGCCCAACUGAUCCAGUGAAUUAUGAAACGCUUUACUGGAAAUUGCUUUUGUCAAAAUAUCCGCCAAUUGAUCCUCGGAUUUCACAAAAGGAAACUGAAAUACUUUAGCCUCAAGCUUCUGUUUGAUGAAGUGUCGGUCCACCUCAACAUGUUUAGUACGAUCAUGCUGAACCGGAUUAUGUGCAAUGGCUAUAGCAGCCUUGUUGUCACAAAAGAAAUUCAUUGUGGAUUUAGGUUUAUACCCAAUUUCAGUAAGCAACUUUCUUAACCAAAGAAGUUCACAAAUCCCUUUAGUCAUGCCUCUGAACUCGGCUUCUGCACUGGAUAAAGCUACUACAUUUUGUUUCUUGCACCUCCAUGUCACCAAAUUACCUCCCACGAAUGUGAAGUAACCCGAUGUGGAUUUUCUAUCUGUUACAUUACCUGCCCAAUCUGCAUCUGAAUAACCAUCAAUAUUUAGAUGACCAUGCUUUGAGAACAUAAGUCCUUUUCCAGGUGCAGACUUCAAAUAUCUAAGUAUCCGAAGAACUGCAUUCAUGUGGUCUUCACUUUGAGAGUGCAUAAAUUGACUGAAAAAUCACCGCAUAAGCAAUGUCUGGUCGAGUAUGUAACAAAUAGAUCAAUCUAACCACUAACCUUUGGUAUCUUUCUUUGUUAGUUGGAACUUGAUCCGAAUAUUCUCCAAGAUGAUGAUUCUGAACAAUAGGAGUGUCCGCAGGUUUGCAAUCUAGCAUUCCUGUGUAUGUCAACAAGUCCAAGACAUAUUUCCUUUGAGAGAGAAAUAUGCCUUGCUGCGAUCGAGCCACUCAAUUCCCAAGAAAUACUUGAGUCCACCUAGAUCCUUCAUCUCAAACUCAGUAGCCAUAUAGUCUUGUAGCUGUGAUAUUUCAUGUUUAUCAUUCCCAGUAAUAAUCAUAUCAUCAACAUAGAUUAUUAAUGCUGUUACCUUCCCUUUUCGAUGUUUCAAGAACAGAGUAUGAUCUAAGUUGCACUGUUUGAAACCAUUGUUCUUCAUUGCCAUGGUGAACCGUCCAAACCAUGCACGUGGUGACUGUUUCAAUCCAUACAAUGCUUUUCGUAACCUGCAAACUGUUCCAGUCUGAGCAGUAUUAUAUCCAGAAGGAAUGUCCAUGUACACCUCCUCCGUGAGUUCGCCAUGUAGAAAAGCAUUCUUUACAUCAAACUGGUGUAGUGGCCAAUCCAAAUUAGCUGCAAGGGACAAUAAGACUCUGACGGUGUUUAACUUUGCAACUGGUGCAAAAGUUUCUUCAUAGUCUAUACCAUAGGUCUGUGUGUACCCUUUUGCCACAAGUCUUGCCUUGUAUUGCUCGAUAGAUCCAUCUGCAUUGUGUUUUAUAGUAAACACCCAUCUACAUCCGAUAGUCUUUUUUCCUCGUGUUAUAGUCUCCAAUGUCCAAGUCCGAUUUUUCUCAAGAGCUUUCAUCUCCUCUUUUAUAGCUUGAACCCACUUAGGAUCUUUCAAUGCUUCAGAGACCUUGGUUGGAAUAUGGAUAGCAGACAACUGAUGCACAAAAGCCUUGAGUGGUUCAAACAGCUUCUUAGUGGAUACAUGAUUUGCAAUUGGAUACUUGAAUCUCUUGCCAAUAUCAGGUGAAUAACGGUUUGGUGGCUUCCCACGAUUUUGCCUGAAAGGUAAUUAAUAUUCAAUAGUUUUAUCCUCUAAAUGCACAAGUCUAGGAGUAUUUACCUCAAAGAUAUUCUCAGGAGAUUGGUCCAUUGGUACUGUUGAAGGAGAGGGGAGGUCUUCAUUUUGUUGUUCUGAGUUGUCUAUAAGAGUAUGACUCGAAUCAAAAACAUCUUCGCAAGGGUUAGGCGAUCGAUCGUUGUUUGGUAGAGAGCAUUUGCACGUGCCAGACUCGAGACAAUUGAUUGUUAUUGUUUCUUGGCCGAGAGCAAUCUUCGUGCAUAGAUGAAUAUCCUCGUUUUCCAAGCUGCUCCAAUUGAGCUCUUCACUCGGUAUCUCCCCCUGAAGAGUAUAAUUGGAUGCUGGGUCAUAGAAGAACAUAUCUGAUUCCAGAAAUGUGACAUCCAAAGUGACAUAGGUUCGCCGGGUAGGAAGGUGUUAACAUCGGUAGCCUUUCUGAUGAGUGGCAUAAUCCAAAAAAACACAACGAAGUGCACAUGGAUCAAGUUUGCUUCGUUGAUUUUUGUGGAGAUGAACGAAUGCCACACAUCCAAAAAUUCAAGGGGUAAGCACCAAAACAGAGGGCAGAGGCCCGUGUUGCGUGAGCACUUGUAAUGGAGUUUUGAAGUUCAAGACCCCAGAUGGCAUGCGGUUGAUAAGGUGGACAGCAGUGACGACAGCAUCAUCCCAGUGAUGACGAGGAACAUGGCCACCAAUGAGAAGAGCACGGGUUGUUUCAAGGAGAUGACGAUUCUUCCGUUCGGCAACACCAUUUUGUUGUGAUGUUUGGGGGCAAGUUGUCUCAUGAAUAAUGUCAUGUGUCGUGAAGUAAGUCUGUAAAUCAUGAUUAACAAAUUCUCCACCAUUGUCAGAGCGAAGAAUCUGUAUUCGAGCAAUUGAACUGUGUUUCCAUCUGUUUGUAAAAGGAUUGGAACAGGAAAAAUACUUCAUUCUUAUUUUUCAUCAAAUAAAGCCAUUGCAUCCGUGUACAAUCAUCUAUGAAUGUGACAAACCAAUGAAUACUAGAAUGAGUAGAAAUAGGUGAGGGUCCCCAAACAUCAGAAUGAAUUAAAGCAAAAGGAAUAGUACUUUUAUUCAUAUUUAAAGAUAUGAUGCUCUAUGACUCUUGGCUAGAAUGCAAGUGUUACAUUUAAAAUCUGAGUCCUUAAAUACAGAAAACAACUCGGGCAAUAAGUGUCUCAUCUAACCAAAAGAUGGAUGUCCCAAACGUCGAUGCCAGAGCUAAAUUUGUCGGUGCUUGUCAUCAGACGGAUGCUUUACACUAUUGGCAUGUCCCAUACUGAAGUCAUCCACAGAGUACAGCCCCCCUCUUUUAGUACCAUGCCCAAUGAUCUCCUUGGUGAGAAUAUCCUGUAGUAAACAAAAAUUGGGAUAAAUUAGUGCACAACAAUUUAGUUGUUCAGUUGCUUGACUCACAGACAUUAAUUUGUUGGACAAAGAUGGAACCAGUAGAGUAUUAGAAAGGGACAGAGAAGGUGAAAGGGCAACAGUGCCGUCCCCUGUCACAGGAUAGGUAACUCCAUUUGCAUUGGCAAUAUUUGUGCGGCGAGGUGUAGUGGUGUGCAAAAAAUCAUUCGGAUCAAAGGUCAUAUGAUCAGUGGUGCUAGAAUUAAUUAUCCAACCAGUAGUAUCUCGUAGAUCAGAAGUAUGAAAUGCAUAACCACAGUUACCUGAGACAUCCAGAACCGCGGACUAUCAGUAGGAUCUACCUGCGGGAACAAGGCUAAUGGGGGUUCGGUAGAGACAAGAGCAGCACAGCAGAAAUUACUAGCAGUUUCUCAGAGCUUGCGAGCGCGAAGGUCCUCCCACCAAUUAGGAUAACCAUUCAGCUUAAAACAGGUGUCACGGGUAUGUUUGGGGUUGCCACAAUGCGUGCAACCACUUUCAUCAGUCGGAGCCUUGGGACAGGAAGGUGGGAUGGUUUUAGGAAAUGGCACACCAGCAGCAGUAGCAUAUGACUGGAUCUGAAGGUGGGCCACAGUAAAUGAAUUAUGGGGCUGUCCGACACGAGUAGGGGGACUUGAUCGAGGCGCACUCUUGGCCGCUAAGCCAGCACCAGUGGGUGCAGAUGAACCCAUCAUCACUGCUUGUCGAACAUUUUCAUGGCGAACAUAGGCAUAAGCUUGGUCAACAGUAGGGAAUGGAGUCAUGUGAAGAACAUCACUUCGGGCCUUAUCAAGACGAUCAUCAAGGUCAUCCAAAAAUAUGUAAACUCGAUCUUCCUGCAGAAUAUCAUUAUAGCGCUGGAUAUCACUUUCAUCCUCCAUCAUAUUUGGACGACGGAAAUCAAUUUCUCUCCAUAAGCUUUGGAGAGUAUUGUAAUAGGUUUCAAUGGAGCCACCAGCUUGUCACAUACCAGAGACUCGUCGUUUCAGAUCAUAAACCUGAGAGGUGUCAGUGCCAUCAUAGUAAGUUGUGGCAAUUGCAUCCCACACUGGCUUUGCAGUCGAAAAAUGAAUGAAAUUGCCAAUCAAACUCUGCUCUAGAGAAUUGAUGAGCCAUCCCUUCACAAUAAAGUUCUCGGUGCGCCAGCGAGGAAACGUUGGAGCGGUCGAAAGAGGUUGUGGAAGAUCGCCAUUAAUAUAUCCCAAUUUGUCUUUGCCGGAGAUAUACAACUCUACAACUUGGGACCAUAGGGCAUAGUUGGUGACAUCCAACUUUAUGCCAAUCUGUGCAGCGGAAGCUUCACAGGUAAUUGUCGUCAGAAUCGUUGUAUGAUUCGGGUUCAAGGUCGUCGUCUGAUUCGAGUUCGAGGUCGUCGUCUGAGUCGAGGUCGGGGUCGUCUUGGUAGGAUCCUGAUUUAGGAUCAAUUUCGAGGUCUGAGUCUGCAUCUGCAUUAGUUUAGCCACCUGGGCACUCAACUCGGCUAUGAUUGGUUGAGAAGGAAAGGAGGAAGCAGUGGUGCUACUGCCAUGAGGAUUAGAAGAGUCAUCCUCCCCCAUGGUGGCGGCUAGGGUUUAGAAACUAGAGUCAGCAAUCCUAAGAUUGCUGCUCUGAUACCAUGCUAAAAUAUAAAAACUAUGAGAGAAUAUUUGUUUGUGGGAAUUUUUUGUGUAUUCUUCUCCUUGUAGGAGGUCAUAUUUAUAAUACAACAAAACCUGAAUGGGCAAGUAAAUAAUAAAUUCCUAAAUCCAUUUACAGUAGGAAAUCAGGAAUUAGAGUAAAUCAAUUACAAUUAUAAUAGGAAUUCUUGGUGUGUAAGUAAAGUGAGUCAAUAUCCACAAGUCAAGCCAACAAUCCCGACCCUCAUAUUAGUUGAAAAAGUAGAUGGCGAAUGCCUGAUCGAAUUGAUGGGGUCAUGUAGAAACAAGGUUCAAGUCUACCGGUCAAUAUAUAGUAAAUUUGGCUCUCUUAGCACAAAAGAAAAGAAAAAAAAAAAACUUAUCCAUUUGGAUAUUACUUGCAAAAAAAUCCAAUUAUAAUUAGGAUACAUAGCUAUGAGGCCAAAUAACUCCACAUCAAGGAAGCACCUAUGUAUUACUUAUUUAUUAGAAGGCAAAACCCACACAAACACCCUUCCAAGGAGAUACCAUAUGCUAGCUAUAUAAACUUGGAAGAAAUAUACCACUUUCAUCAAACAAAUAUGAAAGGGAAAAAAAAGAAACAAGACUUAACAUUUUUGUUGGAUUAAUAAUGCAAAAAUUAAUAGGUCAAAUAAUAGUAUUGAUAACUAAUUAAAAAUAUAUAUAGCAAAUGGGGUCCAAUCCAAUGAAAAAUGGUCUUGAUUUAGAGACCAGUGAUCUCAGGUUCAAACUCAUAGCACCUUGACUAUCGCUUGUAUUUAAAAUAUAUAUAUGUAUUAGAUAAAAGGGCAAGGAAUUUAUGUAUGUAUUGUAGUUCUUUUGUGUGAAGGCUUAAGGAAAAGUGUGAGAAAUUACUUUUAGAUUGCAUGUAUCCUUUCUCUAUCCAAAUGCAUAUAAAACAUUAAUAUACACUCAUACAUACAUCACAUAUCAUAUAUCAUGUACCUUCAUAUAUAUCAUCAUUAUAUAUCAAGCGACAACUUCUUCUGCAGGCAGCCUCUUUAUGACCUCCAACAAAUUUUCAGCACCAUGCCCAUGCUUCUCAAUUAUAGAUAGUUCUGAAUCCACUUCCUAUAAUUCCUUCCUGUGUCAGUCUUCUGUUGGGACUUUUUUUUCAGACAUAUGUAGCUUUUAUAUGAUCUGCAAACAUUCAUUCACUCAAAUCUUUAAUAUGGUUAAUUAAGAGGUAUUUAACAACCACUUCCACUUCCAAACAAAUACUUUCCUCAAUUUUAUUUCACACAAUCGUUUUGUUAAUCUCAUUUGCUACAUGCUUAAGCCUUAAUUAAGCCACCCUCAUGAGACCAUCAAAGAGAAAGAAGAAAAAAAAAAUCUCUCUUUUGGGUUUACAUGUUUAGGGCAACCUUAUAUGAAACACAGAAGGGGGGAAAAGUAAAAGGUUGGUUAAAAGGGAUGUUGGAAUGAAAGUCCUCCAAUUUUGAGGUCAUACCCUCAUUUGAAAGAUAUAUAUAUAUCCUCUUUGUUACACUUGUAUACAUAAUGCAAUGGCUUAACAAAAAUGAGCCUUUUACAAAAGGGUGCAGUUAAGAUGAUUAUAAAAGCACCUACAUGUUUUGGUUUCCUUUUCGUCCUUCAGUGGGUUGAACACCUUUCUCUCUUUUGCUUUUGGUAAAUGUCCUUUUAUCUCCUUCUUUCCUAUACCCUUUUCCCUGAUGUAACUUUGGGAAAUCCAAUCAAAACCUCACCUUUCUCUACAUUAGUAGGAAAGAGGACUAAACAAACAGCUUUACCUUCAAUUAGUUUCUUUCUCAUUUUUUGUAUCCCUUUGCAUGACAUGUUUGGAUUCAAUAUUCUCUAAUCCAUUUGAAUGACAUUGUAGAAGGAGAAAUUCAAGCCAUCAUCUAUAUGAGUUUGGCUUUGGAUUUAUAUUUUUUGACGAUAUUAAUUAUGCGCAUCGUCUGGUUACAGAUUUCUAUUUAAUUAUCGUUCUAAAAAACUAUGUACUAAACCUUAUAUGUUUGUCCUUCAAUUCAUAUCAAAAUAUUUUUUAACAUAAACAUAAUAAGGUCCCUUGCUACGUGAAAUCUCGUUUUGCAAGAGAUGUGAAUAACAUGUCGCGUAAAAUAGGGACCAUCUAAGUAAUUUAUCAUAAAAAAAUAAUAUUUAAAAUUGAAGUGUAAAAAGAGCCUUAGACCACUCAAUUUAGAUGGGUUGUGAACUUAUGAGAUUCUCUAUAAAGGGUUCAGAAAUUGGCGCAUUCUAUUGCCUUAUUUGGGCCGUCAGUUUGGGCACUGGGAGCAUUUCUACUAUGCAAAAUCAUGUUACUGGUCAAAAUCAUUCUCUUCUAAAAUUCAGUUAUACUGAUUGUCAUAUAGAACACACAUGGGUUGUGGGGAAAACACAUUAAUGAGAGAGAGAGAGAGAGAGAGAGGAUGACAAAAAUGGGACUAUGGCCUGCCCCUUUACGUGGUAUAUUUAACGUUAUAAUUGAAUUGGCUGGAAGGAAAGUGAACCACAAACAAGAGCUAGCAUUAGGACCUUACAUGUUAAAUCCUUCAAUGAAGCAAGAUUUAUUAUCCAGUGGGAAGUUCAACUCUAUGUUUUUAUUGUAGUUGCGUGAUCUGGGAGAUGACAUAGAUCCAUUAUUUUGGAUCUUUCAUAUGCUCUGAUUGUAGUUGAGUGAUCUGGGAGAUGACAGUGACCAAAGAACAAAAAUUGAAAUUCAUCAGAAAAUGGGAAAAAUAUCUGAACUCAAUAACCCUUUUUAAAUUCACCAAUAGGUGUUAGUUGGAUUAGCUCAAGAGUGAUCCUGAGUUCAAACCUCAUGGUACCGGUAUGUGUGAAUUUCACCCAUUCUCCUUCCUAUCUUUGGUCAAAAAAAGUAAAAUUAAUAACACUUCUUAAAUUCCUUAAAUAUAAAUUUUUAAUCCAUCCCAACGCAUAAGGCUUAGCCUGACCAAUCUAGGCCCACUUUUGAAAUAUCAUUUGUUUGUAUAUAAGAUACAUUGCUCUCAACAAAGUAUAUAAGAUACAUUAUAGUUUGUCUACGAUACACAUAUAUGAGAAUUUUCUAUAAUACAAUUAGUAUAUUUGGAAAUAUAAAAAAUGGAUUUUCACAUGGCAAGGCCAACAAAGCCCUGCCCAGCCCGUGAUAGUGGGCUUGGGCUAAGGUUGAAAUAUGUAUGCUAAAAUGACCCUUGAACUCAAAUCGAACCCAACGUUUGAGGGUUGGGAAAAGCUUGCUCCUUUGUUUCCACAUUCUAUCAACCCCAUCAAACCCCAUCGGCGCCACCCUCACCACCAUCGAGUCAUUCUAUAGCCCUUAGGUGAGGUCUUAUCUUUUAACUGUUGAAUCAGGCUAACCAAUUUGAUCCAACAACUAACUAAUUUGAUAUAAUGAUUAAAAGAUAGGGCCUCACCGAAAGACCAUAUUAAGGCCCUCAUUAUAGAUUUCUUGCACCACCAUCCCCCUCAACCUAGUUCUUCAAUCUACCAAUCUCUUCCGAUUGGGCCACACUCUCCUUCACCAUAAGCACACUCCUACCCAAUGAACACUAACUUUUAUAAUCCAACAAGAAUUCUAUAGUUCUUCAAUCUACCAAUCUCUUCCGAUUGGGCCCUCAUUAAUCCACCCGCUAAUAACAUGGCAAAACAAAAGUUUCUGUUUGGUUUAACCAAAGUAUUCAAAACCAACCUUUUUCAUUUUCAUCUUCCAAGUAUUGACAGAGAGGAAACGGCCAAAGAGAAAAUUCCAGGAACUCAUGAUUUUUCACCCCAAAAAUAAUAUUUCCAGGAACUCCAGCCUCUUACCAUGAACACGUGUAGCAAACCCAGAGGCUCUGUUGUGAAGGAUCUCAUGAGCCACAAAAGAAAAGAUUUCUAUGGACCCCAUCAGAAUCCCAACAACGUAUAACGGUCAACAAUAUUCAGCUUCUUCCUCAUUUGCCUCUUCUUCAUUUUGUCCAUAAAAAAUACGGACAAAAAAAAGAAGAAGAAGAAGAAGAAAUGGAGCCUCUUUGCCCAAACUUGGAUCUCAAGCCCACACCUUUCUCACCAAUUUCACCAAGAUUCUCAAAACCCAAUUCUCUGUCAGUGCAUUCACAUCGGUUUUCAUGCUCGGAUCGGCGUGUGACCAAGAAAUGGAGGGUGCCAAUUGUGCCCAGUUGGUUCAAGGCUGCUAGUAAUGUAAGGGCUGAUGAAGCUCAGGUUUGUGGUCAGGAGCUGAUGAGGUCAGUUGGAAAAGGCUUGCUUGCAUUGGCUGCUGCCGCUGCUGCAAAUUAUUCCAUCUUUUGUGAUUCUCCGGCUAUGGCAGAGUCGCUUACUGUUGCUUUUCCGGUUUCACGCACCACUGAGGUGAUAGAUUUUGUUUCCUGUUUGAUUGAGUGUUGUUGGGUUGUGUCAUUUGUGUCCAUCCAAUAUUAUAAGUAAAAAUACACUCUAGAAGAUUUCACACACUUUUAAGAAAUGGAAAAGAAAAACAGAGCAUUUUGUAGAGUAUGAAUUAAACAUAUUUUCGUGUUUGACAUUAACGUGACCUGUUUAUUAUUCGUAUUAGUAUGUGCCAAUUGUCUUAUGUUUGGGUUCUUGAGGUAACAAAAUUGCCACCCUCGAUUCUAUUCUCUUGCUGUUGUUUCUUUCUUCUUCUUCUUCGUCUUUUGUUUUGUGUGUAUGUGUGUGUUGUUUUGAUAUAUAAUUUGUGUUUGAUUGAGUGACUGUAAUGAGUUUUGCUAAUUUCAUUAGAUUUCUUUUACCAAUUUUUUUCUGUGUGUUACUACUUUUGCCAAUAGAUCACAACACAGUUAAUACUCAGUUGGCUGUACUUGGAUCACAAAUUGAUGACAGUUACUAAGUAGAUAAUUAUUAUUUUUCCAGGUGAAUUCUGUUCAGAGAACUCUUGUGGAGACUUGGGGUUUGAUUAGGGAAACUUUCGUAGACCCAACUUUUAAUCAUCAAGGUAUUUGGUUACUUCAUCCUUCUUUUAUCGUUGUUAACUGACCGAGGAAUGCACACCAACGGUUGCAUUUGAAGAUCAUUUAUACUCCAAAUAAUGUUCAAUAUCUAAUUGUGUGGUUCUUUCCUGAAAUGAAACAGCUAUAAUAUUUGGAAAACUGUGUUCUUUAGUGUUGAAGACGAUAAUUCUUUUUCUGCAGAUUGGGAUCUUAAGUUGCAGCAAACAAUGGUAGAAAUGUUUCCCCUGAGGUCAGCUGAUGCAGCAUAUAUGAAAAUCAGUGGAAUGCUUUCUACUCUCGGUGAUCCCUUCACACGGAUUAUCAGUCCCAAGGUCUUUCAAUUCAUUCCAGUCUCUGCUAUGUCAAUUCCAUGUUAAUUUAAGACAAUUGCAAUGCAUAUUUGAUUAACAAAUUGAGUUGAACUGUGAUAUGUCCACUUAUGGCUAUCAUGACUGUUUAACUGUGAAUCUGUGAUAUGUCAAACUUAUAUAAAAAGUAAUUACAGCUAUCAAGCUAAUUACGUUUUUCACUCACAGGAAUAUCAAAGUUUUCGAAUUGGAAGCAAUGGAAAUCUACAAGGGGUUGGCCUUUUCAUAAGUACUGAACCAAGAACAGGCCAUUUGGUUAGUGAUGCCAAAUAAUCUUUUGAUAUUUCCAAUCUUUUCGUAAAUAAGCAUACGGAAAAUUGAUAUAUGUUGUUCCUAGGAUAUGUACAAGUCAUUUGACCUUGUGCUUGAAAUAUGUUAAUAAACCAAUAUAUGGUGGUUCUACAAAACCUACAAAAAUUUAUUGCAAUUUGUCUCUUGUAUUUUUUCUAAGCUAAUUAGCCGUUCAUUCGUUAUAUGGUGUUUUUACUAAUUUAGCUGUUCAUAUAGUUGCCAAUUAUAAAUCUUAUCGCCUUAAGUGCAUUAUCCAAGUUUGGCUUAUGUUAUUUCCAGCAUUUCGGAAUGUGAAAUGAGGAACUGUGCCUUUAUGACUGACCCGGUGAUUAUAUUAGAAUAAAAACGUCAACUUUCCUCUGUAUAUCAAGCAACCAAUCUGUUUCAUUAUAAAAUUUUCCGUUAUUAUUUUUGAAAGAAGUUGUGCUAAUGGAUGAGCUCUUGAUAUGCUAAUUUAGAUUUUGUGAGCUGUGUUCUGAUGUAGGAGAAAGAGAUGCAUUAAUAUGCUAAUUUACCACAUGUAAAAUUUAUUUUUAUUGGACAUUGCAGGUGGUGUUGUCUUGUGUAGAGGGUAGCCCGGCUGCUCGUGCUGGUAUACAUGAAGGAGAUGAGUUGGUUGAAAUUAAUGGUAAAUCAAGAUUCAAACAUUUGGCAUUUCUUUCUGUGAUGCUGAAAAUGGAAAAAUCCUACUUAAAAUCUUUUUGGUGGUUGAAUCCUAAUAGUGGGACAUGGUUGACAAUGUUUUGAUUCAAACCAUCAAAAUUAUUUCAAUCUGUUGUGGAUUAAUCUGGCUCAAGCGAAAUCAUAUUCUUCAUUUAUAAACCUAAUGCUGCCAUCAGACUACAGAUACUUGAGAUUGUCUACAUUCCAUUUCUCAAAUUAUAAAUUGGGUCUGCCCCUUAUCAGGAACAAUGAAAAUGCUCUAACGAGAUUAUCAAGAUCCAGUGUCAAGUACUAAUACACUCGGAUUCCCAGUAGUAUUUCUAUGCAAGAUGCUCCUGAAUCAAGAAAUGUAUUCCAAAAUUCCAACUUUUUCAAUGUCUUCUGUUUACAUUUAAACUGGCUUGUCAUUAUUUCAAUACACUUUAUGAGUUCAGGAGAGAAUCUUGAUGGUGUUGACACUGAAGUAGCAGUUCAGAAACUUAGAGGUCGAGUUGGAACAACUGUUACAGUAAAAGUUCAGAGUGUAAUCAUCAACUCUCUUUUUUUUUUUUUCCAAGUUUCAGCGGAAAUUAGUGAUUGUGAUCCUGUAGAGUGUGGCCAGCAGUUGCAAAUGGCUUCAGCUAACUAAUUUUACGUUUUCUGUUAUGCAGAGCAAUGAUUUGGGAAGUGAUUCUAGUAUACAAGAGGUACUAGGCCAUCUAUUAUUUUGGUUUUCUUAUAGUUUCAUUCAUUUUCAAAUGCACUCUUUGUGAUCCCUCAUGCAUCUUCAAAGUUUUUAAAUUAACAGCAUCAAGCAGAAGCAUGCAUUUAAUUUCACAAUUAUUUUAGUUAAUUGAUCUGAAAAAUGACUCGUCUGCUUGAAGGUGAAACUACCUCGUGAGUACAUUAAGCUUUCCCCAAUUUCAACUGCUACCAUCCCUCAUAGAACUCCAGAUGGACGUCUUACCAAAACGGGUUAUGUGAAGCUGUCAGCCUUCUCUCAGGUACUUCACUUUUUCUCUUGGCAAUGCAGAAAAUAAAAUUUCCUAAUUUAUAACAAUAUUUGGUUGAAAGUACUUUGUAUAUUCUGAAAAGUCUUCCACCCCUUCUGACAGACAGCUGCAGCUGAUAUGGAAAAUGCUAUUAAUGAAAUGAAGAGUCAGGGUGUACACUCAUACAUACUGGAUUUACGCAACAAUCCGGUAACUUUUUCAUUCUCGUUUACAUGAAAUGAAAUCUUCUGAUAGUUCAUUUUCCUGCUUUGGAUUUAUGAUUAUUCAGCAUGUUUAUCUUCUUCUUCUAAUUAAAUUCUUCAGGGGGGACUGGUAAAAGCAGGACUUGAUGUUGCCCAAAUUUGGCUAGAUGGGGAUGAAACUCUAGUGAACACAAUUGAUCGGGAAGGGAAUUUGCUGCCUAUCAACAUGGUCAAUGGGCAUGCUAUAACACAUGAUCCACUUGUUGUGCUUGUAAGUUUUGAACUUUAUAUGUGAAGUUACGUGCUUUACAUCAGAAAAGUAUGCAGUUUUGUAAAAGUUGCAUAUACAUUUAUUUUCUUAAAACUGGUGCAGUGCUGUCUAAAAUCAUGCCAAACGCAUUCUUGUUAAUUUUGCUAGAUAUAAAGAUUUUAUUUAGAAAUUCCAAUGCAAGUGGCAAUGCAUGAUGUCCAACUUUGAUUUAGUUAUGUUCUGAUUUAGUUAUGUUCUCUCAUGCAAAUUGAUAUGUGUGCAGACUGUCUAAAGUUGUCACACAAAUAGUUGCUUCUUCUUUCAUCUUCAUAAUCACAAUGGAUUCAAAAUCUCUACUAUUUCAAACAGGUUAAUGAGGGCAGCGCAAGUGCAAGUGAGAUAUUGGCAGGGGCACUACAUGACAAUCGCCGAGCUACUCUUGUUGGGCACAGAACCUUUGGGAAAGGAAAAAUUCAGGUAUGAAAAUUUUUGUGUGUAGUUAAUUGCAUCAACCAGAAAUUUUGUUAACUCAAACUCUACUUGACUGUUACAAAAUGCUUAAGCUCCAUUUCCAAAUUACGAACUUCAUGGAUUGCUGUGAUGUCCUUCUCUGCAAGCACCAUACCUCCUCUUGUUUUCUCCUUUCACUGAAUUUAAAUUACAUGUAAUUUGUAAUCUCACCUUUGAUUUCCACUGCUACACUUAAUUCUAAAUUUAUCAGGGUCAAAGAAUCUGUCAUGGUGUCUAUUCUACAUCUUUAUUAAGUCUCAAACUAAUGGCUAUGUUGCUGCUUGUUUCCCUAAUGCUCCUUGCUACAGAGUGUCACAGAGCUGCAUGAUGGAUCAGCGUUAUUUGUCACAGUGGCCAAGUAUUUAUCGCCGGCGCUUCACGACAUAGACCAGGUUGGCAUUGCUCCUGAUGUGCAAUGCACAACAGAAAUGCUCAAUUCUUCCAAGGAAUCGACGUCGAAGGAGAAGAGCUCAGUCUCAUCUUUAGAAGCAGAUUCUUGUGUGUUGGUAGCUGAACAUGAAUUGGACAUCCAGGAGUCCAAAGGCACUGCGUCUUGAAGACAGGAUCAUACACUUUAAAUUUGUAUAGCGUAGAAAUAGAAGAUAUACACGUGAAAAAGAAUAUGAAAUAGCACAGGGCCUGCUUAUACUUUUGUGUUUGUACAUCUUGUGCAAGUAAGAAGUAGGUUAUAGUGUAUUCCUGAUCAAUUGAAAAAUCAAUUGAAACUUUUGGGUUUUACCAGAUCGAUCAAUUUCCUACCAAUUUAUUUUUAGACUUUGUCAAGUUGGUGACCACUUUUCCUAAGUCAGAAAUCUGAAAACCGGAAUCAAAAUGGUUGCUAUUGAAAGUUUUGGAUGUAGGGUUUGUGGUCCUCUAAUCUGAAUUCCAAAUUGAUCAGGUUCGAGGUUUUCUUUAACUUAAACAAGACAAGUAGCGUUUGAUGUUAACACAAAUGGAAAGGGAAACGUAGAACCGAGUUAGAAUAAGGAUAGGUUAAGAGUUCAAUCUCUUCCAAUAUAAGAAAAGUAAAACACUUAAACUCAACAUUGCGAAUCAUAGUCCUAUUUUAAUUUAAAGUAGGAUUGGAUGUAGGCAGGUUUAAGUUGAACCAUCCAAAAACACCCAAAAAUAAAAUUUAAAAAACGAACACAAAACACAAAUAUUGGUGUUGUAGCUGGCCAAAAAGAAAAAUUAGGACUUGGACAGCUCGGAGUUAGAUAGCCACUUUUACUCAACACUCAAUACUUUGAGGCUGGCUGGCUGGCUGGCUGUGAUUGGUUGGCUUUUUAUAGGUCGGCUGGCAUGGAGGACCAUACCAAACCUCAUGUGAUAGGACAAUUAUUUGGUUGAUUAUUCUCCUUACAAAAUUGGUAGUUUCAUGAUUUCUUUCUUUCUUAAGGUGGACAGUGGGUAGCCACAAAUCAAUUUGGUUUGAUUUAUUAUGAUUAUUUGCUUCUAUAUAUGGGAUGGGAGGAAUGUGCAGCGUGUGGACCCCACAACAAUGAGAAGUGUGACAACGUUCAAAUGGAUGGCAACGUCUAUCAACAGCUCUUUUCUUCUGGGGUUAGUUUGAUUUUGGUUUGGCUUCACGACACACAUGCUGAUAUUAAACAUUCUUCAAUUUUACGUUGUUUCAUUGGCCAACUCGUGUCGGUGCCUCUCUUAGCACUUUCAUUAGUGACUAAGAGAGGAGGUCACUAAUUAUAUAUUUGAAUGUUAGUGACCAAUAUUGAAGGUGUACACAUGCAUUUUCAAUUUGUUGAACUUUUUAUAUCCUAACAAAAAAGUUAAUAGUUUUCUUAGAUACAAUUAAUAGUUUUUUUUUUUCUUUCUCUUAUCUAUUCCAACUACAUAAUUGUAUCAAUAGUUAGAGCAUUUUUAAUGAAGUUGUAUAAGCAGGUGUAUGUAAAAUGUACAUUUUUUAUUGUCGGAAUCACCUGUAAUAGACAGGUGUAAAUGAUUGUAAAUAUGCAUCACAGUCGUGGAGAUGCAAAAUGAGAUACACAAUUGUAAUUUUUUUUAUUUUUUUUACAUCUUUUUUAUGCGGAACCCACACGAAAAAUAAGUUUCAAGUAGUUUCGGGAAAGAAGAAAUAAUCAGUAUAUCUUUUUAUUGAAUCCGGGCAAACCAAUUAAUGAAUCAAAAGAUCCAACAAAAUCAAUCCUUCCAAGAAAACCCAACUACAUACACCAACUGUACUAAUAAUCAAAUAACAAAUUUCCAUGAAUCUGAAAUCUUUCAGCCAAACCAAUAUAUAAAACCCAAGCUUGGCAUCUCCUAAAAUUAAUUCAGGUAGCGUUUGAACAAGGCGCAAAAUGAGACCAGAAGCGAUGCUCCGACAACUACGCUGUUCACAGGCAAAGAGUAAGCCGCUCCAGCAUCCAUCGGGGACGGCGCCGGGGCGCUCUCCUGAGCCGACACCAUCGCAGCCAAGACCAGCAUCUGGACGAAGAAGAAGGCUCCGGAGAUGCUAACUUGCGCCAUUGGUGACUUGAACUCGGUAAAUGAUUUUUUCUAAAGUAAUGUAGGAGGCUUUGAGUUGAGAGUGUUUAUGCGUUGUGAGAAAAAUGGAGGAGCAGAGUGUUUCUUUAUAUACUGGAAGAUGGAGCGGCGUGUGGACCCCACAAUAUGAGAACGUUCAAAUGGAUGCUGGCAACGUCCAUUAACAGCUAGUGUGCGUGUUCACCCACUUCGACAACGCUGCUGGUGACUAGUGUGGCGUGUGAAAGUUCGUUUCGUCGUCAGUCGGCGCCGUAUAUGAUUUUCACGCGCUAAUUUUUUUUUAAUAUUGUGGUAACUUAUUUCUACUUAUGCAAGUAUUUUUUGAAUGUUACGAAUAACGGUUGUUAAAAAAAACAUGAAUGUUGACAUAAACUUCUAUAUAUGAUUCAUUUAUAUCUUAUAUUUUGUAAAUAUCAUGCCCCCAUUAUACGAAUAAACUGGAUUAUCUCUCCUCGUAUUUGUGGAGGGAUUUUCUCCCUAGUCGAUUUUGUGUUAGGUUUUUGCUUUCCUUGUGUUUUGCAAGGUUUGUCUCACCUCUAGUUGUUCUAGGGUCUUACUACUAGACUACCAACCUUUUGGGUUGGAUUUUUGUAGAUUUGUGCAGAUCUAUCUUUUUAUGGCAUUUGUUGUGUGUACUUGUAUAUUUGAGGUUGAUGAAGUGAAUCCUCAUAAGAUUUAUGUGUUAAGGAGUGAAGCUGUUUUAUUUUGUAAAUUUACUAUGAAUUGGCGCUUUAAAUUUAUGACUGUUUGGGAGACGAUGUGGCCAUGUGUUACAAUUACUAGAAAGACAAUAAUCAAAUAUUAGCCAUAAAAAAUUAUUGUUUAGCUGUUACCUACAAUAAUUAGUUUUAUAUUUAUUAUAUUUAAAUAAAAUGUCAUCAAAUUAUUAAAAUGUGAGAGAAUAAGUCACAAAUAAUAGUGCGGAGUAGACAAAAUCAUUAAUCAACCAUCAACUUGUCACCAAUACCAAUUUGGUUACUUUAAAAAAGGUGGCCUUUGCAUUUUUCUUUCUUUUUUUAUAAUGACAACUCUUAUAUAUUUAGCUUUAUUACAAUGCCCCUGGAGUAUAUACUGAAGUUCAGAUUGCACUCUAAAAUACAAAAUGUUGUGAGCAAUCAAUGUAACUUUAAAUUGUCUAUUAAUUUUAACUUAUUUUUAUGACGUGGCGUCGUAUAGAUCCACACAUUAUAGAUGUGACAUGAAUACAAAUUUGUACUUACGAACAAAUUAACAAAUUGAAAAAAGAAAGAAAACAACUUGUUUCUUUCUUUUUUUAAUUAUAAAUUUUAGUAGUUUGUUUAAUUCGCCAUAGGUGCAAAUUGUUGAUUUUUAUGAAUUUUUCUUUUAUAUCAAGAACAAUUAAUAGUUCCGGUAACAUUUGGGUAUGAUUUGUGCAACAUUGCAAUACAAAUUAGUGACAAAUUUGUUUCGGGAAAAAAAAAAUCACUUUUUAUUACAAUGUAAAGAAUCAAAUAUCCAACAAAAUCAACCCCUUAACAAAAUCCGCAUACACAUUAUCCCCAAAAACCAAUGCAUAACAAAUUUCCAAUGAAUCCAAGCUUGCCGUAUCUCAUUCUGAACAAAUUAAUUCAAGUAGUGCUUGAACAAGGCAAAAACUGAGACCAUAAGCGACGCUCCAACAGCUGCGCCGUUUACAGGCAAAGAGUAAGCCGCCCCGGCAUCCAUCUGUGCCGGUGCCGGUGCCGGCGCACUCUCCUGCGCCGAAACCGUUGCCGCCAAGACGACCAAGACCAGCAUUUGGACGAAGAAGAAGGCCCUGGACAUGCUGAUUUGUGCCAUUGCUAAGAAAGUUAUGAAGUUUUUGGUGGAGAAGCUUUGACUUGGAUGUGAGGUUUUGUUUUUCUUUGUGUUUUGGGGUUUUGAGUUGUUUUAGGGUUGGGGAGUGAGGGGUCGGGUUUAUAUAGGGGGGUCGAGGGGCGUGUGGAGCCCACAGCGACAACGUUCAAAUGGAUGGCAUUUGCCCCACACCUUUUAAUGAAAAUGUUGUCGAUAAAUUUACUCUUCUGCAAACGACCUCUAAGGAACCAAGUAAAUGAAAAAGAAAGUAAUUAUACCAUAUCCACCAACCACUCUAUAUCCAUCUUAAAAUUAUCAUCUCUCAUAUUCAAUUCUCUGAUUGUUUGCUUUUCGACAAUAGAUAAGAAAAUUGUUGUUUUGGAGUAAACUUCCCUAGUGAAAUAGGUAAGAAAAACAGUCACCUUUCAUCAUGUUUUCACAAUUUUUCAUGCACAAUAUUACUUAAUCUCAAAAUUAUGAAUUAGACGUACGAAACCUAAACGAAAUGCAUGAAUAAUCAAAUAGUGGCCUAGAUUGAUGGCACCGCCACACUAUCACCAUUAACACAUCUACCAACCACCACCACAUAUUUAUAGAUGAAAAUUAAGUUAUGUGUUUUAGUGGCAGUUCUAGAAUUUGAAAGCCGAUCGGGUAAAACUUAUAUAUAUUAAAUUCUACGGUACUAAUGAAUUUCAUUAAUAAAUCUAAAAAGAUACACAUAGUGAAGAGAGACGUAAUGAGCCUUAACCUCAAAUGCAUCUAUAUCUACAAAUGCAAAAACUAAAAUCCAAAUCAAAAGUAAAAUUAAAAGAAAAAAAGAAAAAAAAAUAUUUCACAUUUAAAAAAAAGGAGAAAACAUGGGACUACAUUAAUUUUAAAAAAAAAACAACAACAUCAUGGAGCGCUUCUUGAUUCCACAAUUGGAGAUUUCAGUUUAGCCUUCUGGAUCUCAUCUCUUGGGGUUUGUGUGAGACAAAAAAAAAUUAAUAAUCAUAAUUUUUAAUUUAAUUUGAAAAGAAGGGAAAAAAAGAGAGAGAGGAGAGAAGAGAAAAGGAAAAGAAAGAACAAAGAAAGAGAGAGAGAGGAGAGAAGAUAGAAGGAAAAAAACGAAGAAGAAAAAAGAGGAGAGAUGAAAGAAGGAAAAGAAAGAAAAAAAAAGAGAAGGAAAAUAACGAAAAGAGAGAGAGAGAGAGAGAGAGAGAGAGAGAGAGAGAGAGAGAGAGAGAGAGAAGAAGAGAAAAAAAAGGUUUGUAUAGGUUUAAUUUAAGUGGGCUGGACAUAUGUAGUGUAGGUAAUAUUUUUUUAAUAAACAUUUGGGUUGGGCAUGAGCCCAGCCUGCCAUAGGCUAGAACGCCCCUGAUGUGUUUAAUCCUAUUUUCUUUUAAGAUUAGUCAAACAAGAAACUUCACAAAUUUUGCAACAUUAACUCUUAUUUUCACAAAGCAAUCUUAGAUUUCCUCAUCCAAACGCAGUGUAAUGUUGUGCAUAAUGUUUUCCUUACUUUCUAUUAGUUCUUUAAUGUUUUUUGGGAUUCAUUUGUGCUUAUUUGAGUGUGUUUAGGUAUUGUUUAGUAUAUUUUAGGGUUUAUAGGUUUAAGAUUCAAAAUCUUAAACCUAUUUGUUUUAGUUGUAUGGGCUAUAUAGGCCAUGCCCUUUUUUUUUAGUUGUCAAUACCCAUGUAGUCUCUCUCUCCCUAGCCCAUGCAUUUUUUUUUUUAAUUUUCAAAUCCAUGUUCUCUCUUUUUCUUAUUUUCUUCAUUUCUCUCUCUCUCUCUCUCUCUCUCUCUCUCUCUUCUUUUCCUCCUUUCUCUCUUCUUCUUCCUAUUUCUUUUUUUUCCCCCUUUCUCUUGUUUUUUUUUCUUUCAUUUCUCCAUUUUUUAAUGGUCUGGAUCUACUACGAAUUGAGCUUUUUCCCACAGUUUCUUCUUCCUUUUUUUUUUAUUUUUUUUUGUUGCUUUUCUCUUGUUUUUUUUUUCCUUUGUUUCUCUUUUUCUUCUUAUGCGUUUCGCUUUUUUCUCUCACACGUGUUAUAAAGUCCAUUUUGGUGCGAUAUAGCCCUCAUUGUUGAAAUUUCCUACAUAUGUAAGGUAAAUUUAGCCCAUAGAGUUUUGAAAUCCUGAAUUCGUCCCUACUUUAAUUCAAAUUAUUUUUAUGUUGUGCAAAUCUCAAGAAUAAUAUGAAGUGAGUUUAAGUCGAUAGUAUUCUAGAAAAAAUUUGUUUUAAAUUCUUUUUGCACAAAGGAAGAGCGACAAAUUAGCCUUAAAGAAGCAAAUUCAUUCGUGCUUUGGCUCAAAAUUUUCAUUUUCAUCUUAGUUAUUGCCUUCAUAUAUCUUCAUAAUUUCCAACACAGUAUGAUCGCUCAAUGUUUAUAACGAUCAAUCUACACUGGCCAAGGACCUAUUCUUUCAAAAGAAAUAUGGUGCACAUUUUCCAAUAAAUUAAAAGGUGCAUGUCCUUAUUAGUGACAAGCACUUUAAUCUUCAAGUUUCUUUAACCUUUGGAUGUAAGUUAGGUAAAUUUCUUGUUCUCUUGCCAGACAUGUUAUAAUAUCCAGAGAUGUUCGUUUAAACGCAAAUAUAAUCAUUAAUUUAUUUUAUACUAACAAACAAACAACAAAAUAUAUAAAUUUGUCAUGUGUAAUCAAGCCAUAGAUAACUUGUAGAACUUUACAAUAUUAUUCAAAUUAGGUGAUGGUUAAUACCAAUUAACCAUCAAAUACAGAGAAAGUAGGAUAUCGCGAUGGUGUUCAUAUGCCUCAAAAUUCAAAAACAGUAUAUCUUUUUUCCGGAUAUUAAAGCAUAACACUCACCUUAUCAUUAUCAUAUAGUUUACAUUAAAAAAAAAAACAUCCCAAAACACACAUAAUAAGGAAAAUGUGUCAAAUCCAACAAUGUCCAUGUAUCACAACAGCUCCGCUGCACAUCCAAAACUCAGAACCCCACAUCCAUCCAUCCAUUCUAGCAAAAAGCAAAAGCAGCUGUAAGAGAGACCAACAUAGAAGAACAGAUCAACGCCACGGAAACCGGAGAAGCAAACCCGGCUCCGGUCACCGGUAACGGGGCAGGUGGUGUGGCGGUAUUCUGUGCCAUAGUUUUGGUCACAUAAAAUAAUGCAGCAACCAUGACCAUAAGAAUUCUAGCUGAAGAUGUGCCAAACCGUGCCAUUUCUCUGUAAAAAAAAUAGGCACAGAAACUGAAAGAUUUAGACAAAGGUAAAGAAAGGGAAUGAGGAAUUGAUUAAUUGAGUUUGUGUUUUUGUUGAGAGCAAUGUGGUGCAUGAAUUUAUAGGAGACUGGUUUGUAUGUGACCAAUUUCUUGGCCUGCCUUUUUGGACACGGCUAAUGGGACCAAUUAAAGCAAUGGCUGGCUGGCUUCACCACAACAUGGACAUGGGAACUACAGACAUUUCUUGAUGAAUGAUAAGAAAGUUGGUAUGCAAUCACCUUCAUGCACUCAAUCCUUUUUGCCGUGCCUUAAAUUAAUUUUAGUAGAGACUUGUGAGUGCACACACACAAGUUUAUUUUAUAUAUUAUCAAAUCAAAUCCCCUAUGAAUUUCAAAGAAAAUGGUACCAUGUAUUAAUACAAGUUUAGUGUUUAGUUGGGUCAGUCUUAAAUCAUUUUGUCCAUUUUUUUUUCUUUCAAACAAUCAUUUUAUACACUUGCAAUUAUUAGAAUUAGUUAACGCAAGCAGCAAUAAACUUGUAGCUCAAGUGAUUAGUUACCAUUUGCACUCGAGGUCCUGUGUUUAAAUACCCCUCCCUCGAUAUUGAUUGUAUUAUAAAAAUAAAAAUAAAAGUUAACAUAUAGCAUAUACUAUGCAAUGUUUUGCCAUCUGUUGGUAAAGUGAUGCUAUCAUAAAGAGCUGUGGUGAUUCGUGGUGUACAUCUAAAAAAGGUUAAGCUGUCCUUGUAAAAGAGCAAACUUGUGCAGAGAGAUAAUGAACCUAAAAAUAAUUUCAACCAGAUGAGACUUGGAAAAUAGAAAACUUGAAAUUAACUAAAGCAUGAUUUAUGAUUUGGGAUACGAUUAGUGAUUUUUCACUUUGCAAAUGUUACAUUAUUAAAAGUGAAAGAUAUAUGGGCUCAAGUGAAUGAGCAGCCGCUUAAGGGGAAGCUCUUGGGCUUGCAUUGCUAGGCCUAGACUUGUUUGUGGGUAGUUUUUGUUCAAAUUAAAACUAGGAUUCUGUGUUUAUAAAAUGCACCCUACUCUUUUGAACACCUUAAAACUAAGAAUUUGUACCUGGGAUGAUUUGGUAUUAUAAAAUGCUUUCUUUUUUUUUUUUAUUGAUAUGAGAUUUGAUAUAUUUGGACAUGAUAAGAUAACGAGUCGAAAAUAUGCUUGAAAUAAUUUCAUAUUAUAUGAAACUAAUGCACGCUAUAUAUUGAAACACGACAGGUUGCCACGUCUAUGGACACACCCAUUCUAAGAAUUCACAGUAUCCCAAAGCAAACCUUAAAAUUUUGUCCCGAAAAAACUAUUUGCCGAAAAGAAUUUUAAUUUUAUUAAUCUCAAAACUUGGAAAAAAGAAAAGUAAAACCUAACAAAAUUGAAGAAAUACAGACAUGAAUAAGAAUAUUUGUAUUCUCUCUUACAAUGAUGAUUUUGUGUUUUUUCCCCUUGAAAACACUAGGCUAUUGAGAUCUAAUCAAGAGAAGAUUGAGAAUCAAAAAGUAAAAAACACCAUUCAAAUUCCUAAUGUCAUGCAAAGCCAAACACGCAAGUACGUAGCUAGCUAUUCGUCAACUACAACACUUACUUGACCACAAGUGUUUCAUAUUCUAAUAAUAACCAAAAUCCUCCCUAUAAAAUUGUUCAUAAUUGAUUUGAUCAGUACUACUACUAAUCACCCUUAAUCAGUUGCUUGAACCAAAGCAAAACUAGCAAAGUGUUCUCAUUAUUUUCAUCUCAAAGCCAAUCAACUCAAAGCUCACAUUCAUCAAACACCAACCAUGGACAUGAAGAUCAAGAUCUCCCUUGCCAUCCUUCUAUUUGCUGCCUUGAUGAGUGUGGUCUUGGCUGAUAAUAAGGAAGCUCAUCCCCCGAAGCACUCAGGCGGCGCACAUGCCCCAAAGCACUCAGGCGGUGGCGCGCAUGCCCCGAAGGGCGCAGCUUCUGCCCCAGAGGGCACAGCUUCAGUCUCAGCUGAAGCUCCUGCCGCGGCCAAGGACUCCGCUUCGGCGCCGCAAGCAUCAAGCAGUACUACCCCCACUACAUUGUCCCUUGUUGGCUCUUUGGCUGGUGCCUUCCUUUCAUUUUUCUUUGUCUAUUACUUGCAGUACUAAUUAAGCUCAGAGAAUAGGAGAUUGUUUUUAGCUAUAUAUGAAGGAGAAUGAGGUAAUGACGAGAUUUUUAUGUACUUGGAAGAACAUGAUGGUCUAUAUCUUUGUUUUAGAUAUAUUCACCAUUAGAUAAUCAUGGAGUGAAGUUUGCACGACAAUCACCUUUUCAUUUUAGUUACAUUAAGCAAUUUACACUUUAUUUUCUUCAAAUGUUCUUUCCAUUUCAGAAUUAUUUUAUGGCUAAAUGUCACUUUUGGUCCCUGUAGUUUGGCACUUCAAUCACUUUUGACCAUAUAGUUUCAAUUUCGUCAAUUUUGACCCUGUAGUUUCGUAUAGUAUUCCUGUCAAUUUCUUUGACGGUGCAAGGGGCAGUUUCGUCAACCCAAAAUCCUUGAGCAUAAAAGCUCAUUUGAAACUCCCUUCAUUUCAUAUUAGGGCUUCAAAUCGGUCAUUUGGGUUUAUGGUUCUUUAAAAAUUGGGAUUAGUGGUAAAAUUUCGAGCCCUAAUAUGAAAUGAGGAGAAUUUCAUACAAGCUUUUACGCUAAAGGGUUUUGGGUUGACGAAAUUACCCCUUGCAUCGUUAAAAAAAUUGAUAAGAAUACUAACAUGUCCUUGAAUUGCUACAAAUAUGAAACUACAAUGGCAAAAUUGACGGAACUGAAACUACAAGGUCAAAAGUGGUUGAAGUGCUAAACUACAGGGAUCAAAAGUGAUUUUUGGCCUUAUUUUAUUAUAUUGUAUAUAUGUUGAAAGAUUGUACAAAUUAAUUUAAUGUUUAACGAAUUUAUAUGGGACCUUUGCAUCGAUGGGUUUCAAAAUUAAGUUUGAUCAAGGUUGAUCAUUAAGUAAACUUGAUACUAUCGCAAGUGAUAUUCAAUUUUGACAGUGGAUGAAAUAAUACGUGUAUCUACUUGGUGAUUCUUCAUCAUCUUGAUGAAUAGUAUGGGAAGUCUACUUGAUUGUUUUAUUUUUUUGCCAAAUGUUUGGCUGGUUUUUCUCUAGUAUGAAGGUCUCCUCUUUUGAAGAAGGAUCGAGUAUCUCUUAAUAUGAAGGAUUCAACACUGUUAGCUUCUAUUUAGCUAAUGUUUUUAGCUUUUUUUGACAAAUUUGUAAUCUUAUAUGUAAUCAAUUAAGCUCAAGGAAUUUAGGGUAGUUUAAGUUUGCAUUUCAAGAUGAUUACAGAAAUUGAUAUCAAUCUUGUCAUGGCUCAAAUGGAAUCAAGAUUCUUGAAGGUAAAAAUCAUACAUUAAUGCAUUGCAUGCGUUAUAGUGUUCUUAUGUAUGACUAGUCAAAUAUGCAUGUACAUUCAUCUUUAGUUGUCAUGUAUAUAAUUUCUCUUAGCUCAUCUUUAGAAAUUAGGAAUUGGGUAUUUGCCAGAAAGUUAACAUUGAAGAGCUUUCGAGGCUACAAAACAAAGAUAAUUUGUGCAUUCAUUUAUAAUGGGCAUCCUUAGGAAAAUUAGCAUCUAUAUCACAAUACUUUGUCUAGAUGACUAUAUAGGCCAAAUAUUUCCAGCACAAUAUUUUUAAUCAAGGCAUGUGAUUUUGCUUAUGAUAAGUCCAAUAAUUGGCUCCCAAGUGUCCUUUUGACCUACCAAAAAUGCUGAGGCUGGUCUGGACUCACCAAUUCUCUCAUUUUAUAUUUUGCAUAUGGGUUUUGAGAGAGAGAGAGAGAGAGAGAGAGUGUGUGUGUGUGUGUGUGUGAUUGUGCAUAAAUUAGGUUUUUCCUUUUGGAAGAAAAGUUCAUGGGUCCUUUUGGGGCUUUCAUUGUGUUGUGUUAGCUUUUGCUACUUGUUUAAUUUUUGGCUUCCUUAAACAACAUUAUAUUUGCUAUUGUAAAAUCACCAUGCUCAAGCUUAAUUAGUCCAGAACAGAUUAGGAUUGAAGAGGUCUACUAUGACUAUGACAAAUUAUGACUCAAUGCAAAUAAAGAGAAAAAAUAAAAAUCAUGCAUCGCAUAUUUCAGCUUAGUUGAGUAAAUGUGAUGAUUAGUCAUCCAUUUACUACCAGCUCAUUUAAAAUCUCGCGUGAGAUUCUCACGUGUUUCAUGAUUAGCCAAUUGUGGUCUUCCUAUCAUAACGAUUUCGUAUGUCUUAUUAUUAUGCCAAUCAUUAGUCGACAUCUGAUUUCCUUUUCUCACCUAGUUUUUGGGGAUAAAAUAUAUUUUUGGCUCCAGUAGCCGUCACAGACUCAGUGUAAAAUUGUGUGCUUCAUCGUUCUUCCUUUCUCCGAGGUCUGCAUAUUUUCGAAAAAAAUGAGGUUUUUGAAAAUCUAAUUUGGUUAUCUUAUAUCUACAUCUAGUCUGUAGGUUAUAUCAUAUCAUUCUAGUUAGAUCAGAUUCCUUGUUAGUUUCUUCAAGAGGAUUGUUUCUUGAAGAAAUCAACAAUUUCUUUUUGAAUUUAUAUCGGAUUCAUUCUCCGAGGUCUUCUUACAGCUAGAGCUGGCAAACAGGUCGUUUUUAUGGGUUACGGGUCGUGUUCGGGUCAACUCAUUUUCUUAACGGGUUGACACGAACAUGACCCGUUAAACUAACGAGUCAUAAAUACUAGACCCAAACACGACCCGCACAAAUUCGCGAAUAACACGACACGACCCGUUAUGGCUAAUGGGUCGUUUUUCACCCGUUUUCACCGAUUUAAAAAAUAAACAAUAUUUUUCAAAAAAUCAUUAAAUGAAAACACCUCAAAUUAAUAAAACAAAGAAAAUAGGAAAGUAGAAAAUGCUGAAGUUGGGAUUUUGGCUCAGCAUGUUUAUGGGUUUAAGCCAAUUCCUAGAGGAUCAUCAAAUUCUGUAGAGAUUGAAACAGAUAGAGAAAAUGCUGCAUCACUUGCCAGAGCUGGAAACAGAUUGUUCCAGAUUUUAGGAGAAGAAUACUCCGAAGUUCAUGUUUUAAAAUCAAAAGUGCUGAAUGGAAUCAGAAAAGCAAAAUUGACAUAGAAUAUGGAUUGGAGGAGAGCAUUGACUUGGAUGAUAAUGACAAGAAGUCCCUGCUUUCCCGUCAGAAAGCAAUCCUUCCAACUCACUUUGGUAUUAAUAUAAUGCAUAGAUAACAAUUAAAACUCUCAAAUGACUUGAGAUUUUCAUACCUUUUCGUUGGAGAAGAAGAAGAAAGGUAGUUGAUGCUUGAUAGUUUGGUUUGGAUCUAGAGAGAAAGAGAGAGGACAGAGUGAGUGGCCGCGUGCUCGGACUCGGACAGGAGGGCUCCAAUUCAAGGUAGGUUAAUUUUAGAAUUAAAAUUACAAAAAUGCCCUUACUCUUAACGGGUUAACGAGUGAUUCGCGAAUAAUACUGAUCCAACUCGUUAGCUUAACGGGUGACUAACAGGUCCACCUGUUUUCAACCCAACCCAUUAAGCUCAAUCUAAAUGUUGUUAUUUUCGUGCGAAUUCGUGUUGUGUUAACGGGUCGUGUUCGAUAUUGCCGGCUCUACUUACAACACUUGUUCUUUCAAUUUCAGUUGUAUUUCAAGGUUGCUGGUUUACAAACACAGGGUUUUUGCUCUGGGUUCCUAGGUUUGUUCCAAAGGGUUGUGUUGUCCAUUAUGUUUUUCAAGAUCGCUGGUUUACCAACAUGGGGUUUUUGCAAUUGUACACUUUUAUCGUACCUAUUAUGCAAAUGAAAUGUACUUGUUAGCUUUUAGUAAGUGGUAUAAAUAGUUGUUAUAUAUAUACUGUUCAUACCUUACAACUAAGUUGAUUUCUAUGACAUUGUAUUAACAAUGUGCUUCUAUGACAUAGUAUUAACAAAUUUUCAGUAACAAAACAUACUCUAUAUAUAGCUGUGCACUUGAAGUUUAUGAUAUGCAGAAUGUGAUUUUUACUAGAAAGAUAGUUCUAUAACAUAGUAUUAACAGUGUACUUUUAUGUUUAUUUUUUUGUAGAGGUAUUUCUUUUUGCCUUUGCGAUUGUUUCUGGUGAAACAAUGGACAAUUGGAGGUGAUUUUUGAAAAGGAUAUCGGAUGUCUUGCUAGUUUUUUUUUGAGUUUUUUUAAUGAUGGUAUGAACAAUGUUUUUCUAUGAAAUGAUAUUAACAUUGUACUUCUAUGACAUAAUAUUAACAAUGUAUUUCUAUGACUUGGAAUUAAUAAUGUACUUCUAUGACAUGGUAUUAACAAUGUACUUCGAGCUCGUUGAGCUUUUUUUGUGUGUCAAAUAUGGGCUGGGCUUACUGGGCUUUUUUUUUUUUUUUUUUUUUUUGGGUUGAGUUUUUUGUAUUGGGCUUGUUUUAAGUUAAUCAAUGGCAAAGAUGUAAUUUAUAGGAACUUCAACACUCAUUUUUUAGGUAGUAAAUGGUUUUUGGGUAUGUUUCUAAAGUGUAUUCCAUAUAGGUUUUUUUUAUAUUUUAAAAUAAUAAUAAUUUCAGGUCCUAUUUUAGAUAUAUUACUAAAUCUCCCUAAAAAAUAAUGUACCUACUUUUAAAAUAAUUUACUGAUACAAUCUAAUUAAAUUAGCAUACCUAUUUUUUUAAAAUAACAUAUAGGUAAAUUAGUAUGAUAUUUUUGAACUAGUAUACCUACAAAAUAUAAGUAAAAUAGUACGUGAAUUUUGUACUUAGUAUAGCUGCAAAAUAUAGGUAAGUAUACCUACAAAUUACUAUAGAUACAUUAGUGGGAUCUUUUGUACGCAGUAAGUGUAUUCUGAUCUUAUUUCUGUAGGUGUAUUGCUAUUGCUUGUAUAUGUAAUUAAUGCUUACGUCUUUUACAAAUUUCAUGGUUGGCAUUAGUAUUGAUUAGGGGUGGCAUUUUAGACCCAAAAACUAAAAGACCGCAAAAACCAACCGACAUUUAACCGUAAUCGCAGGAAAUCGAAUCACAUUUGCGGUACGAAGAAGUUAACCGCAUUUGCGGUUGCAGUUGUGGUAUUUGAUUUUCACAACUUGCAGUUACCGCAAACCGCGACUAUAGUUUUUAAAAAAUAAAAAUUGCAUUUUAAUGUUUAAUCGUAGCCGUUGUAUAACAAGACCACUUAUCUUGUAAGUAAUUAGUUUAUUUAUGUUUUUUCUUAUAAUAAAAUGUACUAAACUUAUGUUGUUUUAUUUGUAGAUAGCAUUGAUGCUCAAACAACACAAUGGGGUCCUUCAAAUCCACUCACCACCACCAACACUUGAGUUUGUAACAUUGGGGCAUUGCAUUUUCCUUUUAGUUUGUAACUUUAAUUAACUUUGAAUUGGAUUUUUCCUUUGGGUUGUAAAUUUAAUUCAUUUUGCAUUGCAUUUUCCUUUUGGUUUGUAACUUUAAAGGAUUUGGAAUUGGAAUGCUUGAGAAGUUUAACUUUAAUUGGAAUGCUUGGAAUUGUAACUUUAAUUUUCUUUAGGUUGUGAAUGCUUGAGAAGUUGAGGAGGUUGUGAAUUUAUAUAUGCUUGAGAAGUUGAGGUUAUGAAUUUAUAUUUUUGGGUUAAAGUAUGCUUGAACUCAAAAGGCUUCAAAAAAAAGCAUCAAAACUAGGCCUAAAAUGUGGAAGAUUGGAUUUUUAUGACACCAAAAAAACUUGCGGUUUUAAAUCGCUACUUCACGGUAACCGACGAUAAACCGCAAAAAAAGGUCGGUUUGCGGUUUCAAAAAUCAUCAUACCGCAAAUAGUUGGUCGGUUUGUGGUUUGAACAAAAAUUCGCAGUUAUCGAACCGCAACCACCCCUAGUAUUGAUUAAGUCCAUUACUUUUUUUUUUUUUUUUUUUGCAAUUGCUAAUAAUUUACAUUCAUUACUAAUUAAGAUGGUAAAAAUUUAGGUUUUAAUACCAUAUAUAGUUGGAUGGCAUCAAUUGUAAAAUAGUUAAAAAUAAUAGGAUAGCCUAUUUUAAAUUUGGGUUUUGGUUGGAGAUUAUAAAAUGGGUGGGUUAUUGUUUAGAAUAUAUGAGUUAUACGGGCUUUUCACCUAACAUCUCUUUAAAUUAUAAGACUAUUUGGUUAUUAAUUUUGUUUAAAACUUUUAGUCUUUUAAAAUUACACCUCUAUUGAAAAAUUCUUGAAUUUGUCAGUGCCUACGGCAGCAGCUCCGAUUCCAGGCAAGCGCUGCCUUUGCUACCUUUCCCACUGUGGGGUCUUUUGGUGGCUCCCUUUUGUCUUCCUUUGCCUAUUGCUUGCAAUACUAAGCUCUUUAUUACGUUGUACCGGGAAAUGUGAUUAUGGAAAUGAAGUAUAUGUGUACCUAGAAAGAAAAAUCAUGGACUGUAUCUUUAUUUUGGAUUCAAUCACACCAAUCACCCUUGACGGUAUCUUUAUUUUGCUUUUCAUAAUAUUUCUUGCUUUUACUCUUUAUUAAUAGAUUCAGCUGGCUGGUGGAAUUUAGACUUACUUUCUGCAGUUUUUUUUGGAAAGAAGAGGUUGUUGCUAUUCUGUCAAUUCCUUUGAUACCAAACUGAUCAGAUAAGCUAAUCUGGCAUUAUACUGUGACUGGGAAGUAUAGUGUUAAAAGUGGUUAUUGGUUAUCUCAAAGUAUAAUCUCGAGACAACAGGGAGAUGUAAGUAGGUCAGCUAAUUCAGUGAAUUUGUUAUGGUCGUCCAUCUGGUUAUUGCGAGUUCCUAAUAAAUUGAAUGUAUUUUUAUGAAGAGCGGUACAUGAUAUUAUUUCAUAUAAGGUGAACCUUUUUAAGCAUCAAAUUAUUCAUGAUUCAUUAUGUUUUAGAUGCUCUCAACAGUCUGAAACUAUAGUACAUGCUCUCUAGUUUUGUCGAUUGUCAAGGGAGGUUCGGCAGCAUUCACCUAUUCAUGACUUGACAGUUCCCCUGCAGGUUGGUACUUUUAAGGAGUUAUAUCGAUAUGUUUCCUCGGUUUUGACUAAUGACGAGCUAGUCUUCUUUGUUUUUUUGAGUUGGGGAUGUAAUGAUCUUUUACAUUCUGGUCAAAUUACUUCAUAUCUUAAUUUGUUGGCUCGUACCCGAAAGCUUGUUUUGAAAUAUCAACGGGCUAUUAUUUUAAUGUCUUCUCAUGUUCCGGCAACUAAUAUUGUGCGGUAUUGGUCUCCACCUAAUGAUAAUUUUGUGAAGAUAAAUGUUGAUGGUGCUGUCAAUUUGCUUAUUGGUUUUAGAGGUUUGGGGGUUUUCAUACGAGAUAGUAUGGGUGAUUUAAUGCUAGCCGCCUAUAAAGGUCUUCAUGGCAUGUUUUCUCCUAAAGCUACUGAACUUUACGCAGCAAUUAUGAGAUUACUGAUUGCAGGUCAAAUGGGACAUCGUUCUGUCAUUUUGGAAAUGGAUGCCAAAGAGAUUAUUAUGAAUCUUCAAACUUAUGAGCAAAGUUGGUCGGCGGAGGGUGCUUUAGUGUAUGAAGUCCGGAGCUUUUUUAAUAGUUUUGAUCAUAUUUCUUGUUACUUUGCUCCUCGGGACUUGGAAGUGUAACCAAGUUGCUCAUCUAUUGGCUAAGCAGGCGCUCCUGUCUCAGGACUUUCAAGUGUGGUUAGAGGAUGGUCCUUUAUGAAUUUAUAAUGUUUUGGCCAAUGACAAAUUAUUUACUUAAUUUAAUUUUAUACUAGAUGUGAUAUAGUGGUACUCUUUUUCCUUGACCGGAUUUUUCUCCAUUUGGGGGUUUUUAAAGGCAAGGUUUUAAUGAGGUCACACUUGUUACAUUACUAAAGUCCAGUGUUAUUUUUGUACUCUAACAUUGUUGUUUCAAUGAAAUUAUCUCACUUUGAUAAAUAUAAAAAUUAAAAUUAAAAUUAAAAUCCUAAAUGUGCAAAGUCCUAAAGUGACCCUAUUUCGAAACCUUUCAGUUUCAUGGUGAGGAUCAAAGUGUUGUCCUAAACUGACCCUAAUACAAGUAUCAAAUAUCGAGAACUUAAAAUGUAAUACAAAAAGAAAAGAACAACAUUGCUUUCGACCAAUUCCAAAAUAGUCAUCUUGCACUCCUUAACGGAAAAAAGAUAUCAGAGAAAGAUGAGUGAAUGAUGACUAUUUUGGAAUACUAAUAACAAUAAAUCCUUUAAUAUUUUCUAAGUCUUAAAAUAAAUCUCAUCGUAACCCAAUAUUAUCCAAAUAUGAUGAUUGUUUGAUAUGGUUCGAUACAAGUUCAAUUCAAUAAUUUGAAUAGGAUUAGAAUACGAUAAUCUGCUUAUAAUGGGAUUCAAAUUUGGAUAUAUAGGCUUAUUUGUUGAUAGUUGAGUCAUGACCAGUUUUGUGUUUCCCAAAUAUCAAGGAAUGCUUAGUUGCGUCAUAAAUCUUUAUCCCCUUCUCUCUCUCUCUCUCUCCCUCCCUCCUUCUUCUUCUUCUUUUUUUAUGAAUCCAUACAGUUGUUUAUGCUUGUGUCCAUAUACUAGCCUAAGUGUUACGAAACCAUACAACUGUUUCUACUUGUAUCCAUAUAGCAGCAGCAUGGUAGAUCUAACCAACCCCAUAAAACUAGAGAAAUUGUAAAAACGUUUGGCCCAAAAAGAAGUAAGAAUGUGUAAAAACGAGAUUGAUUUGGAUACGUUUCAUACCACACGAAUAAAAAAAAUAAAAAACAAGUGUUAACAAAAUUCCUGAUGACAUGCAAAACCAGACACGUAAAGACCUAUUCCUAAGUAAUAGCACAACUGAAGACAAGUGUUUCAUUCUAAAAAUAACCAAAGUGCUCCCUAUAAACCUCUCCAGUAUUUCCUCACUAUUCCUCACACUUACAACAACUAGAUCAAAGCAGAGCUGUAAACAAACAACUUCUUCCAUAUUCGUCUCCAGGAACUCUAGAUUUAUUUUCACUUCAAAGUUCACAGUCAACAAUUAUCAAUAUUCAACAUGGACAUGAAGAAGAUCUCAAUUGCCAUCAUCUUCAUUGCUGCCUUGAUGGGUGUUGUCUUGGCAGCUGAGAAGAAGGAAUCCCCCAAGGCCGCUGCCCCCAAGGCUGCUACCCCUGCCCCGGCAAGCGGCGCCACCGCCACCACCUUUUCGGUUGUUGGGUCUUUGGUUGGUGCCUUAAUUUUUGCUUUCUUUGGCUAUUACCUUCAGUAAUGGUUCAGAUCAGAGAAUAAGUCAUUCUUGUAAGGGAAAUUAGGAAAAUGAGAUUCAUGAGAUCGUGAUGGAUUAUUUACAAGAGAAGAAAGGAUCACGUUUAUUUCAUGUAUUUUGACUAGCUAUGCUAGUUUCGUUAAUUGAAUUGCCUCUAUUCUUUUAAUUGAAUUGCCAAUCUUAUUGAAAACAAAAGUGAUUAUUGUCCAAAAAGAAAUUCUAAUUUGGGUCAAGUGGUAUCAAAGCAUCAGGUGAUUUAUGGUCUUAACUCGUGGCCCAAAAACUUGUAGGUCCUUGGCCUUUGGAUACAUUUCAAUUGAAAAUAAAAAUAAAAAUUGAGGAUCAAGUCGUGAGAUCCUAAGGGCUCUAUCUUAUGGGAGUAUUUUUGCUCAUUUCUUUAACUAAAUAUGUACUUUCACCAUUUUUUUUAAAAAAUUGACAUAUGUCCAUGAGUUUAACUAUAAUUAACUCUUUAUUUUUUAUUUAUUUGAUGAUAUUAUUAUGAUGAGAGAGAAACAAUGCUUUAAUAAGAUUUUUCUUAAUUUACCCUUAUUCUAUUAAUUAACUCAACAAACUUUCCACUUUUCUUGAUUAAUUUAAUUUUUAAAAAAAAUCAAAACAAUGGAAACUAAAAAGGCAGAGCAUAAGUUCUUAUUCCCAAAAAAAAAAAAAAAAGAAGAGAAACACAGAAAUCCCUUCUUUCUUUUUUUAUGAAGGAAAGUUCAUGAGUUUAUACAUGCUCACCAGGAGCGGCCCUGGGGUGGUGCAAGUGGCGCCACCGCACAGGGCCCCCGAUUCUUAAGGGCCCCAAAAAAAAAUUCUUUAUAUUAUACAGUCCUGAUCUCUUGGACCCCUGUAGUCCAAGAGAUUUAUGGUCACCCACCGUUGGAUGUAAAUUCAACGGUUGACUUGAAUCGGGUAAUAAUCAUUUAUGUCAUAUUGCAUUUAUAUAUAUCAUUUUGAACCAUUGGAUUAAUAUCCAACGGUGGGUGACCACAAUCUCUUGGACUCCUGUGGUCCAAGAGAUUGGGACUGUUAUAUUAUAUAUAUAUUAAUAUUAUAUGAAUCGUAUGGAUAUUUACACAACAGCAUGUUUAGGGGAGUUGGAUGGAGCGCAUCUCUCUUUGGCAAAAGGGCCCGAGUUCGAUGCUCCUUGAGGUCGUUCCCAAACAUUCUUAAAAAUAAAAUAAAAAAGGUUUUCUCCUUCAAGAAAAGUACUUUCUUCAUUCAAAACACCAUGAAAAAAGCUUCAUGACUUCUUCUUUCUCUUAAACUCUGAUUUUCUGGUAAGUAAUCAUCAUUGUUCAUCAAUUUCUCUUUGGUUCUUUUUUCAAUCAUUUGACAAUUUUUGUUAUUCUUUCAAUUUCAGGAAUUUGAAUACCAAAAAAAGAAAACCCUAAUUCCUGAAUUCAUAAAGACCACUCAAAAUCAAAUAGUCAUAUUCAAAUCUCAAUUCAAAUUCAGGUAUGUAUCUAAAUUUCAAUCUAUUCUAUAUAUUACAUGACUUAUUUUAUUAAAUUAUUAUCAUGUUGAUGAUUGGUUGUAUAAGAAUAUAAUUUGUAGAAAUAUUUAUCUAUUUCUUGCUGGGGUUUUCUUCCAGUUAUAGGGUUUUAGAAUUUUUCUUUAUAAUCUAAACAUUGCUCACUAGAAGUUUUUCAUUUUUUUUCUUUUCUUUGUUUGUUCAAUCAGUUUUGUUUUUUUCGUUCAGUGAUCAAAAUAUUCUCUCUCAUUAUAAUGUCAUCAAACAAAUAAAAAAUACUAAAAACUUUCUGCAGCGUCUCUCCUCUCUUCUUCUUCAACGUUUCUCUUUUUUUUUUUUUUUUCCUUCUAAUUUUUCUUUUCAGUGUCUUCUAAUUACGCCCAAUAACUAAUUCUACCCCUUUAAUCAUAUAAUCUUUCCUUUUUCAUAUACUGAUUCUGAUAUGGGAUGAAAAGAAACUGUGAGGUGCUGUUUACAUACUGAGAGACUUGGUUUCCUUCCCCUUAUUGAACAAAAAACAAGAAGAUUUUGCAGAAAAGGGAGAUGAUUCUUGUGGAGUCGUGAAAAGAAAUUUUUUUUUUUUUAAAAAAAAGGGGAAGUUGCCUCUUCCAAAAUCUUUCCUUUCCAACACAUGAAUGAUCAAGAAAUUCCCAAUCAAUGGUUGUACGCUUUUUGAAAUCAACCCUUGUUUUCGCCUUGGGAUGAUUUCAGACCACCUUGUUUUUGCUCUGUAUCCCUGACAUAGCCAUGGUCUUUUGAACUGGGCUUUUGAACGCGAAAAAAGAAGACAUUGAAUUGCCUUCAAUUGUUUGUGGCCCCCUCACAAUAAGAAAGGAUGCGUUUCUCUUUUCUUUUUUUUAAUGAAAUAGGAAUUAAAAAGAAUAAGUGAUUUUGGGGCCACCAAUAUAUUAAUAAAAAAAAUAAAAACAGUCAAUCAAAUAAAAUUUCAAAAAAUCUCCUUUAUCAAAUAGGAAAUAGAAAUUUACCCAAAUAAAAAAGGAUUGAUAUUUUAAUUUUUAUUCCUAUAUAAAGCAACAUAAAUUUAGUUUGAAGCAGUCGCACACAUCAGAAGAAAAUAAUUGCAUUUGGUUGUUUGCUCUCCAAGCUCCUGCUUCAAAAUUUUUAAUUCCAGGUUAGAUAACUUUACAUAGUCAUAGUUUUUUUCCUUUGUUUAUUUAUUUUUUAUGAGAAUAUAUUUGUAUAUGUUUAUAUGAGUGAAAUUUUUUUGCAUAGAAUAUGAGAAUAUAGUUAUAUGUUUCGUAUCUUAUAUGUUCUAUGCAUAGAAUAUGAAUUUUUUGGGUGGUAUAAUUUAUGAAUCAUAUCCUUAAUAAAAUUUGUAAUUGAUUUGUAGAUGAAGAAACAACUAAGAAUUGAUGGAUUUUUCAUAAAAAAACAUACUGAAAUAUCUGAAGUUAUCUCAUCUAUACCUUAUUCUAAUAUCGAGACAGUAGCAUUUGAAAAUUGUUUUGAUUAUGUACAUUGAAAGGGAAAUUGCAGAAAAUUUUGAAAUCGAAAAAAUUAAAAUCAAAUAAACACAAGAAUCAAAUAAUAAAAUAACCAAAAACAAACAAACCCAGAUCACCUACCUCCCAAGCCCCCCCUCAUCCCAGCCACCACACCGUACCUCCCAACCUCCUCCGCCCCAUGCCCAGCCACAAACCCAGCCUCAUUGUAACUCUGUCUCUCAGCUCCCUGGCAUAGACGACGGCGAAUACAAACAAAAUUGAAACUUGUCAACUGUACGAUUCUUACAUGGUGGAAAAGCGAGGUCGGAGAGGGAGAGAGGGUGAGGGGGUAGGCGAAGCCACUUGGGGUUGCUGUGGGGAUGAUGGUUGGGUUUGUCGUCGUCGGAGAGUGGGUAUGGUGGUCCGGUUGCGUGGGUUAUGCUUUUCUCUAAUCCUAGCACCCAUUAAAAACACUAGCCUCGAAUUUAAGUCCAAAUGGUGUGAUUAAAACAAUGUAGCAAUUUUGUGUUUCAUAUUUUGCCUUUAAAUAACAAGGAAAAAAAAUAGUAAGAAGAAAGAAAAGUUAUGAUAAUAAAAGAUGACAGGUAAUGACUCUUUGUUUACACCGUUAAGGCCCUCUGGGCANNNNNNNNNNNNNNNNNNNNNNNNNNNNNNNNNNNNNNNNNNNNNNNNNNNNNNNNNNNNNNNNNNNNNNNNNNNNNNNNNNNNNNNNNNNNNNNNNNNNUACCCGUCGGUCCGGCCAUAGCGCAAAAAAUGAUGCUCUACCUUUAGACUUACGGAGAGGGUCUCUGCUACCUGGAUCUCUACUACCAGGCAAGGACGUGGAUAAAGGCCGAUCCGAUAUUUUACUCCUCCAUCUUUCUCAAGAUCCUCAAGGCAGCAAGGCUUCCCUCUCCCCGGAAGGCCAAGUCUCUGUGCAAAGAGACCCCGACCGGGCAUGACGUUGUACGCUCUGAGAGAGUCCGGCGUCAAGGGCCCCGUCGGUAUUUUCAAGAAAGCCUCGAGGCCUCGGAAAUUCCAGGCGACCCGCACCGUUUACCGUUCAGUGACAAUAGUGCGGGGGUGUUUGGGUAAUCUGGGUUUCUUAUUUUUGGGGUUACCUUUUAAAUUUUUUAUUUUUUAUUUUGGGUUUUAGUUAAUUUUUUGGUUACUUUUGUUUUUUUGACCGAAAUGUCCCUCAAUAACUAACAACAAGUUACUCUAUUUUGAUAGAAAUUAGAAUUUGUCCUUGAAUUGCUUAAAUUAAAAAUUAUAUGGAUAAAAUUGAUCAAAUUGAAACGACGAUAGAAAUUAGAAUUUGUCAUUGAAUUGCUUAAAUUAAAAAUUACAUGGAUAAAAUUGAUCAAAUUGAAACGACAACGAUCAAAGUAAUAGAAAUGGUAAACUACAAAGAUCAAAAAUAACUGUUUUGCCAUUUUUUAAUAUCUUGUUUGGUUUAUUUGUUAUUAAUAUGCAAAUAAUGUGAUACCAAGUUAAAAGUUUGAGCUAUAUUUAGGUGCCUCUGUCAUCUGUCAAUCUGCAAGUAGCAAGAUGACUACCGCAGUGGAAAGAAUGCAAUUUUCCGAUAGAGUCCUCAUCCGAUCCAUCAUUUUGAGGGCUGAUGGAGGGUCUGGGUUAGCCGGGCAGCAGGCCCGGGUUGGUGGGUGGGUGAAGACUGGCCGGAAGGCAGACAAGGAUGCAUUUGCAUUCCUAGAGCUGAAUGAUGGGUCAUGCACUAGCAAUCUUCAGGUCAUUGUGGAAGCAGACAAGGGUGACCUUGGGCAGCUUGUGCUGACGGGUACAUGCUUGCAAGUGGAUGGCGUGCUUAAGCUACCCCCAGAUGGGAAAAAGCAGAAGGUGGAGCUUCAAGUCGAGAAGGUGAUCCAUGUGAGUGUGGUUGACGCGUCGAAGUACCCGUUGCCGAAGACCAGGCUCCCCCUUGAGCUUCUGAGGGACUAUGUCCAUUUGCGUGCCAGAACCAACACGGUAAGUAACCCUGUUUGCAUUGUAGGACCUGUUGUGCUUUUGAUAACUAGUGUUUGAUUUAGUGUAUUUGCUUUCAGAUGGGCGGUUGCUAGAAUAAGAGAUGGACUGUCAUAUGCAACCAAGAGAUUUUUCCACGAGCAUGGAUUCUGUUACGUGAACACUCCAAAUAUCACCACCAGUGAUUGUGAGGGUGCUGGUGAGAUGUUUCAAGUCACUACCUUGAUUAGUGAAGCUGAAAAAUUGGAAAAGAAUCUGAUUAAGAACCCUCCUCCGUCAGAAAUAGACGUAGAAUCUGCCAAGCUUAUUAUCAAGCAGAGAGGAAAUGAUGUUGCUCAACUCAAAUCUGUUAAAGCAAGUAAGCAGGAAAUUGGCGCUGCUGUGGCUGAGCUUCAAAAGGCAAAGGAGAAUGUCUUGAAGAUGGAGGAGAGAUCUAAGCUUCAACCCGGUAUCCCUCAAAAGGAUGGGAAGAUUGAUUAUAGCCAAGAUUUCUUUGCCCGUCAAGCCUUUUUGACUGUUUCUGGCCAACUACAACUCGAAUCUUACGCAUGCGCUCUUAGUACAGUCUAUACAUUUGGGCCAACUUUUCGAGCUGAGAAGUCACAUACUUCAAGGCAUUUGGCAGAAUUCUGGAUGGUGGAGUCAGAAAUGGCAUUUGCAGAGCUUGAGGUACGUGAAGCUUAAAUUUAGUGUAGUUUUCUCAAUAUAUAUUCAUGAUUUUAACGUUUAGUUUUGUGCAUAUGCAGCAUGAUAUGGAUUGUGCAGAGGAUUAUGUGAAAUUUAUGUGUCAGUGGCUACUUGACCAUUGUAUGGAAGAUAUGCAAUUUUUUGCUGACAAGAUUGAUAAAAGUUGCAUCGACCGUAUAACAAUGUCCGCUAAAACACCAUUUGCACGGAUUACUUAUACAGAAGCAGUGGAGCUGCUAACUGAGGCUGUAAAAAAUGGUAAAAAGUUUGAGAACCAUGUAGAGUGGGGGAUUGAUUUGGCAUCUGAGCAUGAAAGGUAGUUUCAUAGCUUUAUUCUGUUGUUCUGUAUUGUUACAGUUUCUGAUUAAAUCAGCUUACCAAUUUAUCUUUUUGGUUUCGUGCAGAUACUUGACUGAGGUGAAGUUUCAGAAGCCUGUUAUUGUUUACAAUUACCCUAAAGAGAUCAAAGCAUUCUACAUGAGGCUCAAUGAUGACUCAAAGACAGUGGCUGCUAUGGAUGUCCUGGUACCAAAGGUGGGCAUUAUACUCUCAACAUUAAAUUUAUAUCGUUGACUUCAUUGCUCUGUUGUAUAUACUUGAGCAUUGUGUGUAAUCUGUGUAUUUUUUAUGCUUUUCUUGUAUUUCAGGUGGGUGAGUUGAUAGGGGGAAGCCAAAGGGAAGAACGUUAUGAUGUUAUGCUGAGCAGGUAUAUGAGUGUUUUGGUCUGUUUUAAGUGAUUUUUAUCCGCAUCUGUUUUUUUUUUCCUUUUUUGUUGGGAGUUCUCUUGUGCACAAUGUGUUUUCUAUUUUUAAUAUAUACAAGUGAUAUUAGGGGAGGGGGUUUUCUCACACAUACAAUGCUAAGGUACUAUGAGAGUUCGAAUCUAAGACCAUUGGCGUUUUCCACUGAGCUAGACCCGUUGGCUUGUGCACAACGUUUUUUUUUCCAUAGCAGCUGUUUUGCCCCUCCCCAUAAUUUGAGUAAUGGAUAGUUUGAACUGAGAAACGUAUGUAUUGUUUGAUGAAACUAUUAUUGCAGGAUGAAGGAGAUGGGGCUGCCAAUUGAGCCAUACGAGUGGUACCUUGACUUGCGGCGCUAUGGGACUGUAAAGCAUUGUGGUUUUGGUUUGGGUUUUGAACGAAUGGUUCAAUUUGCUACUGGGCUCGACAAUAUUAAGGAUUGCGUGCCAUUCCCUAGAUCUGCUGGAAGAGCAGAUCUUUGAAUUAAUUACUAGUCUAUAUGCAGCAAAUUUUUUAAAUUUUAUUUUAGGCGAAUUUUGUACCUAUAUUUUUGGUGUACUUAGGGCUAGUUUGGCAUUGCUGUGCUUUUAAAAAAAACUACUUCUGCUGUGCUGCGAGAAUAAUCAGCUGUGAAAAUAAUCAGUUAGGCGUUUGAUAAAUUAUAUCUGAAAAAGUGCUGUGAGUAAUCAAAGUGUUUGGUAAAUGACAAAAAAAAAGUGCUUUUAGCAUGUUCAAUGACCAAAAAGGACAUGAUGAUGGAACUAUUUGUUUUUCUUCUUCAUUCUUUUUCUACUUAAAAAAACUUCACUACAUAAUGUUUUUUCUUUUUUUAUUUAUACUAUACACGUGUUCCUCUCUUCUCAGAAAAGUAAAUGCCUUUUGUUAUAUAUUGAAUGCUAACCAUUCCGACCAAAAAAAAAAAAUGCUAACCCAACGACACCAAUUGGAAACCCAACACAGCCCAUCUCUCGACUUCAAUUUUUCUCUUUCUACCAUUUACAAGUUUUUUUUCUUCAUUCCUUCAUCUAACCAAAAAUAUCUCAUGUUUCCCCAGUUUUUUUUUUUCUUUUAAUAUGUUUCCCCCAAUUGUUUUUAGUACUUUUGGGUAGGUAAGACUGAAAAGGGGAAAAAUUGUAUGUAGGGUUUAUGUUUUGGUGUUCUUGCAAUGGGAGAUAACAUAGUGGAGAAAGUAGCCAUGGUUGAAAUACAGAUUUCUGGGUUGCAGCCAUGGAGAUUUGAGCUGGUUUACAGUGCUGUAGUGGGGGUAGUUGAAGCCCCCCCAAAGUUGGGACUACUGCAACAGGAUCUUUCCACCCAUAACCAAAAACAAGAACAACAAACUCAGGUGGAACAUGAAACUCAUCACUCUCUCUCUCCCUCUGACUCUGGCUUUCUCUAAAACCUGCAACAAAUAGAAAAACCCCCAAUUUGACAGAGAAAACUCUAGAUGCAGAAAGUUUGAGAAGUAGAAAACCGAAAAAUCAUAAUUGUAAUUCAGUUACUGAUGAGUGGGCAACCUUCUUAGCAAUUAAUUUUUUGAUGUCCACAAUGAGAGUUCCAGCAGCGUCAGAGAGUAGAGAAGGAAAUGAAGGAAAUGGAGUUCGCAGAAUGGAGAAGAAAAAAGGGGCAAGUGAGGGUAUUAUGGGAAGUUAAAAGUUCAUUAAAACAACCGGUUAAAUUUUUUUUGAAGCAGCUUUUAAAAGCUGGGUAGAGACGGCUUCGAAAAAACAGCGAUCAUUGACCGCGAUUUAAAAAAAAGCAAGAUUCCUGAUGUUUACCAAACACCCAAUCGAUGACAAAUUUUUAUUAAAGCUGCUUUAAAAAAAAAUUAAGCGCUGCCAAACGCCACCUUAAUCAAACCAAUUCUUUUUUCAUGUAACUAUGUAUGGAAGGCCUAUGCCAACUGUUUAGCUUCAGUUCUGAAUUUUUCAUAAGCGACUAUGAGUAUGCGCUUUUAAAGGUGAUAAAUGGUCAAAGAUAUGAUUCAAUCUGAAGAUUUAUAAGAAUUGUUGAUGAAACAGGUAAUCCCACAUUGGAUAAUUUAUUAUCCAAUCUAAAUAUAUGAUUAAGUUGUCAAUGGGAUCUAGCCAAGUGAAAAAGGAUAUUGACUUGCAGGUUAGUAGUCUCAUGUUCGAGCCCCCAUGAUACUGUGGUAGUGUGUGAGUGAACAAAAUUCGUGCGCAAAAAAUAAACUCGUAUAUGAUGAUACUAAAAAUAUGAAGGCAUAAACUCCUAUAGAAAUUCUCAGCCGUAAAUAGAUGAUUUGGAAAUUUUUGACAUGGUAGAAGAAAAGAAACAUUUGUUUACUUUGGAUACAUCAAAUUUGAACAAUCGAACAUCAUCACAUCACAUUAUAGGAUGUUCCAUGUUUAAUCCUUGAUAAGUAUAUAUGGAACAGAUAAUGUAGAAAUGCUUUUAGAAAAAUGCCCCAAGUGACAUUUUUUGUUGUGAAGAUUAAUAGGGUGCAGGGCCAACAUUGCACCAAACAAAUUAAAAUGGUUGUUUCUUAAUUUGGUUCCAUUUUUCUUGUUUAUUUCAUGCAAAUUAAGACAUUUGAAUUCGUUUCUGACCACUAAUAUGCAAAAAUACCGUUCAAUAAUUCCUUAUACCGUGCAAAACCAAGCAUUAACCAACAACUGUUUGAUUCUAAUAAUAACCCAAAAUGCUCCCUAUAUAUUGAACUCUCCAAUUCAUCUACAUUCAUCAGCACCUGCAGUAAACAAAGAAGAAAUAAGAAGUUACUUCAUAUUCAUCUCUAAGGCAGCUGUUGUUGAUCAACUUAUUCUCACUUCAAACAAUUCAUCAUGGAAAUGAAGAAGAUCUCCCUUGCCAUCAUCGUCGUCGCUGCCUUCGUGAGCGUCGUCUUGGCAGCUGACCUCCCCAAGGACCCACUAGCAGCUGCUGCUGCUGCUGUUGGUGCUGCUACCCCAAAGGCCUCAGCAGCCCCCGUGGGCUCAGCUGGUACCACCACAAGCUCAGCAGCCUCCCCAAUUCCUUCCUCUGCAACCGGCACACCAACCUCAGCUCAUGCCCCCAGCCCAUCAGGCGCCGCCUCUGCCAUGCCCGUUGUCAGCUCUUUGGCUGGUGCCUUCCUGAUGUCCUUCUUUGGCUAUUACCUGCAGUAAGCUCAGGGAAUACAAAAUUCUUGAUGAGACUAUGAGAGUUAAAUAAGUACUUGGAAGAUGGGAUUCCCAAGAGAAGUAAGGAUGUUUAUUCAUGUUAUCAAUGUUGUUGAAUCUUAAUGAUUUAUUUUGCUUAAAUUCAGUUGCCUGUUUUCUUUCAGGCCAAAACUAAAAGAAUAAAUGUAGCAUGCAAUUACAAUGUAUAUUUAGACAGCAGUAAAAGUUUUCACAUCCAAUUUCUAUUACGGCCAAUGUUCAGUUACAUUCAGCAAUAUGUUAUUUCCGACUCUAAUCUUCAAUGUUCAAACACCACUCUGGUUGACAAACAAAUUUAUGUCAAGAAGAUGAAACAAAUACCUUUUCUUUUUUUCUUUUUUUUAAAACAAGAUUGAAUAAAUUACAGACAAAUGUCCAUCAAAAAUUAGGAUCCUCCAUUAGAUUUUUGUGCAGACAUGAGACUCUUUGUCAACCAGAUGGCUGUUUCUCUAGACGAGACAGCGUCUUCUCCGAAUGGUCUUAGCACCCCAGCAAGCUCUUCAAGUUUGUCCUGCUUUAAUAGCCGCGCGCAUACCUCUAACAGAGACUCCAGGGCGUCAGCUCUUUGCUGACUUGGAUUUUCCCAGUCACUCUUGGAAUCAUCACCACCUAUUGCAGUUAGUGUGCUCAAGGAGAUGUCAAUUGGUGCCUGAUUAACCACAUGAGCAUUAUCUUUUUCUGUCUGCGUGGAGCAAUUAUUAUUGUCUGCCUUUGCUCCCACUUCAUCUUUUUCUUUCUGUAUGGAGCAAUCAUUUUUGCUUUCAGAUGACAAGUAGUCCAGGUGACCACCUACAGGAUAUCCAUUAGAACUUUCCUUCGGUAAACAGCUUCCGGGUUCCACCUCAGAUUUAGCUGAUGACGAGCAUUUAUCAUCAGGGGAUCCAACUUUGUUGGCACAGCCUACACUGGGCACCACCAAUUCCCUACAAUUCUCUUCUUUAGCACCCUCUCCUUCUGUUCUAGCUCCUUCAGGAACUUGUUGGUCUCUACAUGACUUUCCAUCUUCAUUGUUUGAAGUCUUGACAUCAACCUCUGGCAACUGUUUGGAAUUUGUAGCAGCAGGUUCUUCUCGUUCUUCAUUUUGAGAAUUUGGUGUGCUCUCUGAUGUAAUUUCAAUGUCAGACUCGGUAUUUUCCUUUUGGUGUAUACUGAUAGUGUCAGCUUGCUUAUCUCCAUUGCAAACAGAUGCUUCUGAAUCAGUUGGUCCAUCUUUUGAAGCAUCAGUGGCAUUGGAUAAUUCCAUAGAACAGCCAACCCUCUUCAUUUCAAGCUCUUCUGCACUAACUGUGAAUACAGGGUUAUCAAUGUUUGUUAUAUACCUAUGCGUCACAUCAGCACUGCUCUCAAAUGGAUGGACCUUUUCCAGGUGGUUCAGUGUUCCAGCCUCUUUGUCUCUGUUGUCUUUGCCACUGCUGGGUUUGCUAGGCGGUGAUUUUCUAGUAGUUUUAUCUUUCAAGUUGUUUACUGGCUUUACUGGAAGAAAAACAGAUGAUGCAUUGCGACAUUGAAGAAGGUAUGGUUGUAAGUGCGGAUGCCUUAAUAACUCUGCAGCCUAACGUAAUAGAUUAUGGGAGUAUUAGAAAAAAUAAAGGUCCUCAAAUUCUUUACAUCAUGCAAGUCAGGGGUUAGCUAACUCACUGUUGGUCUGUGUUCUGGACUCUUCCUGAGCAUGCUCUUUAUGAUUUGUUUCCUGUGAUCCGGAGGCCAUACCAUAUAAGUUGAUAAAUUAGAAAAGAAAAGACAUGAAAUAUGCAGUUAGAAUAUUCAUUUAAAAUAGCACCAUUAUGUCUGAUGAUUUUGAAGAUAUUACUCACAGUGUGGAAGAAUACACAAUUGGCAGAGGAGAAAUGGUGGAUCUGUUAAUUUUAUUGAUAAGCCCAGCCAUGUCCUGUUUAAUCAGGUAAUUUAUAGGAUUUAUUUACUCAAAAAUAUAUGCCAACAGGUUUAGACGCAUCUUUGGCAGCCAAUAAUAUCAAUGCAACAUCAAACGCUCAAGCUUAUACUUACAGGAGCUCUAAAUGCAGGCUGAUGUGCAGCAAUCUCAAACAUACAGCAACCUAAAAACCAACAGAAAAUAAAAAUUAUAUCUAUUCAAAAUCAUGGGCAUGAGCCUGUGAAAAAUAUAACUAUUAAGAUUCUAGAGUUCUUACCAAGCGACCAUAUAUCGGAUUUAUAGCCAUAAGGUAUAUCUGCGAGGAGCUCAGGACACAUGUAGUUUGGAGUUCCAACAACCUAUGUUGAAAAUAUAGCGAUUGAAAAUGAACAGACAUAAGUGGAUUUAGUGAAGUAGUUGCAGGUUUUAACAGACAUUCUAGAAGUUCAGCCACAAAUACUGAGGAACUAUCCUCUCUUAAGAUAAGGUGGCCUUGUCAAAUGUGGAAUGUUUGAAUAUAGUGCUUGGUGGAGGGGAAGCAAGAGAAGUUUGCAACUAUUCUAUGGAAGUUUUCAUGAAAGAAGAGACGUACAAAAUUUUAAGAGACAGUUCUGUAGGUGGGCAUAAAGACAAUCAAAUAAUGUAAAUGCAAGUUCAUACCGAAGAAGUAAGAUCUUCUGUGUUGAGUAGUUUUGCGAGUCCAAAGUCACCUACAAGGUCCAUGUAAGAAAUACAUAUCUUUAAAAACAUCAAUAUAUGGAAGCCAAACCUUAUGCAGCAAAACAUCGCUUCUCUUAGCAAUCAUUAUGUCUACAUACCAAGUCUGAUGUCAUUGUCCUUUGUAAGGAAUAUGUUGGAGCACUGCAAACAUUAUAUUUGUAUUAAAACAAACAUCAUUAGUAUUUAUCUUCACUGCAACUACAGGUACACUAUAUUACCUUAAGAUCCCUGUGAAGUACACGAUUGGAGUGCAAGUAGUCCACAGCUAGUAACAAUUGAGUCAGCCAUUUGCAGAGCUUCUGCAGGGCAAAACAGAAUGGCAACAGAGAGCAGUUGGUUUCUACCCUUUACAUAGGUACAUAUACAGGACGUGAAGUUUCACUGAUUACCUCCUCUGGAAAAAAUUGUCCUCUGGCUUUCUUUACCAUCUCAGCUCUGUUAAGAAAUGAGUUGUUUCUCAUUCAUUAAUCAUGGGAAGUAUUGUGAUUGAUUCUCUAAUUCUUAUGUAAUAUUGAAAAAGAAAAAUCAAUACUCUCUGAAGUUCCUUAAAUGAGAUCUUAAUUCUCAUCUAUUAGAUUAGAUAUGGACGGUUGAGACGCAUCAUGGCUGUCCAAUAUCUGGUCUAAGGACUGAGAAACAAGACUUCAUUGAAGGACCCUAUUUAUGGACUUUAGAAGAACAGGACUGAACAGUAUAUAUACGUAGUUUAACAUGUUGACUAUGAAAAAUAUGAUACUAAAUUUCCUCCUAUAUUUCGUCCAAAAAUCAUGUGGAUUAUCAAUGAGUUUCAAGCUAAUAUUUGGAUGAGAAUUAAGGACUGAAAUAAGUGUUUUAACUCUUUACAAAAGCAAAAGAUGUUUUAAAAAAUGGCUGUUUCAAAUCAAUUCCUCAUUUAAAGAAGAAAAAGGGCAUUCUAGCAUACCAGAGAAAACAUAUCUAGAACAGCAAUGAUCCACAUUGUGUUACUUACAUGUCACCUCCUUCGCAAUAGCCUGUAACAAUGCAUACGCAGUCUCCCUACAGAAAAUAUAAACGUUUAAGCAUGCGUGUAUGAAGUGAAAUAUUGUUACAACAGCUAAAGACUUCUCCAAAUUUAUACUCUCAAGCCGUAUUCAAAUAUAAAGAACUUUAUAAAAGAAUCACAGAUUUACCUUGUCAACCCAAGCAUCUUUAUAAUCCACAAUAUAUGGAUUGUUUAGCUUUGCAAUUAAAUUCAUCUGCAAAAGAAAUUGAGGGAACACAUCUUUCAGUCUCACUUCAAGGACAUUGACAAUUAAGGUUUUCUUCAAAUAUGGUGGGUGGAAAACUAGAUACAAUAUCAGAAACACAUUAAUGAAAAGAAAAAAAAACACUAGUGAUACAGUAUUGAGCUGGAGGACAAAACAAGUUUUAUCGUCUUUUCUAAGUGGAUAUAACAGGGGAUUAUCCAACCAGAAGGUUACAAUCCAGGAUCAUUGUAGUUAUGAGAUACAUAUUUCAAAUGUCUGUGCAAAAGCAUGCUUGUUUCUUCUGAUUUCAUAUGCAUAUCGUUUCAAGAACGCAACUUCCCAGUAGAUUGUUACAUAAACAGAUCUUGGUAUUUGUACAGAAUGAAUUGUAGCCCAAGAAGCAGAAAUGACAGUACUGAUAUGGACAAGCAAAGAAUGAAGUUGGAGCUUAUUGAUGCAGGACGCUUUUAUAUCCUAUUUUGACUGCCAAGAAAACAGGAAAGAUGGAUAUUUGAUGCUACAUUUGAUUCAUUCUCAGAGUACAGCUGAUAUGCAAAGAGGGAGAGAACAACAAAACAAAACCUAACCCUUUGAUUGGUAAUGUAUCAUGUUGAAAAAUGGAACAAUUUGAAAAAUAAAAAAUUGUAGCUGACAGCCAGUUCUACAUUUAACAAUAUGCAAACAGUUUUCGAGAAAGCAACCUCUUGGUGAGCUGUGCGUUUGAACUUAUCUGUUUGCUUAGCCAAACGAAUCUUUUUCAACACAUACCUAUCAAAAGAAAAACUCAAUAAUUAUUAAUUAAACGCAGUUGGCAAAACAUAGGUUUAAUCAAGUUGAGCUGAGUACCAAUUGUACUAUCAAUCAAAUACAGAAUUUUGGAUUCUCGAUUACCUUUCUUGUGAAAAUUCAUACCCUGAGAUGUAAACUUUGAUAAAGUGUAUAGAAAAAAUCAGACAGUUCCCAUUACCCCAUUAUUCAGUUUUCUUGCUAAAUUCUGUCUUUAAUUACAUAAUUGUCUAGCAGAUUACAAGAAUUACAUUAUUUAAGAAAAGAUCCCUUUAAAAGUACACAAAAUUAUAAUUAAAAAAGGUUCGUAGAAAAUACUCUUACUUCUUUUUCUGAGUCUUAUGAAGAACAAGAAAAGCAGCUCCAAAUGCCCCUCUCCCAAUCUGCUCUAUCACUUCAUAAUCCUCCAUCUUUGACUUCAUCUCACCAUCAUCAGUCUCCAUAGUCACCUAAUAAGACCUUCAAAACCCAGAAGAUACAGAGUUCAGUAAGUCAACCCAGCUUCGAUGGUCGAGUCAAAAUUGCUAUAUUCACCCAAUUUGGAUCAAUUUCAUAAACUUCAAUUCAUAUAGUACCAAGAAAAUUUGCUGCUUUAUAGCAAAAUUCGACCCAAAAUUUAAAAACCCAGAAAAGAAAAACUUGCAGAAUUACCAAUAAACAAAAAAAAAACGCAAUAAUCAGCUUGGAAAGCACCAACAGCUCUGUAAUGCUCCUCAAAGGGAGAGUCUUGAGACUUUGAGGCUACUAAAUUUCCCAAAAACUAGAGAGAUCUUAUAGGUAAGAGAGAGAGAGAGAGAGAGAGAGAGAGAGAGAGAGAGAGAGAGAGAGAGAGAGAGAGAGUAAAGCUAAAUUCCAGAAUAAUAAUGAGUAUCACAACAAUACAUGAGACUGAGACAAAGACAGAAGGAAAGAGAGGUGGAAGGACAAACUCAAGUAAAAGCAACAAGAGCACUGAAAUGAUGAUUAAGAGUGUGAUGACUUACCAAAAAAAACGAGUAGAGGGAGUUAGAGAUGAGAGGGUGGAAGGGCAGUCUCAAAGUAAAACCAAAUGAGGCAGCUAAUUGUGUAAUCUUUAAUAAAACUAUACUUAAUUGGAAGUUGAUUAUCUACCAAAUAGAAAGUUGGGUUUGUGGGGAAGAGAGAGAAAGGAGAGGGCUUGGGAAGCCAAAAGCUAAAGUGACAGGUACUGAAGAGAAUGAAGACUUAAAAGAGAAAAGCAAAGCAUUGCUUGCAUUUUCAGAUUCAUGGGAGAGAGAGAGAGAGAGAGAGAGAGAGAGUCUCACCAGGGAAUGUUUUUCCAGCGCGUAGUUAUGAUGUCACUGUCCUUGGAACUUAAAAAUCUAUUUGUUUUUUGUUUUUUGGGUUUCUAUUUUGGGUUUUCUACAAUUCGUGCUGGUCCACUUUAGUCGCUGUGCUUCCAUUUAAUACUCGGCCUCUAAAUUAUUUAUUACUGAAAUUAUUCUUUUAAUAUCUCAUGAGUUGUCGCUAUAAUUCUUUAAGAAAUUUGGAGAAGAAAAAUAAAAACUCACCAAGAUGUUUGAAGUUGACCAUGAUGGCUCGUGUCUUGCAAGAUAAAUAAAGGGAUUUAUAAUUCAAGUGAUUAAAAGUAUUUAUUCAUAUACCUAAAGUCCUAAAUUCGAUUCUCCAUUCCCUCAAUAUCGCUUGUUAAAAUAAAAAAUUAAUCAUGUAAACAUCCUCAAUUACAGUCCAAAAACUUAACUUUGGUGAUAUUUCACUUUGAUCUAUGACUCUAAUCUAGCAUUUUGAAAACCUUGUAUUGCGUUCAUUAGGUUGACUAUCAAGUCAAUUGACGUGAACGUAAAAUUUGUGAAAAAAGGAAAUGGGAAAGAUAGAAAUUUAUCUUAUCUUUAAAGAAUACUGAAAAAUAAAAUAAUGUUACCAAUAUUUUGGGUUCAAAGCUUCAAAGCUACACCUAAAACCCCUCUAAAAACUAAAGCUAUUGAGAGAUGUAUCGUUCAUCCCAAAUUGACGGGUGAUAGAUACUCCGUGGUUUACCAACUAACACAGAAAAGGAAUAAAUAUCUUCAAAAUUUUCAACUGGUUAAGAAAGACUUUCAAGGAGCAAUUGGCCAUGUAGAAAGUUGCAGCUACCCAACACCCGAAACUUUCAUUGUAACGCAAAAUUCCAACACCACCAAAAACCAUCAUUGAAAAAGAUAAAUUAACUGACUGGUCACAAGCACAUUAGCAUUGAGAAAAUGCAUCUAAAACCAUGAACAGAAGAAAAGUUCACAUACAAUUUCCAUGCGCAUUUAGAUAUCUAACAAAAGGGCAUUACAUUGUUUGCGAAAAGAAAUUUGUGCACGUUAUCAGAAGGUCAAGUUACUUGUGCUUUGAUUUUCUGGAGGACAUUUUCCUUUCAAGUUUUUUCUGUGUUGCCUCAAAUUCUUCUUCUGAGGGUUCUGAAGCAGCACUACACCCGCCAUAUUUGGAAAUUAGAGAAGAGAACAUAGAAUCAAACUGGUUUUUCCUCUCAUUUCGGCGCUGAGAUAUGAUUGCAUACAGAUCCUCUGACUGUUUCUUUGGUCUGUAAAAUAUUUAACCAUAAAGGUUUUUCAUUUCUUGAUUGAGCUAAACAUUAAAUUUAAGCAAUUAAAUAAACUUGAAGCAAAGUACUCACUUGUCCUUCCUCCUUAAAGGACUAGUAGGAGGUUUUGCUUCAGAUACUUUCUUUGCCCAUUUCGUGUAGGCUUUGGUUGAUUUCAGUUCUCCUGUGAGUGAGAGAGAGAGAGUUAGCAACAUGAAAGAUACUCCAGCACACCCUUAAAUCCAGGAAAAUUCAGUAUGCCAAGUACAUCAAUGUUGUUAACAUUACUUGCAUAGAAAGUUUGAUUUCUAUGACUAAGGAUGUGCCAAUAACCCCCAUUGGAGAUAAAAUGAGAGACCCAACCAUGACAGUUAGGCAUGUUCAACAAUGAUUCAUAGAUGCACCAAUCAGGAGUGACUUAAUCAAGAUAGAUGAUAGAGCUUAGAUGAGUAAAAGUAAUUAUUAAAUAUAUGACAGGAUGUGAAUUACAUGAAAUGAUUUGUCAUAGGACAAAAUGGAGGACCAAGAUUCAUGUAGCCGACUCAAAAUGAUUGGAACAAGACUCUUAUAAAGGUUCAUUCGUUGAACCCAAAAAAACUGAAGCACUGUCAAGAGGAAAGAAUCCAAAUGGCAAGACCACACUAAGGAGCUAACUAAAGGGGGAAUCUGAGUGUCUGCUCUUGUAUUGUGGACGUCUAUAAUUUGAAACAAUCAAACCAUGUCCAACCCCAGAUUAAAUGACUCUACACAAAGACUAUGCUGUAAGUUUUGUGGUAGGGCAUCUAAGCAAACCUGGUCUAAGACAUCAUUUAAAACAAUAAAUUAGGAUCUUGAGUUUGACAAUAAGCUUAUAUUCAGUAGAACCACAAAAAUACUAAAUACAAUGUACUAGAAAUGACUAGAUAUAAUGUAAUAUCAUGAAUUUGAAAUUACUAGGUUUGAUGAAUCAUUAAACCCAUGCACUCCUUCAAUCACAUAGAUAAAUUUGCAUUGUCAACAAUAUAUUCAAGUAAUUAAACUAGAAACAACUGAAAACCCUGUUUUGAGAUUUAGCUUAAAAGACAUCCACACCUGCAGCAAUUGCCUCAUCAAGAAUAUCCUUGAAACGGUGUGAAUCAAGUUUAGGGUCUGAACAAAGCAUUGAACAGAAGAGUCUGCAAGGGAAACAACUGUCAGCACCAAACAGGAAAACAAAAGGAAAAAAGGAUAAACACAAUGCUACUACUACCAAUACCUGUUCAUAUUACCCUUGUACUUGCUAUACAGAUCAAUCAAAUCUUUCUUCUCUGAAUCGGAUCCUCUAUAGUUUGCUUCAAACUCUUCAAUAUCAGCUUCAGUGACCUGCAAUUGAUGUAUAUGUUGUCACAAAUCUAAAGAAGGCAGAGAGUGUACAAACAACAUUAUUACAUCAAAAGACAGCAUGAAGAGGUGAAAACAUUGUGACCUUUUUAUAUAUGACUCGGAAAUAUUCACGCAGAUUUUGAACAACAUCACCAGCAAGGUCCUGCUCAUGAAAAAAGCACAACCAAAAUAAGCACCAUUUGAUUAGUAAGGCAACGCUGGAUUUCCCAAGUAUCUAAACCCCAAUUUGAUCUUCCAAAGUAGUUGAGUGAGUACGAAGUAGUUAUUCUAAUUUAAGAACACCAGGUUGACACAUUUACUUGUCAUUUCUAGUAAUGCAUCCAAUUCAUCACGCUGCACGCAGCAUUGUCUAGAAAUGAACGAGUUACAAAGGAUGGGUUUUUCUUUAAAUUGCAAAACAAAGAAAUUACACACUCACAUCAUCGUCAAUGCAACCAGUCUGGUCAUAGAGUGCUCGUUUCUCCUCAUCCCCAAGAAUUGAUAUCACUUUUUGCAAUUGCUGAAACUUCUCUUUAGCUUCCUAUAAAACAAAACUGACAAAUUAUACUUGCAAAAAAUCCACAGUUCACAGUUGAGAGAAAAUCAUCAAACAAAAACACGAUUUUUUUUCGACGUUCACCUCAUCGCCCGGAUUUUUAUCAGGAUGGAGUCGUAACGCUAACUUAUAAUACGCCUUCUUUAUUUCCUGUUGAGAGGCGCUUCUAUCGACGCCAAGAACCUACAAAACAAGAAUAACCUAAUGCCUUAAAAUCCCCAAUUUUCCAAAUUAGGGCAAUGAAAGCUCGAAAAAUCUAAUUUUUCUAGCUUAAAGAAAGAGAUCAAUAGGUUAAUCAAAAAAUCACAUCACGCAAAUUCUGAAUAUAAUUCUUAAUCACCUCGUAGAGGGUCUUCUCGUUGGUGGAAGUGGGGUUGUGAUCCACGUCGCUUUGUUGUUGUUCUUCUUCUUCUUCGACUUGUCGUGCUUGCUUUUGCUCAGAAACCCUAGCUCUCUUUCUUUUCCCCAUUUUCGAAUCAGAAGUUUUGAAAUUUGGAGAAAUGGUUUAUCAGAAGUAGGGGCUCUACUUAUAUGUGAACUUUCGGGGCUUCGAUUUGUUCCCGCCAAUUCGCUCUCCAAUUUACCCUUUUCCCGCCGCGAGAAUAUGGUAGAAGAAUUCCUUAACUCUACUGAAGUUAGUGGACCGAACCCAGCGCCCGUGGGCGGGCAAAAACCCGAUCCAACUGCCCACACCAACCAAACCAACUGAGUGGGGUCCGCUUGAUUUGUCAAAGAAAAUAAAUUGUUUCGAACUGGCUACACCAUUCAAACUGGCUAUUGGUUUAAGUUACGAUUUUACGCUAAAAGUACAAUAUUUGACUGAAUCAAGCCAAACUAUGAUUAGUUUAGUUUGUUUCAGUUUAGAAACUGCACAAACGAACCAAAACCACAUAUAUUAAUUUAGUAUCUCCUUUUUUUUUUUUUUUUUCCAGGAAAAAUUUAGUAUCUCUUAUUGGUUAUUAUAAUUUUCUAAUCCUCCACAUUGAUAACAACCAUUUAAUGCCAACUGAAAUCUCUAACCUAUUCAAAUUUUACAUAAUCUAUUUUACAUAAUUUGUCAAUCUUCAAGCAAAUGGGGUCUACCCUAAUGGAAAAUGACUUUGACUUGCAUAUUAGUGGUCUCAUGUUCGAACUCCUAUGGCAUCUUAGUAGUAUGUGUGUGAAAAACCCUCUUCCCCUUAGAGUUUAAAUUAUCGCUUGUAUUAAUUUAAAAAAAUUGCAAAUCUUCAAUAAUAAUAAGUUUUCUCACAUGUUCAGUUUAUGAGUCACUUUGGCAUAUGUAAGAGGACAUAAAAUAUUUGCUUUAAGGGAAAUACAUGAACCCAACCAAACACUAAAUGAUUUGGUUUUGCAUUAGUUAUGCUACUAACUUGGGGCCUAAACUAAAUCAGUUUGAAUUGUGAUAUUGUGUUGCUUUGAAGUUUAAACCGAACCCAACAAAACUAGGUCCACCACUAUUACAAGGCAAAAAGUUACUUUCGGUUCAUGUGGUUUUACCAAUUUUACCACUAAGGUCCCUUUGAUUUCAAUUUGGUCACUUUCACCAACGUGAUUUUCAAUUCCAAGCAAUUUUAGGACGAUGCCCAAUUUCUGUCAAAUUCUUCUAACUCUGUUACUUGUUGAAUAUGUGCCUCUCAAGUGGAGGGGGCAUUUCUAUCAAAGCUGACUCUCAUAAUUCACGAGAAAUAUUGCACUUAUCUCUUGGAAGUGAAUCAUGUGGGCUUCCUUUUGGAUUGAAAGUUGUGCAAGCCAUGAAAAGCGAUUGAACUGUAGGUUGCUUUGGGCAAUACACGUCUUCGGCAUGUUGGGGCCUUAAGGCUUGCUGUGGUUUCGACAACGAUGGUGUCUUUAGCAUCUUGGUGCCUAGAUGAUUCAUGAUUUCUUCAGCACGAGUAUUGCGAAUGGAAAAUUAGGAGGUGCUAAUCGGAGGAGUGCCGAAGGGCACUAAAGAAGGGGAGAACGAUUGAAGCAUUUUGUGUCGAUCCCCACAAACGACGUCAAACUGUUGAUAACUCCAUAUUUGUGUUUAUUUUCUAUACCCUAUUCUUAUGCUUUGCAUUAGUUUCUUCUGUAAAAUUGGUUAUUUUGAUGUAUUUAAUGUGAGUUUUGUAGGAAAUCAUCUCUAAAGUUGAGUUGGAGUUAAAAAAGAAAAAAAAAUAUUGUGAAAAAGAGCAAAGAAGGCAGAAAUUUGGAAUUAGAAACUUAGAACUCAAGAAAUUGCAUGUGCAGAUGGGUCAAACUUACGGAUUUAACUGUAUGUGCUCAAGAAGAAUCAGAUAACGUGUUGUAUAUUCUUGGAAAGCUCUGGAAGUCUAGUUUCUAGAGAAUUUUACGGUUCGUGAUUUCGAGUUUUAUGGAGAAAGUUACAUCAAUUUUAGUACAGUGGGUCAGUGCUAGAAUUUUGCGCGAGUUUUGACAACUUUGCAUCACAAAUUACCAUUCUUGGUAAGCAGGCUUUUGGACAUCCUUGGGAGUAUGUCCACCCCAAAAGGCUAAGGGUAAGGCUAAGGCAAGGCAAGGGCUGUCACUAUUCAUGUGAAUAGUGGCAGCCUUGCCUUUUUUGGUUCCACCCCAAAAGGCUAGGACAAUGGCAAAUACUAUUCACAUGAGAUAUGAAGAAAUGAAUUUGUAUAGAGUUUUUGGUGUGGGAAGUAAAGAAUAUGGUUAGGUAUUUAUAAAAAAAAAUAAAAAAAUUUGUAUUUUUUUCCCUUUUUUUUUGUUGCUGACGUCAUUAUGAUGUCAACAUUACAUCAUUCUGCCCAGGCAGCAGUUUGGGCUGAAUUUGCCUAUGGGCUUGCCUGGGCUCGUGGGACCUAGCUCUUGCCAGGGCUAAACCUUGUGCGCUAGAAGGGGUUUUGGAGCCUGGGGCUGCCUUUUACCCGGGCUGGGCCCAAGCGCUGGAGUUGCUCUUAGGAGGCACCUAAUCUUGUGUUAGGUCAAUUAUAAAUCACCUAUAAUUGCCUAGAUCAAUUGGCAUUUGGUCUGGUCAAAGAAGUGCAUCAAAAGUCAAAGACUAACUCAACUAGGAAAACAAACUCUCUAUUCUAAUUGGAUUUUAUUCGUAUUUUUCUCUCCUAUCCCACACUGACCUAUUCCCCAAUAUCCAUAAUGAUAUUUCUUUUGUUCUUGUUAGGCCAAUUGACCUCAACCAUGUUGGUGGGACAAUGAUUAUUGUUUACUGUCAUGCUUUCAGGCUUAUCCAUAAGGGUUUGCCAUCUACUAUCAAAUCUUGAAUUUGAUCUCUAAAUUGCACGCAAUUAACAAUGACAUGAGAGAAAGAGUUGUGUCACUUAUAGUAUGAUUUCCCCUUGACUUCCUCAGGCUUUGUGAAAACAUGCUUAUCAUCAAACUGAAUCAUCUUGGCUCUCAUUAGCUCAUCAAAAAUACUCUCUACCUUGGACAAGUCAAAAGAAUAUGACUUAUACUUCUGCUUAUAAGACAAUGGCCAUGUUAGUAUUUAUGUGCUCGAGCCCUUUUUCAACCAGUCCCUCUACGAUUUCCAUAUCAUGAAUUGGAUUCUGAGUCUUCAAGUAAGUAGAUUUGGAAGUGUUCUUCCUUUGAAUUUCUUCUUUUAGCAACAGUUCAUACGUCCCUGCCCUCUGAGCUAUAUCUUGAAGGUCCACAAACUUAGUAUCAUCAAACUUCUUCCUUAGAGAAAUUUUUAGGGCAUUUUGAGCAAUUUUAAUGAAAUGUUUUUCCUCCAUUGGAAUCUUACAUUUCAUCUUGAUCUUCUUGAAUCGGGCAAUAAAAUCAGGAUCCGUCUCAUGCUUAUGUUGCUUUAAAUAAGUAAGAUCAUUGAUAGUGAUUUCGGGCUCAGACCUAUAGUACUGGCUGGUCUAUGAAAACUGUCUCCAUUUCAUUCCAGUCUUGAAUAGAAUUUGGAGGCAAAUUUAAAUACCAAGUAAAAGCUUGGCCCGAUAAUGAACUUCCAACCAACCUUAACUUCACUAGGGGCUGAGUCUCAAUAGCAACACAAUGAGCUAAGAAACACCUAAUGUGUUCUAGAGCUGAAGCGUAGAGAUCUUCCCCAUUGAAUAAGUUGAAAUUUGGAACUUAAUUUGAAACCCCUUGGGAAAGGAAUAUCAUUAAUAUGAGCUGGAUAAGGUUUUUGGUAAAUAGACCUCAAGAAACUGGAGCUGCUACUGCAAAAACAGGUGGAUGAAUAGGUAUUUCUUCCAUCUCAUCAUCAGAAUCUUGGAUUGGUUCAGGUUGUUGCACGUUAUUCCCUCUACCUCUGUCAUUGCCUCUAAUAUUGCCAUUGUUGUUGGCAAUAUGAGUAUUAAAAGCAAGGGGUUGCCUCCAUCUCUCAGCAUUCACAUUUCUCCUUGAUGGCUCUGGUGGCAAAGCUGCUUCACCAUGUCUCUGAGCUUGAUACCUUGGUGGAGGAAUAAUAGCAGGCACCUCCACAGCCAUAGCUUGAUUAUUGUUGGUCUCAUCUUCAGCAGUUACCACAGGUGCAACUAGUAUUAUGAUCGGGGUCGUAAUUGCUAGUAUAAUUACUGGCAUAGGUACAUCAAAUGGACCUGUCACAUGAACCUAUGAAGAUGGAGAAUUGGCAUGAUCACUGGUUUGCCCUUCAGUAAGUCUCGUUAUCUAUAUACCAAAUGCUCUUGAAGCCAUUUCAUCACUUUGUGGGCUUCGACUACCUUGUGCUAUCUAUGUUGAUAGCUGAGGAAAUAUGAAAGAGUUUCACUUCUUGAAGCUUGGCAUGGUGUUUUGCUUAGGCGUGCCACUAUUGGAACUAGCUGCAGCGCAAUAUAAAUAUGGAUGUAGUGUAAGAUGAAUUUACACAGAUCUUGACUCCUAAUUAAGCCAUUGUGCUCCAAAGGUGUACUGGCUCGAAUUAGUUCUUUUAUACGCCUCAAUUAAGAGGACUUCAAUAUUCUUUUAUGUGUGCCCUGGCGAUGUAGUAGAUAUAUUGCGUAUCUUGUAAGAUGGUUUACUGUUUUAAACCACUAAAGUGAUCUUCUAAUCGAAUAAGGAUUCCUAAGAACUCAUGGUUUAUCAGAAAGUCUAUUCCUAUCUGAUAUGGCAGCCUAAUAUAAGUGUUCUAGAUAUAUAUUAACAGGCUUAAGGAUUCCUACUUUGAUAAGGAUUAAGAUUACCUAAUCCUAUAAGCAUUAAGGUUAUCUCUAAGAGUUCAUUGAUGGGCUAAACUCAUAGAGAUAUGCAUAUAAAUAAGAGGCUCCUUCUAGAGCCGAAACACACACAAAUAAGCAUACAAAUAUUCACCCCAAAAUCAGAUUUUUCACCUCAGCUCUCUCUCUCCUGGCGCGCUCAACUUUUCUCUCUCUCUCUCUCUCUCUCUCUCUCUCUCUCUCUCUCUCUCUCUCCUCCGUUUCUCUCUCCCCGACCCGAGCACUCUCUCUCUUCGGUUCUCUCAGCUCCGGCCACGGCAGAACGUGAGACCAGUCCCAUUAGCUGCAUUUCGACGCCCCGGUCAUGGCCUGCAGUUUUCCCCGCCAGAAAACUCGAGUAUCACCGACGAUAUCGACUGGUUUGAACCGGAGAUUUCUCGUCGUUGAGCCAUCGCCUCCGCCGCCCGAUUCUGGUGAAAAAUGUGAGGUUUCUUCCUCUUUUUAUUUGUUCUAGCUGUCUGUUGCUUGGGAUUAGAUCGAUUUUUAGUUUGGGAAAUCGAAUUUGAAAACCUAGGUUUUGGCCGAAUUUCAAAGUGAAAUUCCGGCCAGUUGCCGUCCUAUUUGGACCUCCCCGUAGUUGAAUAAAGUGAUCCUUGCUUCGAGUAGAACCUAGGGUAGGAAGGAGGAGCGGUGGUGUGGAGAAUUUCCGUCGUCAGAAUUUACUCUACACACCCACACACUGCCGCCGAUGUGGCGGCAUGUGGGCAAAGGUGGUGAAGCUAUAUUUUGUCCUGAUGAGAUCCUCAUGUUGUCACGAGUGUAUAGAAUUUCGCGGAUCUCAAUUCGAACGUCGUUUGUCUAUCUAACGAAUUUCGCAUAUUGUGCGUUAUCCGAGUUCGAUAGGUUCUGACCGUUGGAUCGUUUUCCAAUUAAAUAUGUUGAUCUAAGUACUCUUAGAAUCGUAUAGGAAUUUGCGGAUCGUGAAUCGGAGCCCCGGAUGUUCCAAUUCAAUAAUUCAAAGUUUGUGGGUUAGCGAUAACCGUCCAAUCGUGAGCGAUUCCUAAACCUGUAACUGGACCUUAGGAUACCUCGUUCAACGUACACGCACUGGGAACUUAGGAAUUUAAGUAAUUAAUUUGUGAUUUCCGUUUCGAAGUAAUUUUAUAUUGAUUAAGGGUUCGUAUCUCGAAACAGGUGCUCCGACCGCUCGUACCCAGCAGGCGAGACCCUCUCGUGGUCAGGCAGCGUGGGAAUACUUGUGAAUGGACUUUGUUUUUAAUCAUAUGCAUGGUUUUAUUGAUGAAAGAUUUAUGCAUAAUGUUUUAAAUGGUAUAUUGAAUAUAUUAUAUUUAAAUAUUGAAUUUGAUGUUUGUAUAGCGCUUUGGCAAUAUAUUGUGGGUUUGACAUAUUUAGGUAUCGAGAGUAUGUUUGUAUGGAUUUUGGGGAAGUUCUAUAUAUAUAGUCGAUAGGUAGGAUACUUAGGUUGUUGAGGUGAGAUUGUGGAAGGACUUAAGUAUGAGGGGUUGUUGAGAAAAGUUGUAUGAUUACACUAGGGGUGGAUACGGUUCGGUUUGGACCCAUUUUUGCCUCAAAUUAGAACCGAUCCGGUACUAUUUAUCUGGUUUGGUUCGGUUCGAUUUUAAUAAAAAAAAUUUCAAAAACUGUCCGGUUCGGUUUGAACCGAUUUCGGUCCACUUCCGGUUUCGAUUCGGUUUUGAACCAGAUUAUAAAAAUUAUUUUUUUAAAUUAUUUUUUAAUACAAUUCUCAACUGAAAUAUUAUUUUUUUUAAACUUGAAAAUUAACAAAUUAUUCAAUUUCAUAUAAAUAAAUAAAUAUUAAAGUUAGAAAAGAGAGAUAUUUUGAAAUUGAACUUGGAUAAAUAUUAGUUUUUUUUAUUAUAGUGAAAUUCAAAAUAUAGCAUUAAAUAUAAAUAUAUAUUGAAAUUAUAUAUAUUUUUAAUUUGACCGGUUCGAUUCGGCUCAGUCCGAUUUUUAAAGACAUGGAACCAGAUCCGGAACAGGUCCAAACCAGUUCGGUUUGAUUUUUGACUGUUGUUGACGUUUUGGUCAACUCGGUUUUUUUCGGUUUGGUUCGGUGCGAUUCGGCUCAGAUUUUCGGUUCGCCGGUUUGAGUGCCUACCUCUAGAUUACACUUGUAAGUAUCUUCCCUAGUAACUAGGCUUCCCACACAUGACGUUGGAUGUUCCGGCGUGUGAGACACUUCCCAUACGCGGCAUUGGAAUUUCCCGCGUAUGGGAAGAUUAUAUAUAUUGCUUGGGAUCAUCACACAUGGUGUUGGAUGUUCCGGUGUGUGAUGAUGUAGUCUGCGCGCAUAGGACUUAGUAUUUGAGCUACACGUGACGUUGGAUGUUCCGGUGUGUGAGCUAUGGAGUUUCGUCCCCCAGUUGGACCGGUCAUCCCUAAACGCAAGAUAGCACCUGAAAAUCUUACGGGCUAGUCAAACAAUCCCCUGAUUGGAUUGUUUCUCCGGUACCUAGGUAGUGUGACGGGUAUAUUAUAUAUUGUAUAUUUGUAUGUAUAUAUAUAUAUAUAUAUAGUAGUGGAAUUUUGGGGAUGAGGUUUAUGGAUUGAGUGAUUUGUGGUUUUAAAGGGUUUUAAAGAAUAAUGUUUUUGAGCAUCUAUUUAUGAAUUGUGAAUGUUCAUGAUGUGAGCAUUAUUUUUACACGGUGGGGUUGUUAUGUUGUUUUAAAUGCAAAUCUUGUUUUUGUCCACUCACAUAUUUUCUGUUUUGCGCCCCCCAGCCAUUAGUCGCUCCAGGAGGGUUGCAAGCGGUGUUCGAAGGCCGAAUCGUUUACAUCAGUAGAUUAGGCUUCGAGUAAUUUCCUUCUACUCAACUGUUGUUGUAAACUAAAUCUGUUAGACGCUCUGUUAUUGCCCAUAUUAGGUUUUUACUUGAGGCCGGAGGCCAUUUACUGUGAACUGUUGUAUGUUAAAAGCAUGCUGCUGGUCGGGAUCUUAUUAUGUAUUCUAUGCAGGUUGAAUUUUUUGUUGGGUUUGUUCAAUUUACAAGGGUGACUCUGCCAAAAUUUUGGUAGAAAGUCUCGAUUUUUAAUAAGUGGGCCCGGCAUCGGGGUGAUGUCGGUAAAAAGACAAAAUUCGCUCCAAUUUCUGAAAAAUUUCGAAGCGGGUCUCGUCAAACCAUGGUUCCUUGCAAUUUCAGAGAAGACUGAAGGAAGGUGCUGAAUUUUGUUGUAUACCUCCAAUCCUUCAACUCUUUCUAUAAAUUAAAUAGAUUACAGCUAGUCUACAGUACACACAAUACAUGAGAAAAGUAUAACCUCUCUUAUUCUACUCAACCUAACCUCCUCAAAACUCUAACCCCCCCUUACCUCCUACGUCGCCAUCCACCACCUAGUGCUCAGAACUUUUACACCACGAUUACUUGAGGUAAUAAUCCUGGAUCUGCCAGCACUAAAAUUACACACCCAUUUGUUUGGAGCAUCAUGGCAUCUACAUUUGUUUAUUCUUUUCUAAAUCAUCUAAGUCAUUGCCAACGGAUGCCCUUAAUUCCUUCACAUUUCUUACUCCAGAUUUAUAUUCUUUGCUAGUGGUGGAAUCUACCGGGCCUGAGGAAGGGCCUUAACCACUGGGCCAACAUGAUAUUUAAUUUUAGUUAUUUUGUCUUGUGCUGUGUCAUAGGUACGUUAGCAU
rnacentral:lncRNA from 1 species